rnacentral:lncRNA from 1 species
UAUGUGAUUACAUUAAAUAAGUUAAAAAGUUGAAGGGUUAUUUUUGGAAGAUUUAGUUUCCAACACAAAGGGAAUUUGAAUUCUUCACUUCUUAGUGUGGAAUUCAAAUUCUAUAUUGUAAUGGAUAUUAAAUUCCAAUAGAAAUUAAAUUCUUAUAAGUUAUGUCAAACCAAACAACGGAAAUAAAAAAAAAGAAUUUAAAUUACUUUCCUUUCCUCCACCCUCUCCUUCCAACCAAAUACAUCCUGAAAAUAGAGAUAUUGAUUAAUUUAGAAGAGAUGCAAGCAAAAGAUAUUCCACAAAAAAAAAAAAGCAAUAUGUCCCUUUGGAGGGCAAACUUGUCAGUUUUAAAAAAGUACAUGCUUUGGAUUGAUAGUUGUAGGAUAUUUGUUUUGUCACUAUGUGUUAGUUGGAGAAGUCAAGCCUUGUGAAGAAUGUUAUGAAAGAGCAAAGGAUAUUCCUGAUAGCUGAUAGAGCUCUAUUUGAUUAUGUAUCCAAUGAAUGGAUGUGUUGUUGGAAGAUAUUUGAGUGCAUUAGUUCAUAUGUGUCUAUCAAUGUGAUUUUAAUGAUUUUUCCACUUGUUUGUUGUAAAAGAUUAUUGUAAAUUGAAAUGAACUUGAUGUUGUAAUAUUUUCUCCUUAGUAGAAUUUCACCUAGUAUGUAUUUAGUUGUGUUGUCUAUAAUUUUGCAUUCGAAUAAGUUUCACCUAAAAUAUUAGCAUGAGUAGUGGCCCUUGAAACUUUGGUCAAAAUUAUUGUUAUUAUUUCCGACUAGAUGUAAAUUUUUUAUUAAAUCUCGCUAACACAAUUCUUAAUUAAAAGUAUAGGUUAGUGUUGGUGCAAGACUUGCCACACCAAAUUCUGCCUAACUGUCAAAAGUGCAAAAUAAAUGAAGAGAAAGCACAAAUACACGACUUGAAUAAGGAUACAACGAAACUUAAAUUCAAGAGAAAAUGAUAGCUAUAUCUCAAGAUUUGAAAAAACGGUCAUGUAGAUUUUUAAGAUUUCAAUAAGCGACUGAGAUUCAAAUAAUAUCCUUUAAUUCUAUUAACAAAAAACAAAGACUCAAAUAUUUUAUGAUAAAUAAAAAUAUAAUAUUAAAAUAUAUGUGAUAAUAUACACAUUUUAAAUACUUUCAAUCCAAAAAAAUAGUUAUGUUUUACAAUCUAUUAGACAUAUUUUAUUAAAUUAAUAUAAAUUUUCUAUAAAAUAAGAAUAUAAUAUUAAAAUAAAUUCACAAAAAUUUAAAGAAUUUUGAAUGUAAAAUAAUUUUAAUAUAUCAAUACGUGAGUUUUUUUAUUAAUAUAAAAUUUAUUUAACUUUAAGAUUUUUUAAAAUCUUUACAAUAAGUAUAACUAUAUUAUUUACAUUUAAAAAUAUUUAAAUAUUAUUAACCUACAAUUAUAUUUGCAUUUGUUAGAAAUUUUUUAAGUCAAAUAUUUUGCACUUCUAUAUUAUUAGAAUUAUUGCACAAAAAGAAAGAAACAUACACCUUUAGAAAUUGUUUUCUUUUAAAAUAGAGAUGAUGAUUAGUAUAAGGAUGAAAAAAAGGAUAAAGAAUAUUAAUGAUUAACGAAAUCUCUAUACAAAUUGAUUUUAGUAGGAAAAGAGUGAGAUGAAUGAUUUCUUUUACAGUUAGAAACAUAGAUGAUGAUUAUUAUAACGAAGAAAAAAAGAUAAAGAAUAUUAAUUAUUAAUGGAAUCUCUAUACAAAUUGAUUUUAGUAGGAAAAAAAUGAUUAAAUGAUUUAGAGUGCGUUUGGAAUUGAGAUUGGGCAGCCAUAGAUUUUAAGUUACAACACUGAAGUGUUUAGUAAAUACUAGUUGCUGCAGAUUGAAAGUUAUGUUGAUAUGAUUUUUCACAUGUAUCAUAGAAAAUAUAUUACAUCUUUAAUAUUUUUUAAAAAUUUAUAUUUGCUAUAUAUUAUUAAUUUUUUUUUAUAGUUAUAACUUUUUUUCCACAACAGUUGUAGCUUAAAAGUCACAGCACCUCAAUCUCAAACAAAUCCUUAGACAUUCAUAGUGUGUUUAUUUUUUGGAUUGGUGAAUCAAAAUUAUUGACAACGCUAACUUCAUCUUCACUGUUCGCAAUCCAACAGCAGCAAUUGUCGCCAAUAAUGAUAUCUCCAAUGAUGAUGACAAUUAUUAUUAUUAUUUUUAUUAUUAUUAUUAUUAUUAUUAUUAUUAUUAUUAAUUAAUUAAUUAAUUAAUUAAUUAAUUAAUUAAUAUAUUAAUGUUGAUAUUAUUAUUAUUAAGAUUAACAAUAAUUAUUAGUAAUACAAUUUUUUGAAUAAAAAUAAUCACAAUAAUUAAAAUACAAAUUAAUAAUUAUGACAAUAAUUAAUUAAUGUCUUUUUAGUAAUUUGUAAUAAUCUAACUCAUUUUGGUUCUGAUUAUUACAGCUUAAGUAAACAAAUUAUUAUGAUUCCUAUUCUCCUUUCCCAUUUUAACUCACUUUGAUUCCAGUCUAUUCCGAUUUCUAUUUAAUAAAUGCACCAUUAGUGCUAAAGUAAUAUUUCAUACAUAGAAAAAUAAAAACUACGCCUAAGGUUAAGGGAAAAGACUUCAAAAUUCUCUUUUGAUCAUAAUACAUUUUGUCCUAAUUAACUUAAAGAUUUUGAAUCUAAUAUUUUAUAAUAAAUAAAAAUAUAUUCCUAAAAUAAAUAUAAUAUCAAUAUUUAAAAUAUGUUUUAAUAUUUUACAAUCUAUCAUACACAUUUUAUUAUAUUAAAGUAGAUUUAUAAUAAAUAUAUAAAAAUUUAGAAUAUUUAGAAUAUUAUAUAAAAUAAUUUUAAUAUAAUGCGUGAUAUAUAUUUUAUUAAUUUAAAAUGUCAUUUUACCUAAAAAAUAUGAUAAAUUAAUAAUUACAUAUUUGAAGUUAUUUCAAAUAUUAAAAAAAUUUAAUAUUAUUAAUCUUUUAGAUAGAUUAAAUUAUUUUUUAUAAGAGAGAUUAAAUUAUUUUAAAAUGCCUUAAUUGUUUUUACUUUUAACGUUACGGGCCUUUCUUUUAUUUUAUUGCAAAUUAAUGCUAACUAGAAAAACAAAAACAAAAGUGACAAACACAACCAGCUGGAAUCUUUUAUAAAACUACAAAUUAAAAUGGAUUUUUUUUUUUUGUUGAUAAAUUACACAUGAAAGUGGAUUCUUUUGAAUAUAAGUGGGGUAGGCUCUUUUAUUUUUUUUUUAAUACCGUAUAACAGGACUGUAGACUCUUUUAUUAAGCACAAAUAUAGAGUUGUCGAGACAAUUAGGGUCUUUUAUUAAACUACAAAUUGUAUAGUCUUUUUUAAAUUGUUCAGAUAUUUAUAAAUUGGUGGCCCCUACAAUCCUCAAUAAUUGUACCGAUAUUCACAAGCUGGUGGCCCCUACAAUCCUUAAUAAUUGUUUUUUUUUUUUUCUGCAUUCCCUUUCAUGCUCUUAAUAAUUAAAGAGCAUACUUUUCAAAUGUGGAGCCGCGGCUAAUGUCGCUAAUUUAAUUUGGGAUUAAAUUAGGGGACUAUUAUAUUGCAGUGUGCACUAAUUUUUAUGUUUAUCUAAACUCCUUAAAUUUAAGAUAUAUUAUGGCAUAAAUAAGAAUAUAACAAUAGCAAAAGAGUUAGAAAGUGUAGAGAAGAUCUUGCAGAAAUAUAAAUAAUAUUUAUUUUAAAAUAAUAUCAAUAUUUAAAAUAAUUUUUAUUAUUUUAUGAUCCAUUAGAUAUAUUUUAUUAUAUUAAAGUAAAUUUUAUAAUAAAUAAAAACAUACUAUUAAAAUGAAUAUAUAGAAAAUUUAGAGUAUUUUAAGUAUUAUAUAAAAUAAUUUUAAUAAAAUAUGUGAGAUAUUCAUAUUUUAUUAAUUUAAAAUACCAUUUAACCUAAAGAUUUAUUUAUGAUAAAUUAAUAAUUAUAUUUUUGAAAUUACUUCAAAUAUUAAAAAAAUUAAUAUUACUAAUCUAUUAGAUAGAUUAAAUUAUAUAUAUUAUUUUCUAUUUAUUAAAAAAUUUCAAAUUAUUUUUAAUUACUAUUCAAAAAAUAUGAUGAUAAAAAAAUCUUAACAUCUUUAUUAAAAAAUUAAAAACUUACAUGAUCAAUUCUCUAAAUAUUUAGGGUAUAUGUGAACCACGGUGGACAGAGGUCAUUACUAAAAUUUCUCUUCCACAGGCAAUUACAGCAGCUCCAGUUUAUCAAACUCAACCAAUUUUCUUUCUUAACAAAAUUCCAAAGAUGUGUAGCUUUUUUCAGAUCACAUGCGAUGGUGCUUUUUUCAAUCGUUGCUUGGAUUGCUUUCUUGGAAAAGCAGCAUACAUACGUAACCUCCAAGAUAAUCUUGAUGCCUUGGACACUGAACUGGGAAGACUAAUCGCAGCAAAGAACGAUGUGAUGAUUAGGGUUGUCAAUGCUGAACGGCAAUAAAUGAGAAGGCUGGACGGAGUGCAAGUGUGGGUUUCGAGUGUGGAUGCUGUUAAAACUGGAGCCGAUGAACUUAUCACAGACGGCUCUGAAGAAAUUGGCAAAUUAUGUGUUGGAGGCUACUGUUCCAAGAACUGCAGGUCAAGCUACAAAUUCGGAAAACAAGUGGCUAGAAAGCUACGAGAUGUGGAGACUUUAAUCGCCGAAGGAGUUUUUGAGGCGGUGGCUACUGAGGUGGUGCCUGAGAGAGCUCCAGAGCCUGUAGCAGAUGAAAGACCUACCGAGCGAAAAGUAGUAGGCUUGCAAUCACAACUUGAACAAGUCUGGACGUGUCUUGUGGAAGAAUCAGCGGGAAUCAUUGGCCUAUACGGUAUGGGCGGUGUUGGUAAAACCACACUAUUGACCCAUAUCAACAAUAAAUUUCUCGAGAGUCCAACCAACUUUGAUUGUGUGAUUUGGGUAGUAGUUUCAAAAGACCUGCGACUUGAAAAACUUCAAGAAGAUAUUGGGAAAAAGAUAGGUUUGGUUGGUGAUUCAUGGAAGAGUAGAAGUGCAGAGGAGAAAGCUCUCGACAUCUUCCGGAGUCUAAGAGGGAAGAGAAUUGUAUUGUUGUUAGAUGAUAUAUGGGAGCGGGUUGAUUUAACAAAAGUGGGCGUUCCACUUCCUGGACCACAAAAUACUACCUCAAAAGUCGUAUUCACAACNNNNNNNNNNNNNNNNNNNNNNNNNNNNNNNNNNNNNNNNNNNNNNNNNNNNNNNNNNNNNNNNNNNNNNNNNNNNNNNNNNNNNNNNNNNNNNNNNNNNNNNNNNNNNNNNNNNNNNNNNNNNNNNNNNNNNNNNNNNNNNNNNNNNNNNNNNNNNNNNNNNNNNNNNNNNNNNNNNNNNNNNNNNNNNNNNNNNNNNNNNNNNNNNNNNNNNNNNNNNNNNNNNNNNNNNNNNNNNNNNNNNNNNNNNNNNNNNNNNNNNNNNNNNNNNNNNNNNNNNNNNNNNNNNNNNNNNNNNNNNNNNNNNNNNNNNNNNNNNNNNNNNNNNNNNNNNNNNNNNNNNNNNNNNNNNNNNNNNNNNNNNNNNNNNNNNNNNNNNNNNNNNNNNNNNNNNNNNNNNNNNNNNNNNNNNNNNNNNNNNNNNNNNNNNNNNNNNNNNNNNNNNNNNNNNNNNNNNNNNNNNNCAGGAAGUCCUAGUGCGUGCUAUCAGAAAAGAUGCUGGGAACUGUUUCGCGAAAAUGUUGGGGAAGAAACUCUUGAGAGUGAUCAUGAGAUCGUUGAGCUAGCCCAAACUGUGGCCAAAGAGUGUGGUGGUUUGCCACUCGCACUUAUUACUAUUGGUCGAGCUAUGGCCUACAGAAAGAAAGCGGAGCAGUGGAGACGUGCAAUUGAAGAGUUAAGAAGAUCAGCUUCAGAGUUUGCAGGUUUGGGAAAAGAGGUGUAUCCUCUUUUAAAGUUUAGCUAUGAUAGUUUGCAGAAUGAUACAAUUAGAUCUUGUUUCUUGUAUUGUUGUUUAUAUUCUGAAGAUUAUGGCAUUCUUAAAUGGGACUUGAUUGAUUGUUGGAUUGGUGAGGGAUUUUUGGGGGAAUCUGACAGGUUUGGUGCAGAAAACCAAGGAUAUGACAUUUUGGACACUCUUGUUCGUGCAUGUUUAUUAGAAGAGGUGGAAGAAGAUGAAGUAAAAAUGCAUGACGUUAUUCGUGAUAUGGCUAUAUGGAUAACCAGUGAAAUUGAGAAGGAGAAGAGAAACUUUUUGGUUUGUGCAGGUGCUGGAUUAGAAGAGGCACCGGAUGUUAAAGAAUGGGAAAAUGUGAGAAGAUUGUCAUUGAUGCAAAACCAAAUUGAAACUCUGUUUGGGGUUCCCACAUGCCCUCAUCUCAUCACUUUAUUUAUUGACUUUAAUAGGGAGUUGAAGACUAUCGCGGAUGGCUUCUUCCGAUGUGUGCCUUCUCUCAAAGUUUUGAAGAUGUCAAACUGUGGAAAGCCUUAGAAAGGUUUGGAAUUACCUUUGGGGAUGUCAAAGUUGGGUUCACUACAACUUCUUGAUAUUUCACACACCUGCAUACAAGAAUUACCACAAGAAUUAAAGUUGUUGGUAAAUCUGAAAUGUUUGAAUUUGAGGCGGACAAUUUGGUUAAAUAAAAUUUCAUGGCAACUAAUAUCAAAAUUUUCAAGGUUACGUGUGUUGAGAAUGUUCGCUACUGGCUGGUUCAGUUUUCAUGAAGCACCAGAAGACAGCGUUUUAUUUGGUGGGGGUGAAGUUUUGAUACAGGAAUUGCUCGGUUUGAAAUAUUUAGAGGUAUUGGAGUUGACCUUGGGAAGUUAUCAUGCUCUCCAAAUUCUUUUGAGCUCAAAUAAGUUAAAAAGUUGUAUUCGAUCUCUUUUCCUACAGUUGUUCAGAGAUACAACGUCGAUUAUUGAUGCUACGGCUUUCGCAGAUCUAAACCACCUCAAUCAAUUAUGUAUUAGUAACGGUUCUGAGUUGGAAGAAUUGAAGAUUGAUUAUACGGAGAUAGUACGAAAAAGGCGGGAACCUUUUGUUUUCCGCAGCCUUCAACGUGUUACCAUAGAGGAGUGCCAUAAAUUGAAAGAUUUGACAUUCCUCGUUUUUGCUCCAAACCUCAAGUCUCUUUCGCUAUACGAUUGCGGUGCUAUGGAAGAAAUAAUCAGCGUCGGAAAAUUUGCUGAGACUCCUGAGAUGAUGGGACAUAUAAGCCCUUUUGAAAAUCUCCAAAUGCUUUAUUUAAUGGCAUUGCCGGAGUUGAAGAGCGUCUACUGGAAGCCAUUGCCUUUCACUCAUCUGAAAGAAAUGGAGGUACUUGGGUGUGAUCAGCUUAAAAAGCUUCCACUCGAUUCCAACAGUGCAAAAGAGCGUAAAUUUGUAAUUCUUGGAGACACACAGUGGUGGAACCGUCUUCAAUGGGAGGAUGAAGCCACUCAAAUUGCUUUUCGUUCCUAUUUCCAAACCUGAUUCCUGAGCGGUGGUCGCAAAAUUUGAUUUCUGGUGAGUGCGUUUGUCUUUUAAAAGAAGAAUUUAAAAGAAAUUUAUUCUUGUCGUUUUCUUCUCUGUUUUUAUUUCAGUUUGUUUCUCUCUCUCUCUUUUUGUCUUCUGCAAAUCACAAUUAAAUGUUGAAUUAAUGGAAUUAAUGCUUCAUAAAUUUGCCGGCACUGCCAGUACUUUUUUUUUUUUUUAAUACGAAUUGAUGCUUUAUUUAUUUCUUCUUAGCGAUUUAAUUUCCUGUCAAAAGACGAGCGAGAAGAACAUAUGACUUAAACCAAUUGAUACUUUAUUUAUGUGCAUUGUAUGUAAUAAAAUUUUCUCUGUUUUUUUCAAAUUGAGGCUUUAUUUAUAUUUUCUUCGUGAAGAGUGAUUUAAUUUCCUGCCAAAAGACAAACGAGAAGAACAUUAGAGUCAAACUAAUGCUCACAUAAAUUUCCCGUAAGAAUAUAUAUAUAAUUAGACUGGAAUGCACACCUCUAGAUUGAACAGAAUUAAAGCUGAGAAAAUAUUGAGUAUAGUAGCCCUCUUUACAGAAAAUGACGCGAAAGUUAAUUUAGAAAGAUAUAUUCUUGAUUAAUCCAUUUUCUGAAGUUUUUUAUUUUGUAUGGUCAAUUAUACCUUCAUACUAAAAAAAAAAAAAAAAAAGAGAAAAUAUGUAAUCCAUGAAUGGUUAAUUUUGUUUGUUUGUUUUUUUUUCUUAAAUAUCAUUCUUUUUCGGCCACCCAAGGACAUUUUCACAAAUACCUUUUGUGUGCAGAAGUCUUCCAAACCAUCAAUGGAAAAAUAAAAAAUAAAAAAAACACGGUCCAGUAUACCUCAAAAUAUCAUUGAUGACUUUUCUGGUCUAAUGCUAUGUAAAUAGUAUGUUAAGUAAAACAUAAUCAGUUCAGUACCUCACAAAUAAUUCGCAAUAUCUACAAAAUACUAUAAUGGCUACAAAACAAAUCCUGCUUGCAAAUUGUCAAGGAUACCUAUCCGUUCGCUUGACAAGUCAUUUGAAUAAAUAUUGUUCACAUUCCUUACUCUGUCAAUUAUCCAAAGCACCAUCAACUUUAGUUUGAAUAGUAUACAUGCCAUCACCGUUACCAAGAAUCAAGCAUGGAAGGGUCAUUCUAUAGAGUGCAGAACAUGACUCUAUGCGGUAGUCAAUUUGACACACGACGAACACCAUAUGCUGCAUAACAUACAAAUUAAUUUCCCAUAUGUGAUGCAAUUUUCUCCUCAACAUAUGCGCAAUUCUUUCCAUUCCGGCAUUUACACUCAAAUUUUCCUUCCUUUCUCUUUGUGGUUGAAUCUUACACCACAACUCAUGUGAUGCAAUCUCCUCUCGCUGCCUAAAUUGCACUCUCAGCAAAGCAGCAUAUGUAAGCAAGCUUGAAGAUAAUCUUGCUGCUCUGCAGAAGAACGGCAAAAGUUAAUCGAAGCAAGGAAUGAUGUAUCAGAAAAUAUUUGGUGGAGAAUUCAGCACAAACAUAUUUCGGAUGAUCAGAAUCAAUAAAACCUGGUGGUUGUGCCAUAUAAACAUCUUUGGAAAGCUGACCUUGAAGAAAGGCGUUAUUGAUAUCCAAUUGAUGAAGAGGCCAGCCAUGACUAACAUCAAUACUAAGAACAAGCCGUACUGUGGUGGACUUAACAACUGGACUGAAAGUGUCAUAAUAGUCCACACCAGGCCAUUGAUUGAACCCUUUGGCAACAAGAUGAGCUUUAAACCUGUCAACAGAACCGUUGGAAUGUCUUUUAAUACAAAAAUCCAUUUGCAGCCAACAAUAUUGGAAGGGAUGGGAGGUGGAACAAGCUUCCAUGUCCCGUUACGAACAAGAGCAUCAUACUCUUCUGACAUAGCUGGACGCCAGUGAAGAUUUUUGAUAGCUUGCGUCACAGUUGUAGGUUCACAAUCAGAAGAAGGGCUAAAAUGAGCACGGAGGUUAAGUUUUUGUAACGGCUUGUGAAUCUUAUUUUUAGCUCGGGUAGUCAUAUCAUGAUGACUUGUGGGGCAAUGAUCUAGUGGAGUUUAGGAAGAUGAUUGAACAGGAAGUGAAGAAGUGCUUUGUGUAGAGGUAGAAGUAGGUUGGGAGGAUUGCUGCGGAGAUGUUACCGGUAGAGAAGAAGGAGCAGUACACGGUGGCAACUCCAGAGGGCCCACAAUAGAUGGAGUAGGUGCCGACAAUGGAGUACUAGGAAAUGAAACAGGAAGAAUUGGUGGAACACUUGCAUAAUUAGGAGUGGUAGAUGAGCUUGUAAUGAUUUGCAUGGAAAAACAAACUCUACAAAUUUAACGUGACGUGAAAUAAAAAUUUGAAAGGUGGAUGGGUCAAAACAUAAAUAAGCACUUUGAGAUAAAGGAAUAUCCUAGAAAAACACAAGGCUUAGAGGGUGGUUCGAGUUUAUGUGAUGAAACACAAACAUUCAAAAAAUUUUAAGUUUAUAUUAAUUAGGAGUGGUACCAAAAAUUAAUUAGCUAUGGGGUUGUUGGAUGUGUUUUGGAUAUUUACAGUUAAGUUUGAGUAUCUCAACUUAAAAUUUGUAGUUUUCACUUGAAAAAAUUCAGUUAAAUUUUGCAAUGCAGACUGAUUGAUUUAUCAGUUUAACGUGUGCCAGGAAUGAAGAACUGGAAUAUCACCGUCAAGCAAGCACCCUGUGGAGCAAUACCAAAGAAUGCACAAUCUGGCUUUGCUAGGUAACACUGGAGGCUUUUUGAAAAGUGCUUCACGCUCACUUGCACAGAUUGAGCAUCCCCUCUGGAUAUUGCCCUCUCUGAUCGAGUCUGAGCACUCAAAUUUUGGUCCUCAGAGGGAGCUACAGUUUUCUCUCCACUAACCAACAAUAUUCUAAACUCAGCACCUAGUGUGAUCAGAGUUGUUGAUAUUUGCAAAUGGAGAUCCCCAUAUUUGCAAAUGGAGACAUUUAACAAAUCACCAACAUGCUUCAUCCGGUCCACGAAAUUCUGCAACUGAUGCAAAUCUGGAACCUGAACCAGAGUCGGAGGUAUAUCUUGAGCCAUAUCUAAAGCAGUUUGAAGUUCAAGACCUUGAGCCCUUGACAAUGGUUUUGAAAUUGGAACAUCUUGGAUUACUGCAGACUUGUACCCCUUGGUUUCAAAGGUAAGGAAAGGCAUUGCUUGAGUACAAUUUGGAGGCAGCUUCUUCACCAAUUUUAUUUGGAGGCGAUUGGCAGCGGAUCCAGCUGCACCAAUUUCAGAGCAACUACUGACACUACUUCGAACAGCACACUGAAGAAGUGAUAUGUCUACGGCGAAGGCAAUGCAGUCCUCAUUUUGGCUUGAGACACAGUAAUCAUCGAAGAGAGUUUCCUUGUGAAACUGGGCAACACAUUGAAUCCCUUCGGCACUGAGAAGGUUGUGGAGGAAGUAAGCUUUCUCUCUAGUAAGGAAGAGGUGGCAUACAUUCCCCAUUUUGUCUAGGGCAGGUAGGAAUCUUUUUUCUAAGAGAUUUACUUCAUUCUCUGUGAGAAAUGCUUUGAACUUCAUCCCUCUGUCUCUAUCCUCACUUAUCAGUAAAAUAGUUGAAAGCGCUACAAGGAGAGAAAAGAAGAGUAUUAAGAUAUAUAUAUUAUAUAGACAAGAAAAACAUUAGAUGUCGAUCUUACAAGCUAAUACUUCAAACAAUAUCCUAGAAAGCUAAAAACUGCAAGAUGGCUUGAAAUUUGAAAAGAGCACGUGCUUUUCCUCCUUAACUUGAGAAAAUGUUUAAUAUAGUGCACCUUACAGAAGCAUUUAAGCAAUUAGAACUUUGCACAAAAACAUCAAGAAGACUAAACAAGUCAGAUGCAGUGUAUUUGUCCAAGCACAAAUUGCAUUUUGUCCUCAACUUUAAUAUUUAUUGAUGAGAAUCAAUACAGGUCCCUCAUUUGUUAUAGAAAGCUUUCUUGUAGUCUCACCAGUUAAUAUGGAUAUUAGAUAAGGAAACUUUAUUAGGUUGCGAGGGUAAAAAAGGAAAGAGAUAUCAUUAUUUUAUUAUCGAUAAUUAUUAAAUUUUUUUCCAAAAAAAAGAACAAGCAAGGAUAUUUUAUUGUCAAUUGCAACCUUUAAUUUUUUUAAAUGCUAUUAGAAACACAAGAUAACAAAAAUGUAGUGAGAUGGGAUCUCCUGCAUGCCACUCUGGUUUAGAACACAAAGAAUGUGUCUGCAUAAAUAUCCUCUGAAAUUGAACAACCCACAAACACAAAGCACCUCCAAGUCGGAGGCAUUGUACAAAACAUCAAAAGCCCUUGAAUCCUUCUCGUUGCCACCAACCUCGAAUUCUUCCUUCACUAUGUAUGUUAUAGGUCCAUCAGAACUAAUAUGUUUUGUGCUAUAGUAAGAGUACAUAGCCUCCACCUCCAUCUGAAACUUCCUUAACAUUUCAUUUGUGUACAGUUUUGAGAGUUGAAAUUCAUAGUAACAUCUUGGUUUCCGGAUACAACUUGAAUUUCUUGAAUCCAUAUCUGCCAAGGCUACCAGUUGAUAAUUCGCCUGCAGUGCUUGAUCAUACUUGUCUAAGAAUUCUUUCAAAGGAGUAUUCUUAUCAAGAUAUCCUUCAAAGUAUGAAGUAGAAACCUCAUUCUGCAGGAACGAAAACACUCCUGAUAAAAAAGCUUCCUUCAAAUAAAUAGGAGCCCACCUUUUAUGAUCUUCAUAUAAAGUUUGAAUCCAUCCGUGAUCCUUUAUUCCAUGACAUUGAAUCAUGUCUUCCCAAGCUGCUUCAAAUUUCUCAGGCCUGAGAGAGUGAUAAAUUGCUCUAUGUAAUGCAGCUUUAAUAGCUUCAUAUUCAAACAAUCCUUGGAGUUUCUCUGGAAUUUUUUUGCAUGAUGCAUGACAAUGAAAAGAAAUGAUAAGCUCUUGGGAAAACAUCACCAACAGCAAUUUGCAAGAUUCUACAUUGGUCAGUGAUGAUUGUUUGUGGAGAGCGCCCUAACAUACAUGUAAGCCACGCCGUAAACAACCAUGUAUAUGAUUCUAUGGUCUCACUGGCAAGUAAACCACAACCCAACAACACUGAUUGUCCAUGAUGAUUCACCCCAAUGAAUGAAACCAGUGGUACAUCAUAUCUUUCAGUCAGGCACGUAGUAUCAAUUAAGACCACAUCACCAAAGUACCUAUAUGCAACUCUUGACCUGGUAUCAGUCCAGAAUAGGUUUUUCAAGCAUCCCUUUUCAUUUAGAUCCACUACAUUAAAAAAGUUUGGAUCUGUCAACUGCAAAUGACAAAAGAAACUCUGGACAGCUUGUGCAUCUCCUGGUUUAAGCUUCAAUUGAUUUGAGCUAUUAACAUUAUUUCCAAAUACUCCAUUAACAUCUACCAUUUCCCUUGGUAUCAAUGAUAAGAGUUCGAAACAGUUUAAUUUUUUGAACUUCUUCAGCACUAUCUAAAUGCAAUGUUCUUUUGGUUCCAAUACCUAUGUGCUUAUGUGACUUGUAAAACUUUCCGCUUCUUGGGCUUAACAAGUGGUUAUGCUCAAGCUCGACUUCAAUGAUUCUCCACCUUUUGGUUUCCAUCAACCUAAACUUUAUCAUUGCUGGACAGCCAGUUCUUGUUUCUGGUCUUGGGCGGUUUGCCUCGCUUUUCUUCUUGAAGCCUGCACUACUACAGCUCAGCUUUCCUCUAUACUUUUCUCUACUCUUUCGGUACCAUGGAUUGCUAACUCUAACACCAAAACCCUGUUCCUUGGCAUAGCAAUUGUAAAAGUAAUAUACAUCAUCAUACAUCUCAAACUCCAUUCCAACAGUAGGAGGCAAGGGAUUUUGGAUUAUCCCAGUUUGUCCAACAUAUUCAGUCAUCGCACAAUCUCCUACAACCUCAAAAUCAUCAGUGUCAUCAUCACCUACUGGUUCGGUGUUGAGAGAAACUUCAUCCAUCUACAAUGGAUGUUCAAUGAAGUGAGCUUUAAGGAGAAAAAGCAAAAUCUGUUCAAGGAAUGAUAAUAUAAUCAUACAGUUACUUUCACAAAGCUUCAUAUUUCAUCACUGCUUUACCAACAUGCAACUGCCAGAGAACAAACAGACAUGUCAUAGACGCUUGAAUUAAGUAUUGGUACAAAUGAGCACACAUCAUGUGGGACAAAAUUUCAGUCACUAAACCCAAUACCACUUUUUACAUCAUACCAAGGAACAGAUUAAACCCGACACCUUCUUUUAAACCAUACCAAGGAACAGAUUAAAUCAUCAAUGAAAAAUUAAUCACAUAAUAACUUAACCAGACAAAUGAAGAGCCUGAAACAGCACAAAACUUGAAUCUGAUUAUGAUAAUUGUUGAGUCCUUGUAUCUACAGCUUUCCUUCAAUGAUAAGACAAUGAACAUAAACGAGACACAAAAAAAUUAUUUUAAACUGACAGCCCAUGAUAUAAAUCAAACAAAAUCAACUCCUUUUUUUACACAUUACAUCUCAUAUUCAUUUACAUUGAAACACAAAAAGGAAGCAGGAGUGGGAAAAAAACAACAGCAGAGGAACUUAUUUCCAUAAGGUUUACGAAAUAAGGAAUCUAUUAAAACCCAAAACUUGAGGUCACCACUAAGAAUUUGGUUCUCAUUAUUUUUUUCUUCAUUUUUCACCAAUUGAUGAACUUAAAAUACAAUCAUAAAUGAUAAAACCCCAUCUCCAUCUUUUUGAACUAGAGCUAAAGCAAAGCAUUUUAAGAUGUUUCAUCAUUUUUUUUUUUAAAAAAAACUCAAUAGUACAAUGUUUUUCAAUGCUAAAUGCACAAUUCAAUCUUCUCCUAAUUUACUCUAAUAAUCUCUUAAUUAAGGAAGAUUAAGCUUCAGUUGUAAGCUAAAACAAAUUUCUUAAAUCAAGCCCCAAUGCUUUAUGCUAUUCAACAAGGGCUCAUAAAUGAUAAAACUACUUCUAUAAAGAUACCCAUUUUCUAAAUUAAUUUCACAAACUGAAAUCAAACUCCUGAAACGUAACGAGCAUUAAUAUAAUCAAGCCCGAACAAGAAUUGAAAAAUGAUACAUAAACUCGUUUACACAUUUCGACAGACACUUUGCAAUCAAUGAGCAAAAAAUUAAUGGAGAAGAUAAAAUUCAAACGAAACAUGCCUUACAUUGAUAAAUUAGAAGGGCAAAAGAAAUUUUAGUACGAUAUGCGAUCAGGGUCUUGCCACGGUGAUGUUAUUUGUGAAGUUCGAGCGACUCAGCAGCCUUCGAGGUUGAAAAUUUGAUUGACCAAAAGCUUCCCGUUCGUUGAUUCUCUAAUAGUAGAAACGAGACUGGCAGUAUACACAAGAAGUUCGCCGAUUUUAAAUUCCGUUGUUUGAGAUGGAAAAUUUUUUGAAAAAAUUAAUGUGUUCGAUGAAAAUCAAAAUCUCAAAAACCUCUUGUUUUUCAUUUUUUUGGAAAAAACCAUUGAGAUCCUUACUAUUUUUUCUUAUAUCAUCUUCCUUAAUAAUUUGCAAAGUCUAUCGCAUAGCACCCAUGUAUGAUGUAUGCUGCGUUGUAAUUUACAAAAUUGCACAUGAAUAAAUCCAGCUAAAAUUUGUUAAAAGAAAAUAAUAAUAACAUGUUAAAACUUUAAAAUUUGAUUAUUCGAAGAAAUUUUAAUUUAGUUAAGUAGGUGACAUGAUAAUAAAUAGAUACGUAUAAUGUCCGAGAUUUUUUAUAAGAUUAAUAAAUAUGAUAAAUUUGGAUUAGUUCAAUUUUGACAUAAUUCAUAAUAAACACAGCUUGCUAAUCUAAAUUGCCACCGUUACUCAUCAUCAGGUACCUGUUUGAAAAAUAAUUACAAACAAUUUUAUUUGUGUUGUUUCUCUAAAAGUUUGAGACACAAAUGUUAUUUCAAAUUGAUAAAAGUACGAAAAUUCCCCCUUGCUCUUCAACUAAAAAUGAAACAUGCAAAUAUACACACUAAUUUAGAUGUGUGAAUAACAAAUAUGGAACGACACAUGCAAAGUCAUCUGUAUAAUUGAAACGCCAUGCACUAGUAGUAGGUAAGAGAAACCAAGGUUGAAGUUGCUCCAAUGGUUACUGUUAAUUUAUUUUUAUUUAUGAUUUUUUUUGUAAAAUGUAAGAAAUAUGUAGAAAUGUUGCCAGCAAUGAUUUUGGAACUUUGCAUAAAAUUUUUAUCAUUAUUGUUUUUGGUAUUAAGAAAUCCGAGGCGGUGAUUAGACGUAUGUUGCAACAAUUAAGAAAUUUCUUAUUGGAGAUAAUUUGGUAGGUUUGCAGCAAUUAGAGAAUAAUUUUCCUGCCAGUUAAUCAAUCAAUAAUAAAUUUCAAAUUGCAGAAAAUAAAAUAAUACAGCCUCACUUAGAAUCAUCUUUUCUAUCUCUUUCAAUUGUGGCAAUCAUUUGCAACAAAUAAAUCAAUUUGAUGCACAUCAUUUCCCCAAUUCAAAGUUCAAGUCACUGCUCAAUUACAGAGUAGUUAGUGGACAUGCAUGCAUGUUUAAUUAAGUACUGCAUUGUAGUAUCGAAAAUCAUAACAUCUCACCAAUAUCAGAUUAUUAACCAUGGAAAUCAUAUCACAAUAUCAUAUAGAAUUCACAAAUCUGAAAAUCAUCACCAAACAAGUACCCAGAGAAAUAAUCUCGUCAUAUCCAGACCUCAACGGACGGGCAAUGACGUACUAUUUGGGUAACGUCACACCCUGGAGCUACACGGAUAAAUAGGAAAAUACCAUCUCAUAUCUCAUCAUAUUUGUGCAUGCAUAAUCUAGUCCCCAAGGGACAAAAGCGCCCAAGCACACGGCCCAAAGCCUCUAUGUGUACUCAGACGGGCCCCAAAGGCCUGUAUCUCAUAUGUAUCAUAUGUAUCAUUUGUAUCUCAAUAUCUGUUUGUAUCUCAUUUCCGUAUAUCUAUAAUCAUCAUACCGCAUGCAUAUGCCCCCAAAAGACAAAAGCGCCCAAACACAUGGCCCAAAGCCUUUAUAUGUGUUUAGACGGGUCCCAAAAGCCUCUUAUCUCAUCUUAUCUGUAUCACUGUAUCUGGAGAGAAGGGUACUGUCUAAUGAUUUAAAAAACAAUCAUUAUACUCAUAUUUACAUACCUCUUAAUCAUAUUUGAAAUCAUAUCACAUUUGAAUCCACUUUUCUAAUCUUUAAAAUAUUAUCAUGCUUUAUUCAAAGUCGAUACGCAAAAUCAAUAACCAAACAUUUUAAAUCAAAUUAUUAACCAUGGAAAUCAUAUCACAAUAUCAUAUAGAAUUCACAAAUCUGAAAAUCAUCACCAAAUAAGUACCCAAAGAAAUAAUCUCGUCAUAUCCGGACCUCAACGGACGGGCAAUGACGUACUAUCUGGGUAACGUCACACCUUGGAGCUACACGGAUAAAUAGAGAAAUACCAUCUCAUAUCUCAUCAUAUCUGUGCAUGCAUAAUCUAGUCCCCAAGGGACAAAAGCGCCCAAGCACACAGCCCAAAGCCUCUAUGUGUACUCAGACGGGCUCCAAAGGCCUGUAUCUCAUAUGUAUCAUAUGUAUCAUUUGUAUCUCAAUAUCUGUCUGUAUCUCAUAUCCGUAUAUCUAUAAUCAUCAUACCGCAUGCAUAUGCCCCCAAAAGACAAAAGCGCCCAAACACAUGGCCCAAAGCCUUUAUAUGUGUUCAGACGGACCCCAAAAGCCUCUCAUCUCAUCUUAUCUGUAUCACUGUAUCUGGAGGGAAGGGUACUGUCUAAUGAUUUAAAAAAUAAUCAUUAUACUCAUAUUUACAUACCUCUUAUCAUAUUUGAAAUCAUAUCACAUUUGAAUCCACUUUUCUAAUCUUUAAAAUAUUAUCAUGCUUUAUUCAAAGUCGAUACGCAAAAUCAAUAACCAAACAUUUUAAUAAAAUACCAAUGCAUAAAUAAAAUUCAUUUCGAGAAAUCAUUAAAUCAGAACAUUUAAAAUACUUAUUUCGCAAACAUGCUUUACUAUCAUCGCUAACUAUGAAAAUAAGUUUUGUAUAUUCCACUUUCAGUGAUGGUGUUCACGGUCGGUUAUCGUCCAUAUCUGCAGACCGAUUCUCGCUCGCGAAUCCUCCUAAAUCAAGGAAACGACAUAAUUAUUUUUUGUAAAUCGGAAUUAUGACUAAAUUUUAUGCAAUAAACUCAAAACGAACAUCUAUUCAUAAUUGACAACUCCUAUAUCCAUAAAAUUACUAAAAUAUCCUUGAGUCCGUAGAUCAUUAACAUGCUCCGAAAUCGUAAAUCACUGAAUUACCCUCGGAAUCGUAAUUACACCCGAUCCUCAAUUAUAGGAAUUACUAACAGAUCCACAGGCUUAGAAAUUACAAAAUUGCCCUCGUAGUGUGAAAUUACCAAAAGCCGGAAGUUGGUCAACAAUGGCUAGGAAGCUCAAAUCGUAAAGUUCCAAUCACGCUGAGUUCAAUGGUACCGGCGGUGAGCUCCAACGCGCGACAACGAUGCCAGAAUCUAGCUCGGCAGCCGUGAAUUCCACCAAUCGACCGGCGGCACAACAGUGACUCUCGGUGCCUAUGGAUGGUCGAAAAUGGAAGAGGGAGCCGUGGGGAACAAAAUCCAACCGGUGGUGUCACCAAAACCGGUGAAAAUCCCGGCGGAGCAAAGUGAAACAGUCGCGGGUUUCAUGCUUCGAUCGCCGGUGUUCCGAUUGGUUUUUGGCGAGGAGGAUGGCAAGGGAACGACAGCCGGCUUCUAAGCUUCAGAUUGGUACCAAGCUCGGCCGAAACGAUGGCCGGAAAUGGGAGAUAUGACCGGGUCAAGGUCGCGGGUUCCGGGUCGGGUUUUUUGGUCUGUAGUUGGGUCGGUUUGGUAGCUUCUCUCUCACUCUCUGUUACACGUGCAUAUGUUUCCUCUGUUUCCAGCUUAUUCUUUUGCUUUUACUAACUUCUUAACCGCCUCAUACUUAUUCAUUUUUAAUUCACAUAUGUUACAAUAAUUCCCGAGUAUUAAAUAACCAGUGGUCAUAAUUUUUGUACAAGAUUCUUUUUUUUUUUUGGAGAUCGUUAAAAGUGGUUGACGAUCCAUUUCGUAAUAUCAUAGAGGGAUCAUCAAUUCCUUUUCUUUUCUGUGGCUAGGCAACACUUUUUGGCCAAAGUAAGGAAAUCUAUUUUAGGUAAUGUAAAAACCAGUUGUAGGAUGUAAUAGUUUAUUAUGCACUGACAAUAACUUUUUGUAUAAUUGUCAGUUUAAUGAAUGCAAGAGGAACUCUGUUGGCAAAUUCAUCCAAGAUAGAUGCUAAAAUUAUUUAUGCAUGCCAGUUGCCUUAACUAAGUUUUCUCAGCACUGGUUUUGAACAGGAAAAUGAAUAUGCAAUUUGUAUAUUGUGCCAUAGUGGAGAAUUUGGAUAUUCUUAUUUAAGUAACAAGGAGAUUAUUUGCCUCAUCUUUAAACAAUGAAUCUUUGAGAGAUGAGGAGUGGGUGAUUGGAUGUGUCUUCAUGUAAUUGUUCAUUUAUUUGUAUUUUGAACUGUUAUGAAAAUCUUUAUAUGCCAAAUUAGUAAUACAAGUAUUCAGAUGAUUUUUCCUAUUGAUCAUGCAUUUGUAUCUGCCCACAACCAUUGUAUAUCACUUUAUUCUGAUGCGCAAGCAUCUGUAAUUUAGAAGAAAAGAAAUAAUAAUCAUAUUUUAUUGCUUGGUUCAUGAUUAUUAACGAUUAUGGCUUUAAAAAUCUACAAAUUUCUUGUGUUCAUGUAUGAAUGUGCCAAGUUUGCUGUAUCUUAGAUUACCUUCUUCCAAGGUAACAAGUUCAUAUAUAUAUAUUUUUUAAAUCAUUUUCCAUUACAGUUGAAUUUCAAGUGUUAGUUUUGUUAUUAGUACCUGGUUUCCUGUUAUAAGGAUCUAAUAAACAGUGUACGGAUAUGUGCUCUACUUUUGGAGGGCUUCCACGUGAAAGAAAAUUACAACAAUUGAAUUCUUCCGGAGGAUAUGGUAAUUAAUUUAUUUUCUCAACUUCUUGUAAGACUAAUAUAUUUCCUUCAGUAGGCACAGCAUGGUGGGAAGGGUUUUUAUUGAAAGAAUUCUGAUAUUUCUUAGACUUUGUUUUGGAAGGGGGUGGAGGAAUUUCUCAUCCAUAUAUGGUUACUUGAUUAGCUUUUGACUGUAUUGUCUCUGUCGUGCAAAGGAAAAUCUAAAUACUAACGAUGGGGAAUUGCUUAGGCACCCAAAAGGCAGAAAUGAAUUACAGAAGGAAGUUUUUGCUGCUUUAUUUAGUGCUGCUGAGAAAUCUGAUGAAUUUCCUGAAAUUACGGUGAAGACCGAGUGGAGGUCCAAAGCAUUAGGAAAGGUGGUGAGUGAACUGCCGGAGGAAUUUGUACCAAAAUACAAGGCUAAUGUGGUGCACUUGCAGCAAGAUAACCAGACCGGUAUGUGCUCUUAUAUUAACUAUAUUGACUGGAUUUGUGAGUGUGUGCAUUUUUUUGUGUAUACUCACUUUUGUAUUUAUGCAUAUUAACAUGUGUAGGAUUCUUGAUUUCUGCCACUUACUGGAGAACUAGUGGAAAGCUUUAUAUUGAUAUAUCUGCAAUAACUAAUGGAAACUAUGAUAUGAAUAUUUUCUCUCACCUGGGGAGCUGUGUAACAGAUAUACUUUGUGGCUCUGGAAUGCUGAAGAUUCUGCAAUAACUAAUGGAAAAUAUGAUAUGAAUAUUUUGUCUCACCUGGAGAACUUUGUUACAGAUACCCUUUGUGGCUCUGGAAUGUCUAAAGAAUGCUUUAGUUAGAUCAAAUAUCUUUUAGUUAGAAAAGAUAAAAUUCUCUGAGUCUGAAAGACUGAAACAUUUUGCAUAUUUUGUGAAAGGGAAAUAUCUGUUGAUACUAGCUCAUGCAUUGAGGUAAUAUCGAUGUUAAAGAAAAACAGCAAUGAUUUAUGAUAUAGAAUUGGGUUCACUUGCUUCAAAUGCUGGUCUGAUCAACCAUAUCAACCUGUAAUGAUUCUGCAGAAAUAUAUAUACAUGGAGAAAGUAGCUAAAUUUUUCUUUCAUUUAUGGGUUCGGUCUUUUUUCCCCUUAUUUUUCAGCUUUCCUUCUCCUGAAGUAUGUUAACAAUUGCAGAUAAUGAUGAAGACGACAGCUUCCGGGCUCUCCUUAGAGCCGUGAUGGAAUAUAGGGGCACAAUGAAGGAAUAUUGUAAAGCUGUAGGUACUUUUUCUCCUUUCAUUUAUGUUUUCUCACACAUUUUGUAUAUGCCCUGAACAUGCACCUUUGUAUGUAUCAAUUGACUUUUAAAUUUUAAAAGCCAUAAAGUAAGAAUACGGUUCCUUGUCAGGCUACUGAUGACAUUCGCUCAGGGGGAUCAUGUUCGAGCAGGAAAAUUUCUAGAACAGGUAAGGUUUCCAUCUACAGCCAUCCAUUGACAGCAGAUACAUUUUCAUUCAGCAGACUCUGUUAGCAUUCAAGAUGCUGGCAGAUUCACUUGAUUCUUAUUAGCUUGUUUAGUGGCAAAGCCUAUAACCUGUAUUUCAAAGCCAAGUUGUGCUAUUGAUUAUGUUAACUUUUUUGUUAACAUAAAAUGAUAUGGAGGAAAUAAUCAGUGUUGGAAAAUUAGGUGAAAAGAUGAUGUCAAAUCUUGAACCUCUUACGAAACUCUAAGUUCUUUACUUGAAGAGGCUACGAAAUUUGAACAGCGUCUACUCGAAGGCCUUGCCAUUCCCUGAUGCAUGCAGAAUUUUUGUAUUUAAAUGCCCAGAGCUUAAGAAGCUGCCACUGGAUCUUGAAGGGGCAGACCAAGGUAAAAAUCUUAUCAAGGGAAAGGAAGAUUGGUGGAAACAACUUAAUGGGAGGAUCAAGUAACUCAGAAUGCAUUGCUUCCAUUUUUUAAAUUGACUGACAAGUGAUUGAACGGGGCAUCAUCAACAUCAUCAACAGGGAUGGAGAGAUACCGGAGCAGAUCAGCAGGGUUUGAAUAUGACCUUUGGCGGUUGCUUUUUUUUUGUGAUUUUUUUUUCAUUUUUUCCUUCCUGUCAUUUUAUCAUUUCUUUCUCUGUUUCUAUUGCGGGUGUUACUGCAUGCUUACUGUUGCUUGACAAAGUUUGCUAGCUUUUUGUUUGCAGUGUUGCUAUACACUCCGAGUCAAGCCUCGAAAAUUUAUUAAACGAAGCCGUUUCGACAGUAACAAUUCUUUUCUUUUCCCUUUGCAUGUCUCUUUCAUCUGCUGUUUCUCUAUCACUUUUCAUUUUUGAUUUCCUUGCUUCUCAGCUGCCCCUAAAUUGUUAUUCUAGCAAUAUACUUUCUCAUCUUUGAAUUUUCAUCCUUGAGUACUCCCACAGCCGUAAUUUCAUCAUCAUAGACUUCACUUGGAAUGCUGUAUUUUUUCGAUUCUUGAGCUACUUCAAUUACAUCUUAGUAUAGGAUCCUCAUCUUCCUUUAUUUCUUCAUCUUAUGAGGUAAUAAAUGGAUUUCACAACUCAUCUACUUUUAAGCAAUUACAUAUUAUACCUUGAAUGAUUCAACUGUUCUGACAGUUAAAGAUUUUAUGCUCAACCUGCAGUGCUACGAACAUUGUCCAUGAAAGAUGAGUUUCAGCAUAUAAAAUGAAAUAUAGAUGUUUAAUCUAAAAUAACCCUUCACUGCCAGAAACCUAGGUCACAAAAUUCACAGAUAAUGAUAAAGAGCUAAAAAAUUUGAAAAACUCUACAGAUCACACAUCAAGCAAGAUAUCAUGUUUUUUUCCCUCAUUCAGUGGUGAUUGAUUCGCUUUUUGAUGAUGGAUAUGGUAUAAAAGUGUUGACCCAAUUUCAAGCAAACACAAAUAGAAACACAAACACAAUCGGGACUAGAGUUGUGGGCGAUUAUCUUAGGUGUACAAGUGAAACGGUGGUGGCUGUCGAUGGUGGUAGUGGGGUGGUUGGGUAUGCGUGAUGGCUAGAUUUUAGGACAAUAAUGAUUGGAGUUGACCUCAAUCAACGAAGGAAAGUGACAACAAUUUUGACAUCAAACGGUGCAUUUUUUAGCUUAGUAAAAUGGAGCCGUUUCGAUUUUGGGGUUUAAUCCGGGGUUUGACUCGGUGCAAGUAUCAUUUUCCUUUUGUUUAUUAAAUUUUUUUAUGGUCACAAAGUAUCACUCGUUCUAUUUGAGAGUCAUGUGAAUCAAUUUUUCAAAUUUUCAAUUUUAAAUUUUGUGGUCAAUGUGAAUUCAAUUUCAUUUGUCUCCUGCAAUUAUGAAAAAAUUAAAUAGUCAUAAUAUGGAAAAAUACACCGGUAAAAACUUUGUAAAAGCUUCGGAGUGAUACGGGGAAUUCACUUACUACUAAGGACAAUUGGUGGCAAGCUAUUCCAUUCAUUUUAUGUCCAUCCAUCUAUUUAGUUAUUGAAGAUAAGUGGUCCAUUUGUAAAUUUCAGAUUGUCUCUCUCUCCCUCUUGAAAUAACAAUAUUUAAUAUAUCUCAUAAAUUAUUAUAAAUUUUAAUUUACUCUCGAUUUAAAAUGGAGCAUGUCGAUAAAUUUUUUUUCUUCUUAAUAAAAUUGACGUAAGUUGUGUUUACAGUAGUUUGAAGUUUGAAAUAUUUUAAAGAUUAUUAUUCUAUAAGGGAGUAAUAUGAAAUGAUAUUUACUUUUCAUGUGUGAAAUGAAAAAGGACGAAGCAAGUGUCCCUGCUUUUAUUUUAUUUCAAGGAGGAGUCAUCUCACAUACUUUAGCUCUUAACAUUACAUUUUUUCUGGUUACAUUUUUUAUUUAUUUAUUUUUUUUUUUUUACACAUGCGUGUGGGUUGCUUUUCUGUAAGCUCCUUAAUAUAUAUUUAAGACAAAUCAUGGAAGAGAUGGGAUUAUAUCAAGAUGAUCAAAGAAUGUUAAAAAAGAAAAAAGAAAAAAAAAAGAAGUAAGACACUGAAAAUGGAGAAGAGAUGGAAGCAAAAGAUAUUCCAAAACAAAGCAAUCUAUCCCCUUUCGAGGGCAGACUUAUCAGGUUUAAAAAAGUACACGCUUUGGAUUGGUAGUUGCAAUCAAGGGAAAAUAAAUAGGAUCCAAUGAAAUUUAAAUCUCGGAGAAAAUAAAUAAUCAUGCAGAUUUUCAAGAUUUUAAUAAGGGAUACUAAUAUCUUAUUUUGAUUAAUAAUAUCCUUUCAUUGUGUUAACUCAAAAAAUAUAUAUUUUAAUGUUUUGCAAUAAACAGAAACGUACUAUUAAAAUGAAUAUAUAAAGAAUUUAGAAAAUUUUGAAUGUUAUAUAAAAUAAUUUUAAGAUAAUGCGUGAGAUAUAUUUUAUUAAUUUAAAAUGUUAUUUUACCUAAAAAAUAUGAUAAAUUAAUAAUUACAUAUUUGAAGUUAUUUUAAAUAUUAAAAAAAUUUAAUAUUAUUAAUCUUUUAGAUAGAUUAAAUUAUUUUUUAUAAGAGAUAGAUUAAAUUAUUUUAAAAUACGUUAAUUGUUUUUACUUUUAACGUUACCGGCCUUUCUUUUAUUUUAUUGCAAAUUAAUGCUAACAAGAAAAAGCUAGAUCAUAUUCCACAAAAGCAAAAGUGACAAACACAACCAGCUGGAAUCUUUUAAUUACUAUUCAAUAAUUCGAGACGAUUAGGGUCUUUUAUUAAACUACAAAUUGUAUAGUCUUUUUAAAAUUGUUAUAAAUUGGUGGCACCUACAAUCCUCAAUAAUUGUACCGAUAUUCACAAGUUGGUGGCCCCUACAAUUCUGUUCGGAUAAUUUAACUGUGCAAGUGCUCAUUCACAAUAAUUGUUUUGUUUUUUUUUUCUGCAUUCCCUUUCAUGCUCUUAAUAAUUGAAGAGCAUACUUUUCAUUUUCAAAUGUGGAGCCGCAGCUAAUGUCGCUAAUUUAAUUUGGGAUUAAAUUAGGGGACCAUUAUAUUGCAGUGUGCACUAAUUUUUGUGUUUAUCUAAACUCCUUAAAUUUAAGACAUAUUAUGGCAUAAAUAAGAAUAUAACAAUAGCAAAAGAGUUAAAAAGUGUAGAGAAGAUCUUGCAGAAAUAUAAAUAAUAUCUAUUUUAAAAUAAUAUCAAUAUUUAAAAUAAUUUUUAAUAUUUUAUGAUUCAUUAGAUAUAUUUUAUUAUAUUAAAGUAAAUUUUAUAAUAAAUAAAAACAUACUAUUAAAAUGAAUAUAUAGAAAAUUUAGAGUAUUUUAAGUAUUAUAUAAAAUAAUUUUAAUAAAAUAUGUGAGAUAUUCAUAUUUUAUUAAUUUAAAAUACCAUUUAACCUAAAGAUUUAUUUAUGAUAAAUUAAUAAUUAUAUUUUUGAAGUUACUUCAAAUAUUAAAAAUAUUAAUAUUACUAAUCUAUUAGAUAGAUUAAAUUAUAUAUAUUAUUUUCUAUUUAUUAAAAAAUUUAAAAUUAUUUUUAAUUACUAUUCAAAAAAUAUAAUGAUAAAAAAGAAUCUUAACAUCUUUAUUAAAAAUUUAAAAAUUUACAUGAUCAAUUCUCUAAAUAUUUAGGGUUAUAUGUGAACAACGGUGGAGAAGCUUUAUUUAAUAUUAUUGAUUUAAAUAAUAUGUCAAUUAAAAAUGUACAGAGAAGGAAAUUUCGGUGGGUAUUUUAGUCUUUUCAGCAAUUAUCAUGAUCAGAUCAGCCUUUAGCCUUGAAUCGUCGGUCAGAAAAGUUUUAAAAUUAACGCUAACAAGAAAAAGCUAGGUCAUAUUCCACAAAAGCAAAACUGACAAAACAACCAGCUGGUUUCUUUUACUAAACUACAAAUUAAAAGUGGAUUCUUUUGAAUGCAAGUGGGACAGACGAUUAGGCUCUUUUUAUUAAAGGCAAGUAAAAACUAGUCGAAUAGUCUUUUUCAAAUUGUUGUUUUAUUAUUUUUCCUUCAAAAGUUAGUGUGGCUCAUGUUUGCAGGUGCGAAUGUGGGUCCCGAAUCAUUACUAAAAUUUCUAUUCCACAGCCCACCGCAGCUUCAGUUAAUCAAACUCAAAUCAAUUUUCUUUCUUAACAAAAUAUUCCAAAGAUGUGUAGCAUUUUUCAGAUCACAUGCGAUGGUGCUCUUUUCAAUCGUUGCUUGGAUUGCUUUCUUGGAAAAGCAGCAUACAUACGUAACCUCCAAGAUAAUGUUGAUACCUUGGGCACUGAAUUGGGAAAUCUGAUCGCUAGAAAGAACGAUCUGAUGAGGAGGGUUGUCGAUGCUGAACGGCAACAAAUGAGAAGGCUGGACGGAGUGCAAGUGUGGGUUUCGAGGGUGGAUUCUGUUAAAACUGAAGCUGAUCAAUUUAUAAGAGACGGCUCUCGAGAAAUUGAAAAAUUAUGUGUUGGAGGCUACUGUUCCAAGAAUUGCAUGUCAAGCUACAAGUUCGGGAAAAAAGUGGCUAAAAAGCUACGGGAUGUGCGGACUUUAAUCAGUGAAGGAGUUUUUGAGGUGGUGGCUGACAGAGCUCCAGAGUCUGUAGCAGAUGAAAGACCUACUGAGCGAACAGUAGUAGGCUUGCAAUCACAACUUGAACAAGUCUGGAGAUGUCUUGUAGAAGAAUCAGCGGGAAUCAUUGGCCUAUAUGGUAUGGGCGGUGUUGGUAAAACUACACUACUGACCCAUAUCAACAAUAAAUUUCUCGAGAGUCCAACCAACUUUGAUUGUGCGAUUUGGGUUGUAGUUUCAAAAGACCUGCGACUCGAAAAAAUUCAAGAAGAUAUUGGGAAAAAGAUAGGUUUGGUUGGUGAUUCAUGGAAGAGUAAAAGUGUAGAGGAGAAAGCUGUCGACAUCUUCCGGAGUUUAAGAGAGAAGAGAUUUGUAUUGUUGUUAGAUGAUAUAUGGGAGCGGGUUGAUUUAACAAAGGUGGGCAUUCCACUUCCCGGACCAAAAAAUACUACCUCAAAAGUCGUAUUCACAACCCGUUUCAUCGAUGUUUGUGGUAGCAUGGAAGUUGACAGGAAGUUUCAAGUAGCAUGCUUAUCAGAAAAGGAUGCUUGGGAACUGUUUCGAGAAAAAGUUGGGGAGGAAACUCUUCAGAGUCAUCAUGAUAUCGAUGAGCUAGCCCAAAUUGUGGUCAAAGAGUGUGGUGGUUUGCCACUCGCACUUAUUACUAUUGGUCGAGCUAUGGCCUACAGAAAGAAAGCGGAGCAGUGGAGACGUGCAAUUGAAGAGUUAAGGAGAUCAGCUUCAGAGUUUGCAGGUUUGGGAAAAGAGGUUUAUCCUCUUUUAAAAUUCAGCUAUGAUAGUUUGCAGAAUGAUACGGUUAGAUCUUGUUUCUUGUACUGUUGUUUAUAUCCUGAAGAUUAUGGCAUUCUUAAAUGGGACUUGAUUGAUUGUUGGUUUGGCGAGGGAUUUUUUGGGGAAUCUGACAGGUCUGGUGCAGAAAACCAAGGAUAUGACAUUUUGGACACUCUUGUUCGUGCGUGUUUAUUAGAAGAGGUGGAAGAUGAUGAAGUAAAAAUGCAUGACGUUAUUCGUGAUAUGGCUAUAUGGAUAACUUGUGAAAUUGAGAAGGAGAAGAGAAACUUUUUGGUUCGUGCAGGUGCUGGAUUAAAAGAUGCACCGGGUGUUAAAGGAUGGGAAAAUGUGAGAAGAUUGUCAUUGAUGCAAAACCAAAUUGAAACUCUGGCAGAGGUUCCCACAUGCCCUCAUCUCCAUACUCUAUUUCUUGACUUUAAUAGGGGGUUGGAUAUGAUCGCGGAUGGCUUCUUUCAAUUUAUGCCUUCUCUCAAAGUUUUGAAGAUGUCAAACUGUUCGAAUUUGAAAUUACCUGUUGGGAUGUCAGAGUUGGGUUCAUCACUAGAACUUCUUGAUAUUUCAGAAAACAGCACAAGAGAGUUACCGGAAGAGUUAAAGAAGUUGGUAAAUCUGAAAUGUUUGAAUUUGAGGUGGACAGAGCAUUUAAAUAAAAUUCCACGGCAACUAAUAUCAAAUUCUUCAAGGUUACGUGUGUUGAGAAUGUUCGCUACUGGCCGGUUCAAUUUUCAUGAAGCACCAGAAGACAGCGUUUUAUUUGGUGGGGGUGAAGUUUUGAUACAGGAAUUGCUCGGUUUGAAAUAUUUAGAGGUAUUGGAGUUGACCUUGGGAAGUUAUCAUGCUCUCCAAAUUCUUUUGAGCUCAAAUAAGUUAAAAAGUUGUAUUCGAUCUCUUUACCUCGAGUUGACCGGAGAUACAACGUCAAUUAUUGAUGCUACGGCUUUCGCAGAUCUAAACCACCUCAAUGAAUUACGGAUUGAUAAUGGUAUUGAGUUGGAAGAGUUGAAGAUUGAUUAUACGGAGAUAGUACGAAAAAGGCGGGAACCUUUUGUUUUCCGCAGCCUUCAACGUGUUACCAUAGCGGAGUGCCAUAAAUUGAAAGAUGUGACAUUCCUCGUUUUUGCUCCAAACCUCAAGUCUCUUCGGCUAUUCUAUUGCGGUGCUAUGGAAGAAAUAAUCAGCGUCGGAAAAUUUGCUGAGACUCCUGAGAUGAUGGGACAUAUAAGCCCUUUUGAAAAUCUCCAAAUGCUUGAUUUACAAGGUUUGCCACAUUUGAAGAGCAUCUUCUGGAAGCCAUUGCCUUUCACUCAUCUGAAAGAAAUGGAGGUACUUAGGUGCGAUCGGCUUGAAAAGCUUCCACUCGAUUCCAACAGUGCAAAGGAGCGCAAAUUUGUUAUUCGUGGAGAAGAAGACUGGUGGAACCGACUUCAAUGGGAGGAUGAAGCCACUCAAAUUGCUUUUCGUUCCUGUUUUAAAAGUGAUGCUUUAUUUAUAUCUUAUUCGUGAAAAGUGAUUUAAUUUCCUGCCAAAAGACGAACGAGAAGAACAAUAGAGUCAAACUAAUGCUCACAUAAAUUUCCCGUAAGAAUAUAUAAUUAGAUUGGAAUGCACACCUCUAGAUUGAACAGAAUUAAAGCUGAGAAAAUAUUGAGUAUAGUAGCCCUCUUUACAGAAAAUGACGUGAAAGUUAAUUUAGAAAGAUAUAUUCUUGAUUAAUCCAUUUUCUGAAGUUUUUAUUUUGUAUGGUCAAUUAUACCUUCAUACUAAAAAUUUCUGAAGUUAUAAAUUAGUGCAACUUGACAAUUUUUACUGAUGAUAUCUUCUAUUUUUCCCUUUUUUUUUUUUUCACUUUCAUAGACUGGCAGCGGAUCCUGCGGCACCAAUUUGAGAGAAUAUACUGACACUACUUCGAACAGCAAGCAGAAGAAGUAAUAUGUCUACGGCAAAGGCAAUGGAGUCCUCAUUUUGGCUCGAGAUGCAGUAAUCAUCGAAGAGAGUUUCCUUGUGAAACUGGGCAACACAUUGAAUCCCUUCACCACUGAGAAGGUUGUGGAGGAAGUAAGCUUUCUCUCCAGUGAGGAAGAGGUGGCAUAUACCUUCCCCAUUUUGUUGAGGGCAGGUAGGAAUCUUUUUUCUAAGAGAUUUACUUCGUUCUCUGUAAGAAAUGCUUUGAACUUCAUCCCUCUGUCUCUAUCCUCACUUAUCAGGAAAUAAGUUGAAAGCACUAUGAAGAGAGAGAGAGAGAGAGAGAGAGAGAGAGAGAGAGAGAAUUAAGAUAUAUAGACAAGAAAAAUAUUUGACGUUGAUCUUACAAACUAAUACUUCAAGCAGUAUCCUAGAAAGCUAAAAACUGCAAGAUGGCUUGAAAUUUGAAAAGAGCACAUGCUUUUCCUCCUUAACUUGAGAAAAUGUUUAAUAUAGUGCACCUUACAGAAGCAUUUAAGCAAUUAGAACUUUGCACAAAAACAUCAAGAAGACUAAACAAGUCAGAUGCAGUGUAUUUGUCCAAGCACAAAUUGCAUUUUUUCCUCAACUUUAAUAUUUAUUGAUGAGAAUCAAUACAGGUCCCUCAUUUGUUAUAGAAAGCUUUCUUUCUUGUAGUCUCACCAGUUAAUUCAGAGGUCUAUAAUCAUCUUGCAAAGUUAAGGGCAUUUCUUUUGAUCUAAAGUCUUUGCAUCACCACCUCAUCACACGCCAAGCCAAUAUUCCAUUUACCUCUACAACAAAAAGUUUUAAUUAAACAAUCCUAAUGCACGCAGCCAAAUAAAAUGCAGUAAGAAUAUUCAACUUAAAAAUCUGAAAGCCAACUUGGUGAAUUGCCUCCUUAGGUGAAGUUCCAUGCUUUACUAUAGUUGACAGAACUCAGCAAAAGCUUCCAUACAACAGAUUUUGAAAAUGAUGAUGCCAACAGAUACUCAUUCAAUGCAUUGAAACUCCAAAGGUUCAUUGUUCAUAGAAGUUUACAGAGUUUUGGUCAUCAAAUAGCUCAGACCUAAUCCCAAACAAAAAAUGAGUGAAAAUUAGAUCACGAGCAGCUAAUUGUAAAUUCUAACUUAACUCUUCAUCUCCUUUGUAAACAAGAAACAAAAUGGAGACACGCAAAAUGAAUAUGGAGAAAAUUUGAACUCAAAUGAAAUGAGGGCAUGAAAGCAAACAAAUGGCAUGCACCAAAAAACCAAGCCUCAAUCAAAAACUAAUUAACCAUUAAGAAAAAAAUUGGUCAGAGAAUGAACUCCAAAUUCAGGAGUCAAGCAAGAAGCUUUCAUUAUUAUCAAAGUCAAUUAUCUUUGUUAGUAUGCGAGUGUGACGACUAUAGGUUGUUCUUUUUCUAAUGUCAUAUGAUUCCAAUUUUAGGUACAGGGCAUCUCUCUCUCUCUCUCUCAUCGCUAAGUGGAUAUUUUUCUCUUUUGUCAUAUACUUUAGUUAUUCUUCAAUUUACUAACUAAAAUGAAGGCCGCUUUAUUAAGAAGUUAUAUCCAGUUAUAUAAUUUGUUGUAUUUAAUAUAUGUUUGGGCUCAUAAUUUUUUUUAAAAAUAUAUAUUUCAUUCUCCAUAAUUUUUUCCCAUCAUAGCUACGAAACGUCUUAGUUUCGACUAAAAUCCUAAAAUUGGUCCUUAAUUGAAUAUGCAUUGCAAUUUGCAAAUGUAAUAUUGUGAAUGGGACACUGGAGAUACCAAAAUGGUCAAAUGCGAAAUAAGUUAGGAUUGUACGAUGUAGUUUGUAUUCAUAUUCAAUGCCUUUUUUUUCAAAAAACAAAUUGAAAUGCCAUUACUAAACGAUUCUUGAUGAUGGGAGCCACCGUGCCAGCUUUGUCGCUGAUUUGGUAUUAUUCUUAACUUGCAGAUAGUUGUGGAUAUGAUAUGCAAAAAGGUAAGGACUAUAUCUUCUUGAUGGAGGCCUCUGAUUUUUUCCCUUCUAUGUAAUUUAGUAAAUCGCAUUUUCCCUUGUGAUUGAUAUAUCAUACCAAAGUCAAGUCUUAAAUACUGCUGUCAUAUGUUAAGGUUCAACUUCCAUUUUGAUUAACGUCCAUUUGCUGCUGCUUCCAAAAGUGAGAAUGAGAUACUUUGGUUAAUUUCAGUAGUUGAACCCAAUAGAGUACUUUAUUUAGAUCUUCAUGGUUCAAAGGCCUGAAAAAACUUGCCGGUAUUUGCAAAAUGACAUUCUGUGCUUUUAUUUAGGCUUAUUAUUUAAGUGAUAAAAACUCCCGUAACCUGCUGUCAAGAAAAUUUCAGAUUGUUAAAAGACAACAUUUUGUUUCAGCCAAAAAUGUUUGUUUCGAUUAAAGACUUGAACCAUUUUCAUUUAACCUUGAUUGUGAUGCUUUACAUUAUGCAUGUUCCUCUCAAUCAAUAAAAGUUGAGGUCAUGAUUUUAUAUUUCUAUUUUGUAACUUGAAAUAAUUGGUCUGCCUGUUUCUGUAGCUUGAUAACAUGAAUUUUUCCUUCUGAAGUUAAUUUGAUCAAUAAAGUAAUUCUUCGGAGAUGAUAUGCCCAUUCUAUAGUCAUUUUCUUAGGUAACAUGUUUUUUCUUCACUCUUCAGAGCAUGUCUAAACUAAUUGAUCGCUCAGCGGAGACUUUGGGUGAGAAGACAAAAUUUCUUGGUAAAUCCUCUAAAAAGGUAUGCAUAAUUCCCGAGUAUUAAAUAAUCAUUGGUCAUAAUUUUUGUACACAACUCUUUUUUUGGAGAUCGUUAAAAGUGGUUGAUGAUCUAUUUUGUAAUAUCAUAGAGGGAUCAUGAAUUCCUGUUCUUUUCUGUGGCUAGGCAACACUUUCGGGCCAAGCUAAGGAAAUCUAUUUUAGGUAAUGUGAAAACCAGUUGUAGGAUGUAAUAGUUUAUUAUGCCCUGACAAUAACUUUUUGUAUAAUUGUCAGUUUAAUGAAUACAAGAGGAACUCUGUUGGCAAAUUCAUCCAUGAUAGAUGCUAAAAGUAUUUAUGCAUACCAGUUGCCUUAACUAAUUUUUCUCAACACUGGUAUUGAACAGGAAAAUGAAUAUGCAAUUUGUAUAUUGUGCCAUUGUGGAGAAUUUGGAUAUUCUUAUUUAAGUAACAAGGAGAGUAUUUGCCUCAUCUUUAAACAAUGAAUCUUUGAGAAAUGAGGAGUGGGUGAUUGGCAGUGUCUUCAUGUAAAUGUUCAUUUAUUUGUAUUUUGAACUAUUAUGAGAAUCUUUGUAUGCCAAAUUAGUAAUACAAAUGUUCAGAUGAUUUUUCCUGUUGAUCAUGCGUGUGUAUCUGCACACAACCAUUGUGUCCCACUUUAUUCUGAUGCACAAAUAUCUGUAGUUUAGAAGAAAAGAAAUAAUAAUCAUAUAUUAUUGCUUGGUUCAUGAUUAUUAAACGAUUAUGGCUUUAGAAAAUCCACAAAUCCUUUGUGUUCAUAUAUGAAUGUGCGAAGUUUGCUAUCUCUUAGAUUACCUUCUUCCAAGAUAACAAGUUCAUAUAUUUUUUUUAAUCCUUUUUCAUCACAGUUGAAUUUCAAGUGUAAGUUUUGUUAUUAAUAGCUGGUUUCCUGUUAUUAUGAUUUCAUAAACAGUGAGAGGAUAUGUGCUCUACUUUUGGAGGGCCUCCACAUGAAAGAAAAUUGCAACAAUUGAAUUCUUCCGGAGGGUAUGGUAUUUAAUUUAUUUUCUCAGCUUGUUGUAAGACUAAUAUAUUUCCUUCAGUACCCAAAAGGACAGAAAUGAAUUACGGAAGGAAGUUUUUGCUGCUUUAUUUAGUGCUGCUGAGAAAUCUGAUGGAUUUCCUGAAAUUACGGUGAAGACGGAGUGGAGGUCCAACGCAUUAGGAAAGGUGGUGAGUGAACCGCCGGAGGAAUUAGUACCAGAAUACAAGGCUAAUGUGGUGCACUUGCAGCAAGAUGACCAGACCUGUAUGUGCUCUUAUAUUAACUAUAUUGGUUGGAUUUGUGAGUGUGUACAUUUUUGUGUGUAUACUCACAUUUGUAUUUAUGCAUAUUAACGUGUGUAGGAUUCUUGAUUUCUGCCACUUACUGGAGAACUAGUGGAAAGCUUUAUACUGAUAUAUGUGCUAUAACUAAUGGAAACUACAAUAUGAAUAUUUUCUCUCACCUGGAGAACUGUGUAACAGAUAUAAUUUGUGGCUCUGGAAUACUGAAGAUUCUGCAAUAACUAAUGGAAAAUAUGAUAUGAAUAUUUUUUCUCACCUGGAGAACUUUGUAACAGAUACAUUUUGUGGCUCUGGAAUGUCUAAAGAAUGCUUCAGUUUAGAUCAAAUAUCUUUUAGUUAGAAAAGAUAAAAUUCUCUGAAUCUGAAAGACUGAAACAUUUUGCAUAUUUUGUGAAAGGGAAGUAUCUGUAGAUACUAGCUCAUGCAUUGAGGUAAUAUCAAUGUUAAAGAAAAACAGCAAUAAUUUAUUAUACAGAAUUAGGUUCACUUGCUUUAAAUGCUGGUCUGAUCAACCAUAACAACCUGUAAUGGUCCUGCAGAAAUAUAUAUACGGGGAGAAACUAGCUAAAUUUUCCUUUCACUUAUGGGUUUGGUCUUUUUUUCCCCUAUUUUUCAGCUUUCCUUCUCCUGAAGUAUGUUAACAAUUGCAGAUAAUGACGAAGAGGACCGCUUCCAGGCUCUUUGUAGAGCUGUGAUGGAAUAUAGGGGCACAAUGAAAGAAUAUUGUAAGGUUGUAUGUACUUUCUCUCUUGUCAUUUAUGUUUUCUCACACAUUUUGUUUAUGCCCUGAACAUGCAGCUUUGUAUGUGUCAAUUGCCUUUUACGUUUUAAAAGCCAUAAAGUAAGAAUACAGUUCCUUGUCAGGCUAUUGAUGCGUUCGCUCAGAAGGGUCAUGUUCAAGCAGGAAAACUUCUAGAACAGGUAAGGUUUCCAUCUACAGCCAUCCAUUGACAGCAGAUAUAUUUUCAUUAAGCAGACACUGUUAGCAUUCAAGAUGCUGGCAGAUUCACUUGAUUCUUAUUAGUUUGUUUAGUGGCAAGGCAUAUAACCUGUAUUUCAAAGCCAAGUUGUGCUAUUGAUUAUGUUAACUUUAUUGUUAACAUAAAGUGAUAUGGAGGACAUAAUCAAUGUAGGAAAAUUAGGUGAAGAGAUGAUGUCAAAUCUUGAACCUCUUACAAAGCUCCAAGUUCUUUACUUGAAGAAGCUGCCAAAUUUGAAGAGCGUCUACUGGAAGGCAUUUCCAUUCCCAGAUGUAUGCAGAAUUUUUGUAUUAAUGCCCAGUUCUUAAGAACCUGCCACUGGAUUUUCAAGGGGUGGGCCAAGGUAAAAUUCUUAUCAAGGGAAAGGAAGAUUGGUGGAAAGAACUUCAAUGGGAGGAUCAAGCAACUCAGAAUGCAUUGCUUCCAUUUUUCAAAUCAACUGACAAGUGAUUGAAGGGGGCAUCAUCAACAUCAUCAACAGAGAUGGAGAGAUUCUGGAGCAGAUCAGCAGGGUUUGUAUAUGAUCUUUGGUGGUUGCUUUCUUUUGUGAUUUUUUUUUUCUUCCUGUCAUUUUAUCAUUUCUUUGUCUCUUUUUUUAUUGCUGAUGUUAGUGUAUGCUUACUGUUGCUUGACAAAGUUCGCUUGCUUCUUGUUUAUUAAAUUUUUUAUCGUCACAAAAUAUUACUUGUUCUAUUUGAGAGUGAUGUGAAUCAAUUUUCAAUUAUAUAUUUUGUGGUCAAUGUGAAUUCAAUUUCAUUUGUCUCCUGCAAUUAUGAGAAAACUGCAGAGUCAUAAUAUGGAAAAGUACACCAGCAAAAACUUUGUAAAAGCUUCGGAGUGAAACAGGGAAUUCACUUACUACUAAGAACAAUUGAUGGCGAGUUAUUCCAUUCAUUUUAUGUCCAUCUAUCUAUUUAAUUAUUAAAGAUAAAUGGUCCAUUUAUAAAUUUCAGAUUGUCUCUCUCUGAAAAUAACAAUAUUUAAAAUAUCUCUUAAAUUAUUAUAAAUUUUAAUACACUCUCGAUUUAAAAUGGAACAUGCUGAUGAAAUUGUUUUCUUCUUAAUAAAAUUGAAAUAAAUUGUGUUUGCAGUAGUUUGAAAUAUUUUAAAGAUUAUUAUUUUAUAAGGGAGUAAUAUGAAAUGAAAUUUACUUUUCAUGCGUGAAAUGUUGAAAAAGGACAAAGCAAGUGUCCCUGCUUUUAUUUUUAUUUUAAAGUGGAGUCAUCUCACAUACUUUAGCUCUAUCAUUACAAUUUUUCAGGUUACAUUUUUAUUAUUUAUUUAUUUUCUUUUUUACACAUGCAUGUGGGUUACUUUUCCGUAAGCUCCUCAAUAUAUAUUGAACCCAGCGAAGAAUGUUAUGGAAGAGCAAAUUAAUGAUAUUUCUGAUAGAGUCUAUUUGAUUAUGUAGCCUGAAUGGAUGUCUUGUUGAAAGAUAUCUCAGUGCAUUAGUUCAUCCUUGUCUGUCAAUGUGUUUUUAAUGGUUUUUCCAAUUGUUUAUUAUUAUAGAUUGAUUGUAAAUUGAUAUGAAAAUUUGAUAUGAAUUUAAUGUUGAAAUGUUUUCUCUUUAGUGGAAUGAAUUUAAAAGUGCAAAAGAUUAUUGCACACAGAGAAAUAAACAUAUAUGCUUUAUAACUUUAGCAAUCGAUUCUUUUACAGCUGGAAACAGAGAUGAUGAUUAUCAUAAGGAUGAAGAAAAGUAGUGCGUUAGACGAUUAGACUCUCUUAUUAAAGGCAAGUAUAAAGUAGUGAAGAAUCCAAUAUCUCUAUUGUCUAGUCUUUUGUUUAAUUCUUCUUUUAUUAUUUUUCAGAAUAAUUUUUGGUGAUUACAAUCGGGUUAUUAUUCAGAGUUAUUGUUAUCUUCUGGGGCAGUUUCUGUUCAUCGAAUUCAUUAAUUAAAAUUUUAGAACUCUUAUCAGAAGAAUAUUUUUCGGUUAUCUUUUUUAUGUUCUAAUUCCAAUUGUAAGAAGUAGCCAUUUUAGAAUUUGGGUCUUGAAUCGAAUUUCAAUGCAUGAAUUAAUAUUAAAAAAAAAAAAUUCACUACUCGCAGUUUAGGUUACAAAUUACUUUUUGGAAAGUUGACUUUGGAAUGUUUGCAAAGAAAGAGACUAACAUAUUUCCAAUUACACUAAAUCUCUAUUAUGAUAAUGUUAAGACUAAAUUAAUUUAAAUAAUUUUUAUUUGAAAAUUAUAUCAAACGCAGUCUAAUUUUAUUAAUUUUAAGAAAUAAUAAUUAUAAAAAUUAUUGUUCUGACUUAAUUAAUACAAGUGAUAUAAAAGUUAAGUGUGCACUAAAUCUGUUUUAAUUUUUUCCAGUAUAACUAACAGAGGUCAUUACUAGAAUUAUAUUACUAGUCUAUUAGAUAGAAAAAAUUACUUAUAUUGUUUUAUAUUUAUUAAAAAAUUUAAAGCCAAUUUUUUUAAUUACUAUUUAAAGAAUAUUAUAAUUUGAAAAAUUUUAAUAUCUUUAUUAAAAAUUUAGAAAUUUACAGUCCUCUAAAUAUUUAAGGCGUAACUGUCAUUUUCUCAAGAAGCUUUAUUUAAUAUUAUUGAUUUAAAUAAUAUCUUAUUAAAAAUGUACUGAGGAGAAAUUUUGGUGGGUAUUUUAGUCUUUUCAGCAAUCAUCAUGAUUAACCUUUGGUUGGCCUUGAAACGUCGGUCAGAAAAGUUUUAAAAUGCUUAAUUGUUUUUCACUGUUAACGUUAGUGGCCUUGAAAUUGCUUAUAUUUUAUUAAAAAUUAAUGCUAACAAGAAAAAACUAGAUCGUAUUCCACCCCCAAAGCAAAAGUGAUAAAACAACCGGCUGUAUUCUUUUAUUAAACUACAAAUUAAAAUGGAUUUCUUUAAUUAAAGUGGAUAUCAUUUAAUUAAUGUUUGAACAUUAAAGUUCUGAUAUAUAACCACUAUGCCGACCACCUAAUUGCUGCUAUUUAAUUUCGUUCCAGUUCUCUCUCUCUCUCUUUUUCUUUUUUUUUUGGGCCAAGCAAUAAAUAGUAAAAAUUCAAUAAAAGCAAUAUUAAUGCUGCAAGUGAGUCAUGUUAUUUAUUGUCAAUUAGGAAAUGUGAACCUAAUUUGAUUGCAUCCCUUUAAUCAUUUAAUAAUUAUGUAAGCACCAUCCCUUUAAUUAUUUAAUAACUAGAAAAUAGAACACUGCGUUUCACGCGGCUUUGAAAAAAGAAUUUAGUAUUAUCUUUUUUUCUUACUUUACACUUGAUGAAACUGAUAAAAAAUAUGAAUUGAUUUUUUUUAAAGAUGAGGCAGCCUUAUAAAAAAUAAAAAAAGCUAUUAGCCAGCAAUACAAAUAAAGAAGGAAUGCAAGAUAAAGAAUAAAAUGAGAGAAUAUAUUAUAGAGUGAUCUUAUUCAUUCUAAUUGUGUGUGUACAAAACAAAAAGAUGAGCUCUCCUUUUAUAACUACAUAAUUACUUCAUGAAAUUAAUGAAAAAUUAUGAAUCAUAAUUUCUUGUGAGAUAGUGGGAGUUAUUGGGAAGCUAAAAGUUGCUAAUGGGAGAUAGUGGGGAGACUAAGAGAUAUAUAUUAUGAACAUCUACAUUUAUUUUAAUAAAUUCAUAACACUCCCCCUUAAAUGUUCAUUACAAAGAAUAUGCCUCAUUAAAAUCUUUACAUAAUUGUUAUUGUGUAAUAACAAUCAAAUUAAUUAUAAGAAGAUGAAAAGCCAAAUCUAACAGAAAAUUUCUCUAUUUAUUAGAUAAUAGAGAAUAUAGCAAGAUGAGAAAUGGUAAUGCCACAUCAUCUCCUCACGUCCCAACUUUAUAUAUAUAUAUAUAGAUAAUAUAUAUUAUUCCUGUCCUACAUUCACAUAUUUAAUUGUCCUUUUGAAAAUAUUCAUGAGUUAGGCCAAGUAAAGUCAAAGAAAUUGGGAAAAAGGAACAAAAGGACAAACCUAAAUUAAUUGAACCUAAUUCAUGAAAAUGCACACUUUUGUGUUGCGGACGGCGGACCCUAAAGCUUCGUUGUUUGCAGCUGCAAUUAAUUCUUUUCCUUCAAAAGUUAGAGGCUCGUGUUUACAGUGGGUCCCGAAUCGGACGUACCUAAUAAAUCUUUUAAAAAAAUUUGCCGUAUAAAGGACAGAGGUCAUUACUGAAAUUUCUCUUCCACGGGCAAUUACAGCAGCUUCAGUUAAUCAAACUCAAAUCAAUUUUCUUUCUUAACAAAAUAUUCCAAAGAUGUGUAGCAUUUUUCAGAUCACAUGCGAUGGUGCUUUUUUCAAUCGUUGCUUGGAUUGCUUUCUUGGAAAAGCAGCAUACAUACGUAACCUCCAAGAUAAUCUUGUAGCCUUGGACACUGAAUUGGGAAAUCUGAUCGCUAAAAAGAACGAUGUGAUGAGGAGGGUUGUCGAUGCUGAACGGCAACAAAUGAGAAGGCUGGACGGAGUGCAAGUGUGGGUUUCGAGGCUCGAUGCUGUUAAAACUGAAGCCGAUGAACUUAUCACAGACGGCUCUCGAGAAAUUGAAAAAUUAUGUGUUGGAGGCUACUGUUCCAAGAACUGCAGGUCAAGCUACAAAUUCGGAAAACAAGUGGCAAGAAAGCUACGAGAUGUGGAGACUUUAAUCGCCGAGGGAGUUUUUGAGUCGGUGGCUGAGAGAGCUCCGGAACCUGUGGCAGAUAAAAGACCCACUGAGCCAACAAUAGUAGGCUUGCAAUCACAGCUUGAACAAGUUUGGAGAUGUCUUCUUGUAGAAGAAUCAGCGGGAAUCAUUGGCCUAUAUGGUAUGGGCGGUGUUGGUAAAACCACACUGUUGACCCAUAUCAACAAUAAAUUUCUUGAGAGUCCCACCAACUUUGAUUGUGUGAUUUGGGUCGUAGUUUCAAAAGACCUGCGACUUGAAAAAAUUCAAGAAGAUAUUGGGAAGAAGAUAGGUCUGUUUGAUGGUUCGUGGAAGAAUAAAAGUGUUGAGGAGAAAGCCGUAGACAUCUUGCGGAGAUUAGGAGAGAAGAGGUUUGUAUUGUUGUUAGAUGAUUUAUGGGAGCGGGUUGAUUUAACAGAAGUGGGCGUUCCACUUCCCAGCCCACAAAAAUACUACAUCAAAGUCGUAUUCACGACCCGUUUCAUUGAUGUGUGUGGUAGCAUGGAAAGUCACAGGAAGUUUAAAGUGGCAUGCUUAUCAGAAGAGGAUGCUUGGGAGCUGUUUCGAGGAAAAGUAAGGCAAGAAACUCUUGAGAGUCAUCAUGAUAUCGUUGAGCUAGCCCAAACUGUGGCCAGAGAGUGUGGCGGUUUGCCACUCGCGCUUAAAACUAUAGGUCGAUCUAUGGCCUACAGAAAGACAGCUAAGGAGUGGAGACAUGCAAUUGAAAUGUUAAGGAGAUCAGCUUCAGAGUUUGCAGGUUUGGGAGAAAAGGUGUAUCGUCUUUUAAAGUUUAGCUAUGAUAGUUUGCAGAAUGAUACGAUUAGAUCUUGUUUCUUAUAUUGUUGUUUGUAUCCUGAAGAUUAUGGCAUUCUUAAAUGGGAUUUGAUUGAUUGUUGGAUUGGUGAGGGAUUCUUAGAGGAAUCUGACAGGUUUAGUGCAGAAAACCAAGGAUACUACAUUGUGGGCACUCUUGUUCAUGCAUGUUUAUUAGAAGAGGUGGAAGAUGAUAAAGUAAAAAUGCAUGACGUUGUUCGUGAUAUGGCUAUAUGGAUAACCGGUGAAAUUGAGAAGGAGAAGCGAAACUUUUUGGUUUGUGCAGGUGCUGGAUUAAAAGAGGCACCGGAUGUUGAAGUAUGGGAAAAUGUGAGAAGAUUGUCAUUGAUGCAAAACCAAAUUGAAACUCUGUCAGAGGUUCCCACAUGCCCUCAUCUUCUCACUUUAUUUCUUGACUUUAAUAGGGAGUUGAAGACUAUUGCGGAUGGCUUCUUCCGAUGUAUGCCUUCUCUCAAAGUUUUGAAGAUGUCAAACUCUGGAAAGCCUUGGAAAGGUUUGGAAUUAAAUUUGGGGAUGCCAAAGUUGGGUUCACUACAGCUUCUUGAUAUUUCACACACCUGCAUACAAGAUUUACCGCAAGAAUUAAAGUUGUUGGUAAAUCUGAAAUGUUUGAAUUUGAGGCGGACAAUUUGGUUAAAUAAAAUUUCAUGGCAACUAAUAUCAAAUUUUUCAAGGUUACGUGUGUUGAGAAUGUUCGCUACUGGCUGGUUCAAUUUUCAUGAAGCACCAGAAGACAGCGUUUUAUUUGGUGGGGGUGAAGUUUUGAUACAGGAAUUGCUCGGUUUGAAAUAUUUAGAGGUAUUGGAGUUGACCUUGGGAAGUUAUCAUGCUCUCCAAAUUCUUUUCAGCUCAAAUAAGCUAAAAAGUUGUAUUCGAUCUCUUUACCUCCAGUUGACCGGAGAUACAGCGUUAAUUAUUGAUGCUACGGCUUUCGCAGAUCUAAAACACCUCAAUGAAUUACGCAUUGAGUCGGCUACAAAGCUGAAAGAAUUGACGGCUGAUUAUACAGAGAUAGUUCGAAAAAGGCGGGAACCUUUUGUUUUCCGCAGCCUUCACCAUGUUACUAUACAAAGCUGCCAGAAGUUGAAAGAUUCGACAUUCCUCGUUUUUGCUCCAAACCUCAAGUCUCUUUCGAUAGUCAAAUGCAAUGCUAUGGAAGAAAUAAUCAGCGUCGGAAAAUUUGCUGAGACUCCUGAGAUGAUGGGACAUAUAAGUCCUUUUGAAAAUCUCCAAAUGAUUGAUUUACUAGGUUUGCCACAUUUGAAGAGCAUCUUCUGGAAGCCAUUGCCUUUCACUCAUCUGAAAGAAAUAUCUGUGCGUUAUUGCCCUAAUCUUAAAAAGCUUCCACUCGAUUCCAACAGUGCAAAGGAGCGUAAAUUUGUUAUUCGUGGAGAAGAAGACUGGUGGAACCCACUUCAAUGGGAGGAUGAAGCCACUCAAAUUGCUUUUCGUUCCUGUUUCCAACCCUUGUUCCUGAACAGUGGUCGCAAAAUUUGAUUUCUGGUGAGUGCGUUUGUCUUUUAAAAAGAAUAAUUUAAAAGAAAUUUAUUCUUGUCGGUUUCUUCACUGUUUUUAUUUCAGUUUCUCUCUCUCUCUCUCUCUCUCUCUCUUUUUGUCUUCUGCAAAUCACAAUUACAUUUUUAUUCUUGUCGUUUUCUUCACUGUUUUUAUUUCAGUUUCUCUCUCUCUCUCUCUCUCUCUUUUUGUCUUCUGCAAAUCACAAUCAAAUGUUGAAUUAAUGGAAUUAAUGCUUCAUAAAUUUGCCGGCACUGCCAUUACUUUUUUUUGGGGGAUCGAAUUGAUACUUUAUUUAUAUCUUCUUAGCGAUUUAAUUUCCUGUCAAAAGACGAACGAGAAGAACAUAUGACUUAAACCAAUGCUCGCAUAAACUUGCUGUAAAAAGAUAUAAUCUCACUGAAAUGCACACGCCUAGAAUGAAUAGAAUUAAAACAGGGAAAAUAUUAAGUAUAUUAGCCCUCUUUACUGAAAAUCAAAUGACAGUAAAUUUUUUGAAGUUUUGAUUUUCUAUGGUCAAUUCCACCUUUUGCAAUUUCUUCUGUUCUAACAAAAACCAAUUUCUUUGUUCAAGUAUUUUCGUUUGGAUAUUAAUAAUUCUCCACCGAAAGAGUGAACUCUUGCUCAAAGGGAUCUCUAAUAAUACAUAACAUGAUUAUUUUCGUUUGAAUAAUUGAUUUCUUGAUUGAAUUGUCGUGUAAUUGAUUUAUGGGGGAUGACACAUCAACAUACUUGAAAAUACACUAAUCUCAGCAUCAUCGGUUAAUAACUUUUAGAUUUAUGGGUAAUCAAUAGUUAAGAUUAGUUGUCAUUAAUACUAAAUAAUUUUUACUUUUUUUGUCUCUUCUAGAGGAUCUUCUAGAAAAAUGCAUCCACAAUUAAAUUUAAUACUUUACAUAAUAAACAAAGCCUAAAUGUUAAAUUUAAGAAACUGCAUUGUAUUUCAGUUGAAGUUGACUUUAAUAUUUAGGGUAGAAAAACAAUUAAUUUUAUUUUUUGAAAUGUCCAUAUUCAGAGCACAUUUCAAAAAGACUCAAUAAUUUCUCAUAAAUUUCAAUUAAAAAUAUUCAAUUUGUUGUUUCAGUUCUUUUAUUUUUUAUUUUUUCCGACAUGAAAGCGACUUAAUGUUACUAAAUUGGGUGGUCUUUGGAUUUUCAUGACCCAAUAAUUGGAACAAAACAAUUUUCUCAAGCGCUCUCCCGCAACAUUUUAUAAUUGAAGCCGCUGCCCCGCCCGUGGUUUCAAACUUUUUUCUUUCUCCUUGUUUAAAUUAAUGGGAGCAGCCUCCGUCCUUGACUAGUUGACUGCUUGUCUUCUUUUUUUUAUUAAUUAAUUAAUUCAGCCGCCCCCCUUUCUUGUCCCAAUAUCUUCUACUUUCGGUUUCCUUUUAUUAUCUCUUUAUUUUUAAAAAAUGCUUAUAAUAAUAAUAAAAUAUAAAAUAUAAAAAUAAAAAUAUAAUUUAUCAGAAAAUUAAGAUAAAGAAAUAUUAUAAGCACAUCAAUCAACAAGUGAAAAAAAAACAAUUUUAAUUUACAUUAAAUAUAAACUUUCAGUGUUAAUCAACUUUUCUAAAUAACUAAAUUAAAAAAUUAAUUGAUUUAAUUGUGGUGUAAUUGAUUUGUAGGGGAUGAAUCAGCAGCAUCAUCGGUUAACGCUUUCAGAUUUAUAGUUAAUCAAUAGUUGAGAGUUGUUAUCACUAACGCCGUGUAUUUUUUAAUGUUUUUUCUCUCUCCUACAGCAUCUUCUAGGAAAGUGCAUCCGUUGCUAAAAUUUAGUAUCGUAAAUAAUAAACCAAGAAUAAAUAUUAAAUCUAAGAAACUGUAUUGCAUUUAAUAUUUAAGGGAGAAAAAUAAUUAUAGUGUCUUUAUUAAUCAGUAAAAAAAAAAAUUAGAAUCAUAAUAAAUUGUAUUGUUAUUGAUGUAUUUAUUUUAUUUUAUACUCAAAAUAAAUUAUUUUAAAUUAUUAAAAUAAUUUAAAAUUAGUAUUUUAUUUUAUACUCAAAAUAAAUAAUUUAAAAUUUUCAUUUCUUGUUUAUUUCGCAAGUUGUUAUUGCCUAAUGCUAUGUCAACUCGAACAUUAGCAUUUUUUUUUUUGGUCCUCUUUUAACGCAAAAUUAGUGUAGGUUAAGUAACAUAAUCAAUAUUAGGACAAUUUGAAAUCCCUAUGGGUGCGUUUGGUACACUGUAUUGUAUUAUACUGUAUUGCAUUAUUUUAAUGCUGAUGUAUUGUAUUAUGUUGUAUUGCAUUAGCACUGUAUUAUAACAAUGCUAUACAAUAUUUGGUGUUACAUUGUACUGUAUUAGAUUUUAAUUAUAUUAUAUUUAGUGUUACAAUUGUUGUAACAUAAACACGACCAAAAUAAAUUGUACUAAAUAAUCUAAGUAAGAGUUCUGUAGUAUAUGUAAUAAUACUAUUUAUAUUAUUAUUAUUAAUAAUUCUAAAUUAAUAUUAUUUAAUUUUAUUCAUAUUUAAAUAUGUAUUAUUAGUUUAUUAAAUUAUUUAAAAUAAUUAAUUUAUAUAUAUUAAUUAUUGUAACUUAAUUAAAUAAUGUAAUGCUAUAUUAUAUUUUUAUAUACUAUUUAAGUAUUUAUUAUUAAUUAUAUUUAAUUAUAAAUUUAUUAAUAAAUUAUAAUAUAAAAAUAAAAAAUAAAAAUUAAUAUUGUAUAAUAUUAUAUUAAAUUAAAGUUUUAUUUUUAUUACUAUUAUUAUAAAGUAAAAAAAAAAAAAAGGGAAGCUACUGACUUUUGAAACACAAAAGUCAGUAAUACAACCUAAUCACGAGGGGGGGCGCGGGUUUUGAUAAUGCGGCAAAAGCUGCAUUGUAAUGCUGCUCAAUGCAAUCCAUUUGAUCACCAAACACAGGUAUAUUUUAACUAAUGCUGGGCCCACAAAAUAAUACAAUGCAAUUCCGCAUGCCAAACAUACCCUAUGGGUGCGUUUGGUACACUGUAUUGUAUUAUACUGUAUUGUAUUAUUUUAAUGCUGGUGUAUUGUAUUAUGCUGUAUUGCGUUAGCAUUGUAUUAUAAUAAUGUUGUACAAUGUUUGGUGUUACACUGUACUGUAUUAAUUUUUAAUUAAACUAUAUUUGGUGUUAUAUUGUAUUGUAUUAAUUUUUAUAAUUAAUUAAAUUAAAUAAUUAAAAAAUAAUAUUUAUUAAUACUUAGAAAAAUAAUAAAUAUAGAAAUCUUAAUUGUAGAAAUUUAACAAAUUUUUUAGUAAAUAUUAAAAAUUAAUGAUUAAAUUUCUAAAAUUUGUAUUAUAAUUAUGAUAAAAUAAAUUUAUAAAAUUUAAUAUUAUAUGUAAAUAAUAAAUUUAGAUUAUAAUUAAUAUUAUAAUUGUUAAUAUAAAUUAAUAAAUUAUUAUUCAAUAAUAUUCAAUUAUAUUUUAAUUUACAAUAUAUUAUUAUUUUUACAUUUUAAUAUAUUAAUAAAUUUAUAAUUUAACAUAAAUAAUUAUAAAUUUAAAUAAUAUUAAUUUUAAAAUUAAUAUUAAUGUAAAUAAUAUUAUAAUAUUAAUAUAUUAUUUUUAUAUGAAUCAUUAAUAAAUAAAAUAAUAUUAUCAUAUAAUUUAUUUUUAUAUUUUAUUCAUUAUAUUAAUAUUUAAUAAUAAAAUAAUUUAUUUUUAUAAUAUUUUAAUAAAAUAAAUUUGCCUCAAUUGAGGCAUUAACUGUUGCCUCAAUUGAGGCAAAAAGCUUCCGCAUCCCUCGGGUUUGCGUAAUGCGGCCCCAUGCCUCAUUAUGCUGCAUUAUAAUGCAGCAUAAUGAGGUGUCAAAUUUUGCCAAACAUGUUCUUGGUAAUAAACUAAUGUGAAUAGUAGUAUAAUACCACAUAAUCUCAUGCACCAAACACGCCCUAUGUGUAUUAUUCACGGUAUCUAUGAGGGCUUAUCCUUUUGCUAGAACAAACUCUAGCAAAUUGUCAAAUGUGCUUAUCCUUUCCCUUGACGACUCAUUUUAAAAUUGUCACUCAUUUUAAAAUUGUCUUUCAAUGCACAAACACAGACAUAACCGCCGACAUCGAGCACCAAGUUUGGAAUUUAAUUGAUAAGCAUACAUUUGAUAAAUUAAUGAAAAGUUUGGAGAGUAGUUUUGAUCACCCUUGAUUAGGACGGUAUUACAAAAAAGAUCAAAAAGAAAACAUCGUCUCUCUUCACAAAAAUAAAUAUUUUCCGUUAGAAUUUAAUACAAUAAUAUUUUUUUUGAUUAAAAUUUAAUUAAAUACACAAAUAAAUUAUAUAUUUUUUAAAAAAAUUUACACCCAGUCACAAGGCUGGCUAUUAAACUUAAAGGGUGGAAGCUUCGGAGACUAAAGUUGGUAACUUCUCCAAGUGGUCUUAAGUUGACCGGAACUACCCAGACUUUAUGUUUGGUAGCCUAGACCUGAUCGGACCUAGGCCCAAGUUUGGUCUUAAAGUCCACAAUUAAAUUAAAAAAAAAUUAUUUGAUUUGUAAUUGAUUUAUGGGGAAUGAAUCCGCAGCCCUAAAAUUACACCAAUCUUGACAUAAUGACAUCAUCGGUUAAAAACGUUCAGAUUUAUGGUUAAUCAAUGGUUUGAGAUUUGUUAUCAUUAAUGCUAGAUAUUUUUUAACAUUUUUUUCUAUCUCUCUUCUCCUGAAGGAUUUUCUAGGAAAAUGCAUCCACAACAAAAAUUUUAAAUUGUAAACAAUAAACAGAGUAUAAACGUUAAAUCUAAGGAACAUCGCUGCAUUUCAGCUGAAGCGAACUUUAAUAUUUUACGGAGAAAAAUAAUUAAGUCUUUAAUGUGAUUUAUUGAUUAAUAUAUAUGACUAAUUUUUUAAAAGAAGAUGAAGGAUGAAGCUUAAAAAUAUAAAUUAUAGAAUUAAUUUAUCUCUUCAAUAAAUCUAAAGUUUAUUUUUUUUAUUACAUGCUUCUAUUUUAUUUUUAUUCCAUGUUAAUGAAUGGAGAUUUAAAUCCAUUUUGGAUUUAUAAAGAUGUUUAGAUAUUUAAAUCCACGUGUGAUUCCAAACUUGAACCUUUUUUUUUUUUUUUUCUAAUUAAUGCAAACAGCCGCCUCUUUGACUGCUUUUCUUCUUUGUUUAUUAAUUAAUUAAUUCAGCUGCCCACCUUUCUUUUCCUAAUGUUUUCUACUCCCAAAUUUUUUUAAGGACAAGGCUACGUUGCAGACGCUGUACCUAACAGCUGCACCUUCGCCAGCUUAAAAAAGGGUGCAUUUGGUAAGCAACUUUUCUUUCGUGUGCAUAUGUGUCCUGCCACCAUUGGGUGUGUACGUAACAGAUAAUGUACCGUAACAAGCUCCUAUUUUUAAAUUUGUUUAUAAUGAUAAAAUAUAAAAAUUAAGAUUAAAAUGUAAUGUAAUGUAAAAUUAAAGGUGGAAGAGUAUUAAAAUAAGGCUAAACCUAUGUUACGUUUAACGUAACAUACAUUUAAAUAUAUAAAAUAUCAAUGGAAACCCUCAAAUUUUAUGGAAACUAUAUUAAUAAAAUUAAAAGAAAUAUUUUUAAAUCUGAAAGAAGAAAUAAAAGAUAUAAAGCAAGAGAUAGGAAAACUAAAAAUAGAAAUAUCUGUAAAAGAAAAAGGAAAAGAAAAAUUAGAAAUAAAAGAAACAACUCCAACUGAAUCGAAUUCAGACUAAUGGAAGAUGUAUUAGAAACUUUAACUGAAAAAUUCAGUGACAUAAAUCUUAGUGAUUUAGAAGACUUUGAAAAAGAAUAUUAGAUAAAAAUGAAUACUGCUGGAGGACCAGAAAUGAAACCUAAUGUAGCAUAACCAAGUCAUAGAUAUGGUAUAAAUAAAAUGAAAAAUAAACCUUUUUACGAGUAUAUACCUCCUAUUAAAAAUACUCCUUGGAAAAAAGAAUACAAACCAAAUCAAGAUACAUUAACCCCAAUAAAUAAUGCUGGAACAUUUUUAAAUCUAGAUUGUAAGAUAGACAUUCGAAAGGCGUUAGCAGAAUGGGUGUUACAAAUGAAAUUAUUUUUUAUAUUUAACGGGUCAAAGGAUGACUAGAAUGUAGAGACUGAAGAAGAAAAAAUAGAUAUAUUUGUUGAAAUCUUAAUAGCCAGUUUUUCAGGAAAUGUGUUUAAUUGGUGGAGAGGAUUAAGCGAUGAUACACAAAACUUAAUAAAAGAUUCAACCAAAUAGCAUUUAGAAAAAAUAAAGCCUUAGGAAUGGAAAGGAUAACUGAAUACAUAGCUAGUGAAUUUUUAGGAGAAGAUUGGCUAGAAAAAUCGGGCAUAUAUGAAAAUUUAAAAAUUUAUGAUAAAAAGAUCUUAGUGUUUUUAUUAAAAAAUUAAAAUUUACAUGACUAUUUCUUUAAAUAUUUAGGGCAUAUAUGAACCACGGAGGAGAAAAGCUUUAUUUAAUAUUUUAGAAUAGUUUUUGAUCAGUACAAUUGGGUCCUUAUUCAGAAUUAUUGUUCUCUUCCGCAACAGUUUUUGUUUAUCAAAGUCGUCAAUUAAAAUUUUAGAAUUCUUAUCAGAAGAAGUAGUCGUUUUAGAAGUUGGGUCUUGGAUCAAAUUUCUACGAGUGCAUGAAUUAACAAUAAAAAAAUUUCAUUACACACGGUUUAAGCUACAAACUACUAUUUGCACAGUUGACUAUAAAACUUACCUCCAAUUACACUAAACCUCUCUAUUUGGUAACGUUGAGACUAAAUUAAUUUUAUUAGCAUGAAAAGAUGAUAGAAAUAUAAUUAUAAAUAUUAUUGUUGUUAAUCAAUUAGUACAUGUGAUAUAAAGGUUAAAUGUGCACUAUAUUUAAUAAUUAAUUAGUGGAGCAUGUUAAACAAAAUGUUAAUGUAUAUUUAUAUAGUGUUAGGAAUAUGCAAAGUCAAGUCCUCAAUUUGCAUUAUCCUGUAUAGAAUAUUACUCUAAAAAUGUUUUACUAUAAUUGGCUUAGAACAUUUGUAAAGAAAAAUAAUAAUAAAAUAAUAAAUAACAUACACCGUCACAUAGCACCUAGACAAUGAUAGAAAAUUAUUAAAGAGAGUGCAAACAAUUAAUUAGAGAUUUUUAUGAUGACUUUUAAUAUUCAUGAUAAUAACAAAUAAAUACAUGUAUCACUUUUUUAAAAUAUUAAAUUUGACUGCUCCAUUAAUAAAUUAUUAUUGUAAUUCAGACUCUAUCUAUAUAUCCUUGCACUAAGAAUAAUUAAGGUAACGUUUGUUUUUUAACUUAAUGACUUAAAGUGACUUAACUUAAUUAAUUAAGUUAAUUAGAGGUGUUUGUUUUAUAACUUAAUGAGACUUUUUAGAUAAUUUUGACUUAAUAAAAUAAGCUAAUUUUUUUUGGCUUUUUACUUAAUGGAGAAAUCUGAAUUAAGUCAAUUACUUGCUAAUGUCAAAAAUAUCCUUGUUUUAUAAUUUAUUUUUCAUGUCUAUCCCAAAACUCGCCCGUAGAUAUUUACCCCACAUAAAAAUAUCCCUGUUUUUUUCUUUCUUAUAUUAUAUACGAUAAAAUUUGAAAUUUAUAGUAUUUUAUAUAUUAAAAUUCUAAAAUAAUUAUGUAUUCACUUGAAUAUAGUUUUACUUAUAAAUGUUAAAAUAUGAUGGUAUUUAAUAUAUUAUUUAUUUGACAUUCAAAUUUAAUAAGGAUACAAAUGUAAAAGUACAUAUUUUCAGCUUUUUAAAUUGAAAAAAAAUAACUUAAUAUUUAUUUUCUGAGAUUCAGACGAAAAAAUAAACAUAUUAUUCAGAUUCAUACAUUCAGAUCUAUUCAGAAUUCAAACUAAUUCAAGUCUAUUCAAAUUUUAGACAAAAAAAUAAACGCCACCUAAGUCAUAAUAAAAAUUUUCGUAACUACAUCUCGUUUCUUCCUCAUAAUAAUAAUUAGAUUGGUUCGAAUAUUAUAACUAUAUAGAUUUAGUGUAUAGCCACAUCCAAUUUAAAUAUUGACCCAAUUGGGAUGGUCCCCAAAAAAAAAGAUUCGUUAAAGGAUAAUUCUAAUUAUUUUUACUUCUCAAACGUUAGUGGGACGUUUCUAUUAGCGCACUCGUAAGCCAAGUUGUCAAAUAUUUAUACUAAACUACAAUUGCUAACAAGAAAAAUCAAGAUCGUGUUAAGCAAGUGGGUCCCGAAUAGGACGUGCAAAUCUCUCGUAAGUCAAGUUGUCAAAUGUUUAUAUAAAACUAACAAUUACUGACAAGAAAAAUCAAGAUCGUAUUAAAAAUGGGUCCCGAAUAGGAUUAUCUUUUUAAGAAUAUUAUUAUUUUAUUAUUAAAAUUUUAUUAAUAUAACAGUAUUAAAAUUUAUUAAAAAAUAUAUUUUAUUAUUAAAAUUUUAUACCGUUAUCAAUUUAUUAUUAUUUUAUUAAAAAAAUUAAUAUUUAACAAAAAUUGAGAUAAAAAUUAAUUUUUGUUCUCUGUCUUUAUUUAUUUAUUUAUUUUUUUGGGUCUUCUGCAAAUCACAAUCAAAUGUUGAAUUAUAAAUUUGCCGGCAUUGCUUUUUUUUUUUUUUUUGGGCCGGGGGGUGGUGUUGAAUUGAUGCUCUGGGUUUUUGACUUUUGUUGUCAAAUUUUACUCUGUUUUUCCCAAAUUGAUGCUANNNNNNNNNNNNNNNNNNNNNNNNNNNNNNNNNNNNNNNNNNNNNNNNNNNNNNNNNNNNNNNNNNNNNNNNNNNNNNNNNNNNNNNNNNNNNNNNNNNNNNNNNNNNNNNNNNNNNNNNNNNNNNNNNNNNNNNNNNNNNNNNNNNNNNNNNNNNNNNNNNNNNNNNNNNNNNNNNNNNNNNNNNNNNNNNNNNNNNNNNNNNNNNNNNNNNNNNNNNNNNNNNNNNNNNNNNNNNNNNNNNNNNNNNNNNNNNNNNNNNNNNNNNNNNNNNNNNNNNNNNNNNNNNNNNNNNNNNNNNNNNNNNNNNNNNNNNNNNNNNNNNNNNNNNNNNNNNNNNNNNNNNNNNNNNNNNNNNNNNNNNNNNNNNNNNNNNNNNNNNNNNNNNNNNNNNNNNNNNNNNNNNNNNNNNNNNNNNNNNNNNNNNNNNNNNNNNNNNNNNNNNNNNNNNNNNNNNNNNNNNNNNNNNNNNNNNNNNNNNNNNNNNNNNNNNNNNNNNNNNNNNNNNNNNNNNNNNNNNNNNNNNNNNNNNNNNNNNNNNNNNNNNNNNNNNNNNNNNNNNNNNNNNNNNNNNNNNNNNNNNNNNNNNNNNNNNNNNNNNNNNNNNNNNNNNNNNNNNNNNNNNNNNNNNNNNNNNNNNNNNNNNNNNNNNNNNNNNNNNNNNNNNNNNNNNNNNNNNNNNNNNNNNNNNNNNNNNNNNNNNNNNNNNNNNNNNNNNNNNNNNNNNNNNNNNNNNNNNNNNNNNNNNNNNNNNNNNNNNNNNNNNNNNNNNNNNNNNNNNNNNNNNNNNNNNNNNNNNNNNNNNNNNNNNNNNNNNNNNNNNNNNNNNNNNNNNNNNNNNNNNNNNNNNNNNNNNNNNNNNNNNNNNNNNNNNNNNNNNNNNNNNNNNNNNNNNNNNNNNNNNNNNNNNNNNNNNNNNNNNNNNNNNNNNNNNNNNNNNNNNNNNNNNNNNNNNNNNNNNNNNNNNNNNNNNNNNNNNNNNNNNNNNNNNNNNNNNNNNNNNNNNNNNNNNNNNNNNNNNNNNNNNNNNNNNNNNNNNNNNNNNNNNNNNNNNNNNNNNNNNNNNNNNNNNNNNNNNNNNNNNNNNNNNNNNNNNNNNNNNNNNNNNNNNNNNNNNNNNNNNNNNNNNNNNNNNNNNNNNNNNNNNNNNNNNNNNNNNNNNNNNNNNNNNNNNNNNNNNNNNNNNNNNNNNNNNNNNNNNNNNNNNNNNNNNNNNNNNNNNNNNNNNNNNNNNNNNNNNNNNNNNNNNNNNNNNNNNNNNNNNNNNNNNNNNNNNNNNNNNNNNNNNNNNGAAGGGUCUCUAAUCAAUAGCUGGAAGCAAUUGAGAAGGCGGUUGCUACAGUGAAUUCAAAUGUAAAAUGUUUGCUAUUCUUCGAUUUGGUUAAUGAUUUCGUAUGAAUAUUGUUGUUCCGUUGAGUUGCAUGCGAAUUCAAAUGCAAAAUAUUCUUCGAUUUUCAAUUUUGAAAUCAAAUUUUUUUUUCCUUCUCAAGCAUGUUAUGCAGAAACGAUUGUCAUGUUAUGCAGAAACGAUUUUUACUAAAUCAUUUUUAACAAACUAUUGAAAUUAAACCACUGGAAUAAGAAUUGUAAGGAUUUAUCGUAAGCUUACUAAUACGAUAAUUCUGAAACUAUCACCUUUUUUUUUUUAUUUGUUGCAGGGAAACCCAAAUUUUGUAUUUUGUCAAUUUCAUCUGAUAUGGAAUUUAUUUCCUCCCUAAAGAUUUAUCAAACUGCUUCUCUUCCCUGCUUCAAUAUCUUUAUGCAAUUACGAUCUCAUAGGAAAAGAGAGUUUGGGUUGUAUAUCUUAUAGUAUUUAUUUAUUUUUUGUUAAAAGAAAUUUAUUUUAAAAUAGUUUAUAGCAACAGUUUUUAUUUAACAAUAAUGAGGAAGGAUUAUUAUAGGUUCAAAUAGUUGUUAGAACAUUAUAAAAAAGUCCAUUUACUAUCAAAUGUUUUAAAUUGGUGCAACGUGAUAAUUGUCUCAUAUAAUUUUUUAAGGGUAAAAACUCGUUUCAUUCCCAUAUUUUAAGAUUAUUACUCAUUUAGUCUUUAUAUUUUUAAAAAUGUUUCAAAACAUUCAUACCCUUAAAUUAUUAACAUCUCUGCUGUUACUUUUUAUUUUUUUUUGACUUGUUUUUACAAUAUUGCCCUCUUACAAUAAUGUUUCUUUUUAUAAAAUUAAUAAAAAGAAAAAAAAUUAAAUUAUCAAUUUAACCCCAAAAAUAAAAUAAAAAUAAAAAGAAUAAAUAUUAAUUUUUGUGAAAGUUUACAUGUGUCCAAAAUAAAUUUUAUUGUAAAAAUAAUUAAAUUGCCUUUUUUUUGGACAUUAGUAAUAAAAAAAUUAAUAUAUUAAUUCCUCAGCAGUGUGUUACAAAAAAGUAAAAUAUAUUAAUUUUGUUUUUAUUUUAGACAAUGAGAUAGAGAAAAGUACAAGAUAAAGGAAAGGACUUCAAAACUCACUGUUCAUCAUAAUGCCCUUUGCCUUUAAAAAAAAAUCAUUCUAAUAUUUUAUAACACAUAAAAUAUAAUCCUAAGAUAAAUAUAAUAAUACAUAUUUUAAACUAAUCUCGAUAUUUAAAAUAUGUUUUAAUAUUUUAUAAUCUAUCAGACAUAUUUUAUUAUAUUAAUGUAAAAUUUAUAAUAAAUACAAACAUAUUAUUAAAAUAAAUAUAUAAAAAAUAUUUAUUUUUUAUAUGUUUACACUGAGGACUCUCUUUAAUUCAUUUAUUUUCUCUCUCUCCAAACAGGUACUGUCUUCAGUUAGCAAUGCUAUGAUAGUAAUCCAAUUCUCUUCUCCCCCACCUGAGCGAGAUUUGAAUUUGAAUCCCUUGUUUUUCACCCACUCUGUUUUUUUUCACGCAAGAUUUGACAAUUUGAGUUAAAAAAUAUGGUCCAAAACUUGAACACGUAUCUUUUAAUUGUAAUAAAAGUUCUUUAAGCUUUGGAGAUGGCAUAUAUAUGGCUGGAAGUGUCCUUUUCUUUGACCUAGAGGCAGCACCAAGCUAUCCAGCAUCAUCAUUUUUCAAGUGGGUCUUAAAUGCCUAGAAACGUUGGUGUUUCUUGAUUUAAAGAUGACACAUGCUAUAAGUGUGAAUGGUUUGGCUAAGCCUAAAUUUAAAGUCUACUCAAGUCGCAUUCAGGAUCAUGGAAAUUGGAAAGGGAGAGAUGAUAGCAAGAUUUAUAAUAAACAAUUAACUUGGGUCCUCAGUGUACAAAGCAAAUGCCACGCAAGCGAUAGCCGGCCCAGCCCAGAAAACCCAGUGGCGAUCCCAGAGAUGGCCUCCUCUAACGAGUGCUGGGCCCAAAAAUCUUUGCGGGUUGAGCCCAGCUCCGGCAUAGCCCUUUUGAGCAGUAACAGUUGUCGAGACAAAAACCAGAAGACCCAACACUGUUCCAAUGACAAUGCAUACGGUAAACUCUGCCAAGAGCCUUGGCUUGUCUGGAGUCAAAAGCCAUCCACACAGAAGCAAAAAGGAACACAAACGAGCAAAUUAUCUCAAGCCAAAGGGCCUGCCUAGUCCCCAAGCCGAUCUCAACAGGCCCAUCUGGCCCAGGUACGACAACAUUCAGGGUGCAGCCUCCAAGUUGUCAAAUAUUUAUAUUAAACUACAAUUGCUGACUAGAAAAAUCAAGAUCGUAUUACAAGUGGGUCCCGAAUUGGACGUGCCUAAAUCUUUUUAUAAUUUUCCCAGUGUAGCGGACAGAGGUCAUUACUAAAUUUCUCUUCCACACGCCACAGCAGCUUCGGUUAAUCAAACUCAAUCAAUUUUCUUGGCUUCUCCGCUUAUCAAUAUUACAAGGUAUGGGUAGCAUUUUUCAAAUCACAUGCGAUGGUACUAUUUUCAAUCGUUGCUUAGAUUGCUUUCUUGGAAAAGCAGCAUACAUAAGUAACCUCCAAGAUAAUCUUGUUGCCUUGGAGACUGAACUAAGGAAACUAAUCGCAGCAAAGAACGAUGUGAUGACGGCGGUUGUCAAUGCUGAACGGCAACAAAUGAGAAGGCUGGACCAAGUGCAAGUGUGGGUUUCGAGGGCGGAUGCUGUUAAAAAUGAAGCUGAUGAACUUAUCAGAGGCGGCUCUCAAGAAAUUGAAAAAUUAUGUCUUAGAGGGUUCUGUUCCAGGAACUGCACGUCAAGCUACAAGUUCGGAAAACAAGUGGCUAAAAAGCUACGAGCUGUGGAGACUUUAAUCGCCGAAGGAGUUUUUGAGGCGGUGGCUGCCGAGGUGGUGCCUGAGAGAGCUCCAGAGCCUGUAGCAGAUGAAAGACCUACCGAGCGAACAGUAGUAGGCUUGCAAUCACAACUUGAACAAGUCUGGAGAUGUCUUGCAGAAGAAUCAGCGGGAAUCAUUGGCCUAUAUGGUAUGGGCGGUGUUGGUAAAACUACACUAUUGACCUAUAUCAACAAUAAAUUUCUCGAGAGUCCAACCAACUUUGAUUGUGUGAUUUGGGUAGUAGUUUCAAAAGACCUGCGACUUGAAAAACUUCAAGAAAAUAUUGGGAAAAAGAUAGGUUUGGUUGAUGAUUCAUGGAAGAGUAAAAGUGUAGAGGAGAAAGCUCUCGACAUCUUCCGGAGUUUAAGAGAGAAGAGAAUUGUAUUGCUGUUAGAUGAUAUAUGGGAGCGGGUUGAUUUAACAAAAGUGGGCGUUCCACUUCCAGGACCACAAAAUACUACCUCAAAAGUCGUAUUCACAACCCGUUUGAUCGAUGUUUGUGGUAGCAUGGAAGCUGACAGGAAGUUCAAAGUAGCAUGCUUAUCAGAAAAGGAUGCUUGGGAACUGUUUCGAAAAAAAGUUGGGGAAGAAACUCUUGGAAGUCAUCAUGAUAUCGUUGAGCUAGCCCAAACUGUGGCCAAAGAGUGUGGUGGUUUGCCACUCGCACUUAUUACUAUCGGUCGAGCUAUGGCCUACAAAAAGACAGCCGAAGAGUGGAGACACGCAGUUGAAGUUCUAAGAAGAUCAGCUUCGGAAUUUGCAGGUUUGGGAAAAGAGGUGUAUCCUCUUUUAAAGUUUAGCUAUGAUAGUUUGCAGAAUAAGACGAUUAGAUCUUGUUUCUUAUAUUGUUGUUUAUAUCCUGAAGAUUAUGGCAUUCUUAAAUGGGACUUGAUUGACUGUUGGAUUGGUGAGGGAUUCUUAGAGGAAUCUGACAGGUUUGGUGCAGAAAACCAAGGAUACUACAUUGUGGGCACUCUUGUUCAUGCGUGUUUACUAGAAGAGAUAGAAGAUGAUAAAGUAAAAAUGCAUGACGUUGUUCGUGAUAUGGCUCUAUGGAUAGCUUGUGAAAUUGAGAAGGAGAAGAGAAACUUUUUGGUUUGUGCAGGUGCGGGACUAAAGGAGGCACCUGAUGUUAAAAGAUGGGAAAAUGUGAGAAGAUUGUCAUUGAUGCAAAACCAAAUUGAAACUUUGUCAGAGGUUCCUGCAUGCCCUCAUCUCCAUACUCUAUUUCUUGCCUCUAAUAAUAGUUUGCAGAGGAUCACCGAUGGCUUCUUCCAAUUUAUGCCUUCUCUCAAAGUUUUCAAGAUGUCAAACUGCGGGAAUUUAAUUUUGGAAUUACCUUUUGGGAUGUCAAAGUUGGGUUCAUUGGAACUUCUCGAUAUUUCACAUACCUACAUACAAGAGUUACCACAAGAGUUAAAGUUGUUGGUAAAUCUGAAAUGUUUGAAUUUGAGGUGGACAAGCGAGUUAAAUAAAAUUCCACGGCAGCUAAUAUCAAAUUCUUCAAGGUUACGUGUGUUGAGAAUGUUGGGUACUGGCUGGUUCAAUUUUCAUGAAGCAUCAGAAGACAGCGUUUUAUUUGGCGGGGGUGAAGUUUUAGUACGGGAAUUGCUCGGUUUGAAAUAUUUAGAGGUAUUGGAGUUGACCUUGCGAAGUUAUCAUGCUCUCCAAAUUGUUUUGAGCUCAAAUAAGUUAAAAAGUUGUAUUCGAUCUCUUUACCUCCAGUUGACCGGAGAUAGAAAGUCGAUUAUUGAUGCUACGGCUUUCGCAGAUCUAAACCACCUCAAUGAAUGAUUGAUUUUUAAAGGUUUUGAGUUGGAAGAAUUGAAGAUUGAUUAUACAGAGAUAGUACGAAAAAGGCGGGAACCUUUUGUUUUCCGCAGCCUUCACCGUGUUACCAUAGAUUCGUGCCUUAAAUUGAAAGAUUUGACAUUCCUCGUUUUUGCUCCAAACCUCAAGUCUCUUUCGCUAUUCAAUUGCCGUGCUAUGGAAGAAAUAAUCAGCGUUGGAAAAUUUGCUGAGGUUCCUGAGAUGAUGGGACAUAUAAGCCCUUUUGAAAAUCUCCGAAGUCUUCGUUUGUCACAUUUGCCAAAUUUGAAGAGCAUCUACUGGAAGCCAUUGCCUUUCACUCAUCUGAAAGAAAUGGUGGUACAUGGGUGUGAUCAGCUUAAAAAGCUUCCACUCGAUUCCAACAGUGCAAAAGAGCGUAAAUUUGUUAUUCGUGGACAAGCAGACUGGUGGGACCGACUUCAAUGGGAGGAUGAAGCCACUCAAAUUGCUUUUAGUUCCUGUUUCCAACCUUAACUUGAUUUCUGGUUAGUGCUGUUUCCUUAACUUUUACAUAUAUUCUCGUCGUUUGCUUCGUGCAAAAUACUAGGUCUUUUGUUCUCUGUUUUUAUUUCGCCCAUUUUUUUUUUUUUUUUUUGUCUUCUGCAAAUGACAGACAAAUGUUGAACUAAAAGGAAUUAAUGCUUUAUAACUUUGCCGGCAUUGCUUUUUUCUUUUUCUUUUUUGAUUUUUUGGGGCGAGGGGGGAUCGAAUAGAUGCUCUGGUUUUUGACUUUUUGUUGUCAAAUUUUACUCUGUUUUUUUCAAAUUGAUGCUUGAAUAUUUGAAUCAAAUUAAUGCUCACGUAAAUUUGUUCAGUUGCCGUAAAAGGAUAUAAUUACACUGAAAUACACAAACUCUAGAAUGAAUAGAAUUAAACAGAGAAAAUCUUGAGUAUAUUAGCCGUCUUCACAUAAAAUCAUAUGAAAAUUAAAUUUUGAAGUUUUUAUUUUCUAUUUUUAAUCAUACCCUUUAUAAUUUCUUCUGUUCUAACUACAAUAAAAUUUUUGGUUCAAGGAUUUUUAUGAGGGGUAUUAAUAAUAGUCCACCAAAAGAGUGAACAGUUGGAUGCUGCCCUAAGGGUCUCUAAUCAAUAGCUGGAAGCAAUUGAGAAGGCGGUCGUUACUGUGUACAAAGCCAUGCAGUAUUUGCUAUUCAUCUUAGUAAUUAUGAAGCUUUGGUAAAAUUUUCAAACAAAGUUGACAUGUUAUUUUGAGAUUUGGUUCAUGAUUUUGUAUGAAUAUCGUUGUUCCAUUGAGUUGUAUAUGAAUUCAAAUGUAAAAUAUUCUUUGGUUUUCAAUUUUGAAUUCAAUUUCUUUUCUUAAGCAUGUUGUGCAGAAAUGAUUUCUACUAAAUCAUUUUUGAUAAACUACUUAAAUUAAACAACUGCAAUAAGAACUGUUAAGGAUUUAUCGUAAGCAGACUAAUAUGAUAAUUCUGAAACUAUCAUUUUUUUUUUCAAUUUGUUGCAGGGAAAGCCAAAUUUUGUAUUUUUCAGUUUUAUCUGAUAUGGAAUUUAUUUCCUCUACACUAGCUACCUAAAGAUUUAUCAAAUUGCUUCUCUUCCCUGCUUCAAAUUAAUAUCUUUAUGCAACUACAAUCUCAUAGGAAAAGACAGUUUGGGUUGUAUUUAUUAUAGUUUUUUUUUUCGUUAAGAGCAAUUUAUUUUAAAAUCGUUUAGUAGUAACAGUUUUUAUUGAAUAAUAAUGGGGUAGGAUUAUUAUAGGUUCAACUAGUUGUUAGAACAUUAUAAAAAGUCCAUUUACUAUCAAAUGCUUUAAAUUGGUGCAACAUGAUAAUUGUCCCACAUAAUUUUUAAUAAUAUAUAUGGCCCAUAAAUUUAAUAUGAAUAAAUGAGUUUCGAUAGUUAAAUUUGAUACGAUUAUUAAAUAAGUUAUAUCCAUGUCAAUUCGACUUAAAAUCUGGUAAAUUUAGAUUUAGAGUUUAUAACAUGAUAACUUGUUUUAUGACAUGAUUUACUAAUCAAUUAAUAUUAAAUUAUAUUUUAGCCAAUCAGAUAUGUGGUACAUUUGUCAAAUUUUAAAAAUUAUUUAUUUAUAUAUGAAAUAAAUUUGACUAGACUGUGUGUAGGUAAUAGUGCAUAAUUUCUAAAAAAAUGUAAUAAUAACACGUUAAAAUGUUAUUUUUAUGAAGAAAAAUUGAAAUUUUAUUAAAUAGGCGACACAAUAAUAAAUGGGUUGAGAUUAUUUACAUUUUAAGAAUUACUCUGAACAUUAUUUUAUUUUAUAAAUUUUAUAUUACAAAAACACCCAUAGUUUAAUUUACCAUUAAGAACAAUUUUGUGCGAUUAAAUAAAAUACAUUACUCUUUACCCUUUCACUACAUCGACAUAAAUCCUAAUUGUUAUGUUUCUAAUUUCUUUGAUAUGCUUAUUGAAGUCCACAUUAUAAUCAAUUUUAAACUAUUAUACCACUUAAAUACAUUUUAGAAUGAGAAGUUUGGUUUUCUUCAUGGGCUGCCUUGCUGAUGCUGUUAUUGAAACUAUCGAACUUAAUAAUUUUAUGGCCAAAAUGAUAUAUGUUGAACCAGCUUUUACAUCGAAUUCUACCACCAUAAAAAAUCGUACUUGUAACAUCUCAAGGUUCCAAUUUAUCAAAAGUUAAUCAUUCAUAUUUGUUAGUUCCUAACAGUCACAAGAGCGUACAAGCCAAUUUUUGUAGCUCCUUUUUCUGCAGUAGAUUCAAGUAUAUUAUUAUCAAGCAUUUUUGUUACACCCUUAAUUCCUUAUCAUCAUCCCUUCAUUCAGAGCAACUAAACAGAGGUCAAUGUCAUUAUGUUAGAGUUACGAGGAAGAGUACUGCCAAAAAAGUUCUUUGUAUGGGAUUUAAUUUUCUGGGUUUGUAGUGAUGAACAAAUUGAGGGUUGUUUUGGUAUUUUCAAGAGUGUAUUGAGUGAAAAUUAUUUUUAAAAAAUUUAACAAAUGAGUGUAAUGAGUAAAAAAGUGUUUAAAGUAUUUUUUAGAGUACAAAUAGCUCCACCUUAAUAAAUGAGUUCUUGUAAAAAUUGAGAUUAUUGAUAUAAUUAUUAAAUAGGUUGGAUUGAAGUUAGUUUAAUUUUGACAAGAUAAUAAGACGACGCGACACAAAUACAACCAACCAGUCAACCCAAAUUGCAACCUUUUACUAAUAAAAGAUACCUGUUUGAAAAGUAAUUAUAAGCUAUCUUCUUUGUGUUAUUUCUCUAAAAAUUUGCGGCACAAAUAUUAUUUCCAUGGAGAAAAGUACGAAAUACCCGCUUUCACUUCAGCAGAAGCAAAGCAAAGCUAUGAGCCAUCUCUGUAUAAUUGAAACGCCAUUGCUAAACGGUUCUUGAUGAUGGGUGCCACCGUGCCAGCGUUGUCGCUGAUUUGCAUGAUUUAUUAGUUGUUCAGAUGGCGGAUUUUGUACUGUCACUUUCAUUUCAUUCUUGAGAGCCACGUACAAUACUAGGUGGCAUUGAAGUUGCCCCAGUGGUUAGUUUUCUGAUUUUUUUUAAUUCAAAUUUUUAUGUUUUAGAAAAAUGUAAGAAAUAUGUAGAAAUGUUGACAGCUACAAUUUUGAAACUUUGCCUAAAAUUAUUAUCGUUGCUUAUUGUUUCUUAGCUAAAGAGAAAUCCUAGAAACAUGAAAUUAUUAUUCUAUGCUUGUUUUAAUAUUAUACAUUAGCAGGUUAAUUAAAAAUUAGACGUGAAUACAACAAGAGAUAAGUGGAGAGAAUUUGGUAGUCGACCGCAUUUAGAAUUUAAUUUUUCUUUUAGCUGCCGAUCAUUAAAUUUUAUAUUUCAGAAAAUUAUACCUAGAAUAUUUCAAGGAUAUACUACGAAGAUUAUGAAGGUUUGAUUACAUGUCACUAUCAAUUGCCUCAAUCAUUUGUAGUAAAUUAAUUAAUCAUUUUGCUGCAAAUGAUUUCCUAUUAAAAAAUUCAAGUCAGAGCUGAAUUGCACAGUAGUUAGUCGUGCUUGCAAUUCAAAUCAAGUAUUGUAUUUUCUGCCUGAUUUGGUUGAUUCAACUAUGUGCAUUUGCAUAAUGGAGAUGCUUAUGAACGUUGUAGUAUAGAAAUCGAAACGUCUUGUCUUUUGCUAAGCCCAGAAGCAAAGUUCUUUGUAUUAUACUCAUCAGUUUUCUUCGUUCUCUUCGUUGAAAUUUUAUCCAAACAGCGGUUUCUUCGAAUUUUUGCCCUCUCUUACAUUUUUAAAUCUAUCAAAGAACGGUUACCUGAGAAGAUUGCCAUCAGGUAUUUCGAAAUUGAUUUCACUACAAUACCUUAAUCUAUCAGAUUUUAAUCUAUCAGAUGCUCCCGUCACUCAGUUGCCAAAAGUGACAAAAGCCUUAGUAAAUUUUUAGAGUAAAAACUCAUUUAUUCCUUAUAUUUUAAGAUUAGUAUCUAUUUAGUCCUUAUAUUUUGAAAAAUACCUUGAAACAUCACUGCCAUUAAAGUAUUGAUACCCUUACCGUUACUUUUUAUUUAUUUUGGCUUAUUUUUACAAUAUUACCCUUUAAUAAUAAUUUUUUUGUUUAGACAUUAAUAAAAAUAAAAUAAUUAAAUUACCAAUUUAAUCCUAAAAAAUAAAAAUAAAAAUUUAUAUUAAUUUUUAAUUGUAAAAAAUUGUAUGCAAACUACCAAAUGUGCAAACGGUGCUUGCAAAAAAAUUAAUAUAAAUUUUUUAUUUUUAGGGUUAAAUUAGUAAUUUAAUUAUUUUAUUUUUAUUAAUGUCCAAAAAAUUAGUAAUUUAAUUAUUUUCUUUUUAUUAAUGUCCAAAAAUUAUUAUAAAAGGGUAAUAUUAUAAAAGUAAGCUAAAAGAAAUGAAAAGUAACGGUAGGGGUAUCAAUACUUUAACGGUAGGGAUGUUUCGAGGUAUUUUUAAAAAUAUAAAGAGUAAAUGGACACUAAUAUUAAAAUACAGGGACUAAAUAAGUUUUUAUCCUAAAUCUUUAAGUGUUUGAAUUGGAGUACAUAAAUUAUCUCUCUACAAUUCAAAAACAACAGAUUUGUUACUUUUCAACGCUACAGGUUCCGCGAAUAUUCAGUUGUGGUUAUCUUGUUGAAACACCAGAAAAUAGCGUUCUAUUUGGUGGUAAUGAAUUCUUGGUUGGGGAGUUACUUAGUUUAAAACAUUUAAAUGUAUUAAGCAUCGCCUUAAAAGGUUUUUCUACCGUCCAAAAAUUUAUGAGCUCCCAAAAGUUUCAAAGUUGUACAAAAUGUUUGGAGCUUAUAGACAGUGAUGAUUCAAAGUCGUUUGCCAUGGCAGAGUUGAAGCAUCUUGAAAAACUAGGUAUUUCAAAUUGUGGAAAUUUGGAAGAGUUUAAGUUCUGCUGUGUCGAAGUUGGAAAAACUUGAGAAGAUUUUUGUUUGAACAGCCUUCACCAAGUUAAGAGAAAGGCUUGUCAUAAAUUGAGGGAAGUGACAUGGCUUGUGUUUGUACCAAAUCUUAAGGUUAUUCAGAUAGAAAAAUGUAUGGAGAUGGAGGUUGUUGGGAAAGAGACUACCACAAGCAGCUAAAAAUUAAGCGAAUACAAAAUUCUUUCUCUCUUUGUGUGAUUAAAAUAGGAUGUGCACCACAAACAAAUAAGCAGAAAAAUAAACCAAUAAAUGCAAAGCAAAAACCAACCACAAGAGACACCGAUUUUUAAGUAGAAAAUUUAAAUUGGGAAAAAUCACAGGAUAGUAGUCUGAUAUAAACUUCUACUAUAUUAAUGAGAUUACAACACAAAUUCUUCUCCAGAUAAUACUAGAUGCUAACAAUAUUAAAAUUCUCAACAAUCUUAGUUUAUAAUAAUAGAUCUAAAAUCUAUUUCUUCAAUAAGUGAGUAUCUCAAAUAAUAGCUACUGAGAGAAUAAAAUACAGAUCAACACCAGUAGAAAUAUAGAGGGCAAUGUCAGGAACUUACCCUCCAAAUUUAGGACUAAUCAGAGCUAAAAUAACCUUUUGAUUGUUGAAUCAAAGAUUGAAAACCAAAAAAAAAAAAAAUAUCUCUUUCUCUCGCAGUGUCUUCUCACUUUCGCAAAAUGUCUACAGCUCUCGCGAUUCUUUACUUAUUUCCUUAGUUAAUUUCAUCCAAGUCCAAAAUUUUACAAUAAUUACACAUCAAGCAAAUUAUUUUGGACUUUGAACUUUUUGGUCCACUGAAGUGAAAUGGACCUUACAAAUCUCCCCCUCCAUCUCAUCUAAGGGGCACCACCAAGCCCGCUCUCUACUUACAGCUUUCCAGCUUCUCCUUGGGUAAUGACUUUAUCAUCAUAUCUGAUGCAUUCUUCGUUGUGUGAAUUUCUCCAAGCUGCAACUGUUUCUACUCAAGCACGUCUUGUAUCCAAUGAUACUUCAUAUCAAUAUGCUUCGAUUUCAAAUGAUAUGUUGAAUUCUUUGCCAAGUGGAUGACACUUUAACUGUCACAGUACACAACAUAACUAUCUUGAUUAACACCUAGUUCUUGUAGAAAAUUCUUCAUCCACAAGGUUUCUUUGUAACUUUCAGUGAUUGUAAUAUACUCUACUUCUGUAGUAGACAAAGCAACACACUACUAAAGUCUAGACUGCCAUGAAACUGCUCCUCCUACAUAGGUGAGCAAAUAUCUUGAUAGAGACUUUCUAGAAUCAACAUCUCCUGCCAUAUAUGCAUCCGUAUCUACUUGUAAUAUAGGUUUGUCACCACCAAAACAUAAACAUGCCUUGGAAGUGCCUCUGAGAUAUAUGACAAUCUACUUUACUGCUGUCCAGUGUUUUUUACCCAGAUUAGAGGAAAACCAGUUGACUACCAACUGUUGAAGCGUACCUCAAACUACCAACUGUUGAAGCAUAAAAAACUCUUUUUAUCUCUUGCUUCUCUUUCUCACUUAUGGGACAAUGCUUGAAACUAAGCUUGAAAUGACCUGCAAGUGGAAAAUAAACAUAUUUUGCUUUGUCCAUAUUAUAUCUUUUAAGAACUUUUUCAACAUAUGCUUCCUGAGAUAACCAUAAAUUCCCAGUUUUUCUGUCACGAGAAAUCUUCAUGCCAAGAAUUUGUUUCGCCGAUCCCAAGUCCUUCAUUACAAAAGACUUGCUAAGCUCUCUCUUCAAAUUGUCAAUCUUACUAGUAUCCUUGCCAACAAUCAACAUGUCAUCCACAAAAAGUAAAAGAAUAAUAAAAUCAUUAUCACUAAACUUUUUCACAAACAUACAAUGAUCACACAUUGUCUUGCAAAAGCCAUGAUUCUCCAUAAAAGAAUCAAACUUCUUAUACCACUGUCUUGGUGCAUGUUUCAGCCCAUAUAAAGUUUUUUUCAAUUUGUACACAAGUUCUUCUUUACCUUUGACACUGAACUCUUCAGGUUGUUAUAUGUAUAUUUCCUCCUUUAAGUCAUCGUGUAAGAAAGCAGUCUUUACAUUGAAUUGUUCAAUUUCCAAAUCCAAGCUAGCUACUAAUCCCAGAGGUGCUUGCUCAAUUGGUUCUGCUGGACCAUUAUUAUUAUCCUCUCCAGCUCCCCUAUGAUCAUCAUGAACAACAUGUGGAGAAACCGAAGUUGGAAUAAUAAGAAUCUCUGGAGAUGGCUGAGACUUAUCAUUUUUUUUUCAUCACCAACUAUCUAAUUUUUAAGAAACACAACAUCUCUAAUUCUGAUUACUUUUCUUGUCACUGGAUCCCAUAAUCUGUACCCAAAUUCUUCAUGUCCAUAGCUUAAGAAAAUACAUUUCUUGGCUUUAUCAUCAAGUUUUGAUCUCUCAUCUUUAGGGAUAUGAACAUACACUCUGCACUUAAACACCCUCAAGUGUUUAUAAGAAACAUCUUUCCCAAUCCAAACUCUUUUAGGUACAUCGUCAUCUAAUGGAGCUUAAGGAGAAAGAUUAAUCAAAUCAACUACAGUACGCAUAGCCUCCGCUCAGAAGGAUUUAUAAAGCUUGGCAUCAGAAAACAUACAUCUGACUAUCUUUUCAAUUGUUCUGUUCAUUAUUUCUGCAACACCACUCUGCUGAGGGGAUUUUGGUACAGUUUUCUUAAGUUUGAUUCCAUGAGAUCUGCAAUACUGCUCAAAUGGUCCUCUGUACCCACCAUCAUUUUCUGCCCUGACACAUUUCAAUUUUUUUCUUGUCCCUCUCUCAACAUAAGCACGAAAGAAUUUAAACAUAGUAAGCACGAAAGAAUUUAAACAUAUCAAGCACUUAAUCUUUAGAUUUUAAAGCAAAAGUCCAUACUUUUCUAGAACAAUCAUUAAUAAAAGUCAUAAAAUAAAGUGCACCUCCUAUUGAUCUAUUUUGCAUCAUGCAAAUAUCAAUGUGAAUCAAAUCAAGGAUUUGUGACUUUCUAGAUGGAGAAAAGCUUUUAAAAGUUACUUUAUGUGCCUUUCCAGCUAAACACUAAACACAAGUCUUGAGGGACGUACCUACAAAGCUUGGUAGAAAUCCUUUUUUGGCAAGAGUUCCUAACCCUUUCUCACCAAUGUGACCAAGCCUUUUAUGCCAUGUCUCAAUGUCAGAAUUGUUUACAGCCAUAUUCAUAUAUUCUUUCUUGAUUUUGGCUUCUAUUACGUAGAGGGUGUUCAUUUUCUUUCCUUUAGCCAACACUAGAGAGCCUUUGGUGAGCUUUCAUUUUCCUUCACCAAAUUAGUUAGUAUAACUAUCAUCAUCAAUUUUUCUUGUGGAGAUCAAAUUAAGACGAAUAUCUAGUACAUGCAAGCUUUUUUGUGGAGAUCAAAUUAAGGCGAAUAUCUAGUACAUGUCUGACAUCUUUAAGGAGUAGCUUAUAGCCAACACUGGUUUGAAGCAAAUAUCUCCUAUGCCCACAAUCUUGGAUGCCCCCUCAUUUCCCAUCCGAACAUGGUCAUAAUUACCAUUAACAUAGGAUGUGAAGUAAUCAUGAUGUGCAGUUGUUGUGCAAAUUUUAAUGUACUCGCAAGCGCACGAAUCUAUUGUAGUAUAGAUCAAUGGUGACGAGUGUCGAUCCCACGAGGAGGUGGAUUUUAAUUGUGUAUAGAAUUAAUUUUGCAAAUGGUUGAUUGGAUUUGUGGUGGAAAUGAUUUGGAAUAUGCUAAAACUUAAAUUAAAAUGGCGAGAAUAAAUUCUAAAAUUGGAAUUGAAAUUGCGAGAAUAAAGUUGAAGAGAAUUCUAUUGAAAUGACGUACUUGGGUAUCUGGAUCCGUAUCAACAUGCAUCAUGGGCUAAAUAAUGCGUAUUAAUGCCAAUUAAAUCAUGAGGGGGGAAUCCACACCUCAUGAACCACGCUCUAAUCAAUAUGGUGCUAAGGGCUUAUCGUGCCAAAUAAUAAUAACCUUGUACUAGAGAGCCGGUGUAACCAAGGCGGUACUAGACAAGAUUAGUAUUAUUUGUCGACGAGAAGUCAAAACAUCCACAAAAACUAGAGGGGAAGAGAAAAUAAAUUUACCAAAUAAAGCCCAUGACACAUGUUGAGACUUCACCUUCAACCCAAGCUUAAAAGAAAAUUAGCUACUCAUAAUUGAACUAAGGGCAAAAUGGGAAUUUAUUAAAAUACGAAGAAAAUACAAGAUAGAGAGGGAAUUACAGAAAAUGGAUCCCAAAAAUGGAUUCAGAGAUAUCAAAUUAGGGGGGGAGGCCCCCUUUUUAUAGAUACAUGGAGUAAAUCAUGGCAAUCGGAUUAAAAACAGUUUGGACGCUCAGGAUUGCGCCACGUCAUCAGUCAACAGUCCACGGUUUGACCACGCGGAUGAACAGUAAUACGGUUUGACCCAUAUGAACAGUACGCGGUUUGACCCGGAUGAACAGUAACGCGGUUUGGUUGAAAAUAAUCCUGUGUGAUGCAUGCACCGUACGCGAGAUUUUUUGUCCACUGAUAUGCUGCCACGUCACCAUCAACAGUACAUAAGAAUUUUAGUCCAACAGGAUCGUGACACCUCAUCAGUCAAUGCCACAUCAUCGAUCCGUCUAUGUGAGCAGUGCCGUGAACAGUAACAUAUACAGUACCGUAUACGUGAAUAGUACCGUACAUGUGAAUAGUGCUAUUUUUCCUUUUAUGCUCCUCCUAAGGUUUUCGACCGUCCUGAGUUCAAAAGUGAUGUCCGUUUUACCGUCUGAUCUCUCCUUUAUUGUGAAAUCACUAUAAUACCACUAAAAUACAUAAAAUACUUAAUUAAAAUAAAACACAUGUAAUUAAAUCACAAGAAGGUUAAAUACAUAAAAGUAAGGGUUGUUAGUAAGACUUGAAAUGUAAAAUGAUGGUUUUCUCCUUUAUAAAUAUGCAUUUUCUAACACUCAACAGCAGUAACCACGAUGUGCAGUAACAUCAAACGAAGCACCCGAAUCAAUCACCCAAUUACUGGUAUGGCAAGUAAGAUUUAUAGAGCUAUCAUUAUAAGCAAUGCCCAUAUCACCAUUAAUUACGGCUGUAACAUUCUCUUUGUCAUUUUUCUGACCAUCGCCUUUUUCUUUCGCAUGUUCUCUUUUCCACAAUUUACACUACCUUUUUACAUGGCCCAUUUUCUGACAAUGAAAGCACUUAGCUUCUCCUAUGGGACUUAGAUCUUCCUCCAGGGUUAUCAUUAUUCUGAUGACGGAAAUUUCUGCUUCGACUUCUCCCCCGUCUUUUUUGGUUUUCUGAAACAAGUGUAGCUGACUCAGAGGGAACUACUUCAGCAUUCUUUCUUCGAGAUUCUUCAUUCCGCAGUCUAUCUGUAACCAUAUCCAAGUUUAAUUUACCAUUCGGUGCCGAAUUAUUCACUGACACCACUAAUGUCUCCCAACUAUCAGGUAAAGAACUAAGCAACAACAAUGCUUGUAACUCGUCAUCUAGAAUAAUCUUCAUAGUAGUCAACUGAUCAACCAAACCCUGAAACUCACUAGUGUGUUCAGUAAUACUGUGGCCUUUUUUAUAUUUCAAGUUAACAAGCCUUUUCAUUAGAUUGACUUUAUUUUGUGCUGUUGGCUGCUCAUAAAUUAUUUCUAAUUUUCUCCAAAGAACAUCAGCCUUGGAUUCCUUCGCGACAUGAUGGUACACACUCUGAUCAAUCCAUGACCUAAUAGUGCCCACGGCUUUCUGGUUCAAUUGAGCCCAUUUCUUAUCAUCUAUAUCAACAAGUUUAACUUCAUCACCUUCAAUAGGUUCAUGUAAGUCUUUCAUGUAGAGCAAAUCUUUCAUUCUAGACUUCCAAAUAUCAUAAUUCCACGACUCAAUUUAAUCAUGAACGCCAAAGACUCCUCUAUUUCAACCACAUAAGUAAUAAAAACACACAACCUGGCUCUGAUACCACUCUAUUGGGAAAACGACUACCACAAACAGCUACAAAUUAAGCGAAAAUAAAAUUCUUUUCCUCUUUGUGUGAUUAAAAUAGGAUGUGCACCAUAAACAAAUAAGCAGAAAAAUUAAUCAAUAAAUUCAAAGCAAAAAUCAACCACAAGAGACACCGAUUUUAACGUGGAAAAUUCAAAUCGGGAAAAACCAUGGGACAAUAGUCCGAUAUAAAUUUCCACUAUAUUAAUGGGAUUACAGUACAAAUUCUUCUCCAGAUAACACUAGAGGUUAACAACAUCAAGAUUUUCAACAAUCUUGGCUUACAAUAAUAGAUCUAAAAUCUAUUUCUUCAAUAAGUGAGUAUCUCCAAUAACAGCUAAUGAGAGAAUAAAAUAUAGAUCAACACGAGUAGAAAUGUAAAGGGCGAUGUCAGGAACUUAUCCUCCAAAUUUGGGAGAAAUCAAAGCUAAAAUUAUUUUUCGAUCGUUGAAUCAAAGAUUGAAAACCCAAAGAAAAAAAAUAUCUUUUUCUCUCGCAACGUCUUCUCACUUGCGCGAAAUGGCUACAUCUCUCGCGAUUAUUCACUUAUUUCCUUUAUAUUUUUUUUGGUUAAUUUCAUCCAAGUCUAAAAUUUUACAAUAAUUACACAUCAAGCAAAUUAUUUUGGACUUUGGGCUUUUGGUCCACUGAAGUGAGAUGGACCCUACAGAAGCAAUAAUCAGUGCAAGAAAAUUAAGUGAAGUUCCAGAGAUGAUGGCAGAUCUAAACCCUUUUGUAAAACUCCAAUAUCUUGGCCUCCGAAUUCUACCAAAAUUAAAAAAGCGUCUAUUGGAAUGUGUUGCCCUCUCCACAUGUCAGGGAAAUUUUUGUAUCUGAAUGCCCAAUUCUCAUUAGAGGAGAGGAACACUGGUGGAAUAAGUUGCAAUGGGAGGAUGAAGCAACCUAUAAUGCUUUUCUUCCUUGUUUUGGAUCCAUUUGAUGGGCAUCAACAUGGAUUAAUAUUUUGCAGCGAACCAAUUUGAAUAAAACUUACGGUAAGUGCUUUUCCAUUUAUUGCAUAUUUAUAUCUAAUUUUUGUUUUCCUUUAUGGUUAAAUUUUGCCCUGUAUAUGUUGUUGUACGGUGACAUUCUUGAAUCAAUUAUUAAUUUUUUUAAUUCUCGUCUCACAACCACCCUUUUGAUCAUGAGGAUAUGCCGAUAUCAAAGAGUCAUAAUUUGGGAUACAAAUGUAAGAAUUAGGCAGAUGACAUGUUGUUUCAAAGCUUUCGAAGAAGGACUAAAUAUGUCAUUGAAAGCCUCCAAUUUUGCGACUGAUUUUUUUUUAAUUUGUUAUUUUUAUAGGUGGCAAAAAUACCCGUCUGAUUUGGACUCGGCUGAUUUGGGCCGGGUACGGAGUAUGAAGCCGGGUUGGUCCUGGGCAUCACUUGAAACUCGGAACCUGGAUUUUAUUAAAAAAUAUUAUAAAUAUAUAUUAUUUUAAAUAUCUAUAUUUAUUAGACUCAUCUAUUACAUAUAUCUAAUUUCAUUGAAAUAAAUUUAAAAAUUAUAAAAUUACCAAUAUAUAUAUAUAUAUAUAAUAUUAAAAAAGUAUAAAAUCUGAGUCCUCAGAUUAAAACCCAGUUCAAGUGUCUAAAAAAUACAUGUGGACCGAGUUUGAACAUUGCGAUACCCAGACCCAAACUUGGGUUUUGCCAACCCUAGUCUUUUAAAUUGCUUGAUUGUAAUGUUUUAGUAUAGAAAAAUGAUAGCCAAGACAACAAUAAGAGGGCACAUUGUGCAUGCACAAUAGUGGAUAAUUUCGGCAUUCCAAAUCCAAUUAGGGUGGAUAACCUUUUAUUAGUAUUAACCUUCUCUCGUAUUCAAGUAAUGUAAAAUAUGCUUAGAAGCUGUGGAUCCCCCUUUAUAAGUGUUGGGCUUAUGCCAAACUCGAUUGAUGUGGGAUGCCUUUAUAGGCAUCAAGUUUUCUCCCAUACACUUUAUGUUAAAAAUAAUAAUGAUAAAAUAAAUCCAUUUUAAAAUAGACUUCUUUUUCUUUUCUAUAUAAACAAACUCAUUCUUCAAAUCAGUUGUGGGUGGAAGGAGUGAGUAGAGAAGAACUGGGCCCCUUUCGUUCCUCUAAAAACCUCACCAAACCUCUCUUGUAAGCUUCUCAGUGUCCCUCUCAAUAUUUCUUAUGAUCUCGUUUUUUAUUGAAUCACUUCUUUUGUGUGCUGCAUUUUUGUGUGUCGUAUUUGGGUUUAUCUUAUCUGGAAUCCUGUUAUGAUUGAUGGAACAAGUAAUCGAUUUUUGGUUUAUUUGGAAUGGAAUUAUGGUUUAUUUGGAAUGGAAUUAUCUGGGUGUAACGGAUUAAAUUAUGACAUUGGGGAGAAGGCACUAAGGGGUUUGCUUGACACAUUUGGUUCUGUGUUUACUCUGAAAGAAAUAGCUUUUGCUUAUCGUAAUGCAAGGCGAAAUCCCGAUUUGGGUGGUGAAUUUCUCUAUCCCAAUUGGGCUGGUGAAUUUCUCUGUGACAAAUAGGCAAACAGCUCAACCUCUUUUAUCUAUCUUCUACUAGUGAGGCAAGGGAUAAAAAGUCUUCAAAAUCAUCAAAUAGUAACAUCUUCGAGAAUUCAUUUUAUGCAAAUGGAAAAUCUAGACCUUCUAAGACAAAAUGGCGUCCAGUAUCAAGAGGUACCGUUUCAAGUUUUCUUGGUAAAAAUUAUGUAAACUUGCACAGCCAGCUAAUGGCACUUUUCUAGUUUUCUGGCAUCAAAGCCAUUGAAGUCGUAUCCAAAGGAGUUUCCCAUGUCUGCACUUUGUGGAGAAGGAACUAAACAAAAACAAUCAAAGGAUGACCAUUUGCAGAAGGAUGUGGAAGAUUUUCUGUUUAAAUUGCUAGGAGAAGUGUUCCAGCUGAAUAGGGAUGUGAUUCGGGAAGUUCCAGUAAUGUCUUAAAUAUGUUGAUGCCAAUUUAAUAUAUAUUGUCAUUUUCAAUGUUCUUUCUUUCUUUCUUUAUCUUCUUUUCUUCUACUUCUUCUUCUUUUUCUUUUCGUGUGCAUGUGAUCACUAAUUUGUUAUUAUACUUAACUUGCAGGUAGUUGUGGAUAUGAUAUGCAAAAGGUAAGGACUAUAUCUUCCUGAUAGAGGCCUCUGCUUUUUCCCUUUUAUGUAAUUUAGUAAAUCUCAUCUCCCUUUGUGAUUGUUAUAUCAUAUCAAAGUCAAGUCUUAAAUACUGCUGUCAUAUGUUAAGGUUCAACUUGCAUUUUGACUAACAUCCAUUUGUUGUCGCUUCCAAAAGUGAGAAUGAGAUACUUCGGUUAAUUUCAGUAGUUGAACCCAAUCGAGUACUUUAUCUAGAUCUUCAUGGUUCAAAGGCCUGAAACUUGCCCGUGAUUGUAAAAUGAUAUUAUGUGCUUUUAAUGCAAUAGGGGGAACAAGGUGUCAAAGGAAUUAGCAGAUUCUAUGGCAGAUUCUAUGCCUGUACAACUGUAACAAUUAUCCUUAUGAUUGUAAAUCUUAUAUGUUUUCCUUAUUUAGGAUAUACUAGCUGUAGGCUAUUUUAGAUAGUUAUGUAUAUGAUAGUUUAGCUAUGUUUAGGGCUAAACAUAAGCUUGUAUUCAUAGUAUAUAAAGGGAAUUCUCUUCUAAGAGAAAGCAUAACUUUUGCUCAAAAUUCUCUGAGUUUAUCAUGGUAUCAGAGCCUCAGUUCUGAAUUCUCUUCUUCCUAGUUCAUUCCCUUGUUCUUAGUUAUUCUUUUUUUUAUCAAGUUAUCUCAGCCUCAUGUCUUCAGACAAGUAUGAUGCUUUUUUGAUCCGUUUUAAUGGCACAAACUACUCAGCCUGGGCAUUUCAUUUCGAGAUAUUUGUCAAAGGCAAAGAUCUAUGGGGACAAGUUGAUGGCAGGAAACCUGCCCCUGAUAAAGAGAUAGACCAGGAUGGGUACGCCAAGUGGGAAGUCAAGGAUGCUCAAAUCAUGGCAUGGAUUCUAGGAUCUGUGGAAUCCAACUUCAUCUUGAAUCUUCGACCCUUCAAGACUGCAGCAGGAAUGUGGAAUCAUCUAAAGAAACUCUACAGUCACACCAACACUGCUCGUUGAUUUCAGCUUGAACAUGAGCUAGCCAAUCUCCAACAAGGCAGUCUCUCUAUUUCUGAUUUUUAUUCUAUCUUUAUGAUUAUUUGGGCUGAAUAUACUGAUAUAAUCUAUGCUACCUUACCUCCGAAGGUCUUAGUUUUGUUCAAUCUGUACAUGAAACUACUAAGAGAGAUCAAUUUAUGAUAAAACUGAUAUAUGAAUUUGAAAGCACUAGGUCCAAUCUUAUGAAUUGAGAAUCUGUCCCUUCCUUGGAUACAUGCCUCAAUGACUUAUUUCAUGAGGAGCAACGACUUCUUACUCAAAAUACCAUGAAACAAAAAAAAUCUACUUCUGUUCCUAUGGCUUAUGCAGCUCAAGGCAAGCCAAAAGGUAAGGACAUCAGUAUAGUUCAAUGUUUUUGUUGCAAAGGAUUUGGACAUUACGCUUCAAAUUGUUCAAAAAAAUUAUGCAACUAUUGCAAAAAAGAUGGACAUAUCAUUAAGGAAUGCCUUACUCGACCCCCCAAGAAAUCUGAAACAACAUAUGCUACCUCAGUUGGUUCUUCUAGUGAUGGUAGUUCUGUGGAUACAGCACAUUUGACCCAAAGUGCUCCUGUUCCUGUUCAAUCUGUGACCCCAUAAAUGAUUCAACAAAUGAUCAUUAUUGUAUUCUCCUCAUUAGGACUCUCAGGUAAAUCACCCACUAGAUCUCCUUGGUACUUUGAUUCUGGGGCUUCCCAUCACAUGACAAACAAUGCUAAAUUCUUCACCAAUGUAAGUAAAUACCUUAGAAAUCUAAAAAUUCAUACAGCUGAUGGCAACUCUUUACCUAUCACAGCCACUAGUGAUGUUUCUUUUUCUAUAACCAAUGUCUUUGUCUCUCCUGGUCUUCCUACUAAUCUUGUUUCAAUCGGUCAGUUAGUUGACAAUAAUUGUAAAGUAGAAUUCUCUAAAUCUAGUUGUGUUGUGCAGGAUCAGCAGUCAGGGAAGAUGAUUGCCAGGGGGCCUAAAAUAUGACGUCUUUUCCCUCUCCAAUUUGCUAAGUCUCCAUGUUUCUCUUUGCCUAUCAUCACUUGCAAUUUUACUAAGGUUAAUUAUCGAGCAUGGCAUAAACGUCUAGGACACCUAAACUCUAAUGUAUUUUAUGCUUUGCUAAAUUCUGGUUUACUUGGGAAUAAAAGAUCACCAUCCCUUAGUGUUGUUCAAUUUGAUUGCAAUUCUUGCAAGCUUGGAAAAAGUAAAAUUCUGCCAUUUCCCACUCACACACCGAAUGUUGUCCAGCCUUUUGAUUUGAUACAUAGUGAUGUGUGGGGUAUGGCGCCUGUUACAUCUCAUGCUAAUUACAAGUACUUUGUCACUUUUAUUGAUGACUAUAGUCGCUUCACAUGGAUUUAUUUUCUACAUUCUAAAGAUGAAGUGUUCUCUGUUUUCAAGCUUUUUCAUGCAUAUAUUCAGACCCAAUUUUCUACUAAUAUCAAAAUUCUUUGCUUUGAUAAUGGGGGUGAGUAUAUGUCUCAUUUAUUUUAAGAAUUUUUGCACACCAAUGGUAUAAUUUCUCAAAGAUCUUGUCCUUCAACCCCUCAACAAAAUGGGGUGGCUGAAAGAAAGAACUAUCACCUUCUCGAUGUUGUCUUCAUUUGUACCCUCUCGUUUUUGGUGUGAAGCUUUCUCCACUGUUGUCUAUCUCAUCAACAGAUUGUCCUCUCAUUCCUUGAACCAUGUCUCCCAUUUCUUUCAGUUAUUUGGCCAUACACUAAGUUACUCUCAUCUCCAUACCUUCAGUUGUGUGUGCUAUGUUCAUCUUCCUCCAUAUGAGCGUACAAAACUCACAGCCCAAGCUGUGAAAUGUGCUUUUCUAGGAUAUUUUAUGCACUAAAAAUGUUUUCUUUGUUAUGAUCCAAAUUUGCAUCAUAUAAGGGUUUCUCGAAAUGUGAUUUUCUUUGAAAAUCAGUAUUUCUUUUCCGCAUACCACGACGAUUCUUCGCCUUCAUUUUCUGUUUUGCCAAAGUUUACUAACCCUUCUGCAGAUUCUGCACCUUCUAAACCUAUCAUAGUCUAUCAGCGACGCAAGAAUUUAGUACCUCUCGGGCCCCCUCCAGCAACUUCCCUGAAUGUUGAUCCAGUUCCAGCAACUGCACCUGAACCUUUCAGACAUAGUACUCGGGUUCGUAGACCACCAGAUAGGUAUGGUUUCACCUCUCCAUUAUUUUUGACAGCCACUUUGUCUUCUAUUCUUAUUCCUUCAUCAUAUAAACAGGCAAUAGAGCAUGAAUUUUGGUGAAAAUCUAUUGAAUCAGAACUUCUUGCACUUGAAGAAAACCAAACUUGGGAUAUUGUUUCAUGUCCUCCAUCCGUGAAACCCCUUAGUAGUAAGCUAGUGUUUUCUAUCAAGCUGCGUUUUAAUGAAUCCAUAGAUCGUUACAAGGCUCGGUUGGUGGUUCUUGGCAACAAGCAAGAAUAUGGCCUAGACUACGAUGAGACCUUCGCGCCGGUAGCCAAAAUGACCACUGUUCGAACAAUAUUAGCCCUUGCUGCAUCACAAUCAUGUUCUUUACAUUAAAUGGAUGUAAAGAACGCUUUCCUACAUAGUGAUCUCAAGGAGGAAAUUUACAUGAAACUUCCCCACGGUAUGACUACUUCCUCUCCUAAUGAUGUUUGCAAACUAAAAUGUUCGUUGUAUGGGUUGAAGCAAGCACCGCGAGUAUGGUUUGAGAAGUUUCGAUCAACUCUUUUCAGUUUUUCAUUCACUCAAAGUCAGUAUGACUCCUCCUUUUUUUUUUCCAACAGACAUCUAAGGGCAUCAUUGUUCUCCUUAUUUAUGUGGAUGACAUCGUUAUCACUGGUUCUGAUAUGGAGGCAAUUUCUAAACUUCAGAAUUUGUUGCACUCUAUUUUUCACAUGAAAGACCUCGGUCAACUCACCUAUUUUUUGGGGUUAGAGGUGCAUUAUCUGCCUCAAGGUAUCUUCUUGAAUCAACACAAGUAUAUUCAGGAUUUAAUUUAAUUAGCUGGACUUAUGGACAAAAAUUCUGUUGACACCCCAGUGGAACUUAAUGUGAAAUAUCGACAAGACGAAAGGGAACUACUUCAAGAUCCUACUUAUCUAUCUAACUAUCACCCGCCCAGACAUCUCUUAUGCUGUCCACACCGUUAGCAAGUUCAUGCAAGCCCUUCGACAUCUCCACGUAUCCACAGUCCGCCGCAUCAUUAGAUAUAUUCUUGGCACUCUUAACUGCAGUUUAUUCUUCCCUACUGGUUCUUCACUCCAACUACAAGCCUACAAUGACGCAGAUUGGGCUAGCUGCCCGGACACGAGAAAAUCUACUUUGGGAUGGUGCAUGUUUCUUGGUGAUGCCCUUAGCUCUUGGAAAUGCAAAAAGCAAGACUCAGUCUCCAAAUAAUCCACUGAGGCAGAAUACCGCGCCAUGUCUGUAGCCUGCUCCAAGAUCAUUUGGUCGCGUGGUCUCUUAACAGAGCUUGGUUUCUCACAACAUCAACCUACUCCCCUACAUGCUGACAACACAAGUGCCAUCCAAAUUGUAGCCAACCCUGUCUACCAUGAGCGCAUGAAACACAUAGAGGUUGACUGCCACUCUAUUCGAGAGGCCUAUGACCACCAAGUUAUCACCCUCCUGCAUAUCUCCACUACUCUACUGAUUACGAAUAUCUUCACCAAAUCCAUGACAUGUCAGCGACAUAACGUUCUUGUUAGCAAAUUGAUGCUUGUAGAUUUACCAGCAUCAAUUUGAGGGGGGAUGUCAAAGGAAUUAGUAGAUCUUAUGGCAAAUUCUAUGCCUGUACAGCUGUAACAAUUAUCUUUAUGGUUGUAAAUCUUAUAUUUUUUCCUUAUUUAAGAUAUACUAGCUGUAGGCUAUUUUAGAUAGUUAUGUAUAUGGUAGUUUAGCCAUGUUUAUGGCUAAACAUAAGCUCGUAUUCAUAGUAUAUAAAGGGAAUUCUCCUCCAAGAGAAAGCAUAUGAAAGAAACUUAGUUCUAUAUUGUUUGGUAGGCUAGAAAAUGAAAGAAAAUAAAAGAAAAGCUUUGCAAAGAAAACUGUUAGAUCCUUUUAUUAUACCAAACUUACAGUUUAAUGACUAAAAAUUGAUAUUUAUAUUGAGCUACAAACUCUUCACACACACACACGAGAUUGUUGCAACACAUAACCAAUUGCUGUAUAACUAACUUGACACAUCAGCUCAACCAGCUAACUAACUUUGACAGGUCAGCUUAAUGAUUUGAUCUGAUACAACCAGCUACACAGCAACAUCAUGCUCUGCUCCAGCUUCAUCUAAUUCACUAACAACUUUUGCUCAAAAUUCUCUUAGUUUAUCACAGGGAAGUAUAGCUUUGGAAAAGGCCGGAUCAAUAACUAUGGAGAGAUUUAUAAGUGAUAAAAAUUCCCGUAACCCGCUGUCAAGAAAAUUUCACAUAGUUAAAGACGCCAUUUUGUUUCAGCCAAAAAUGUUUGUUUAAUCUGCCAAAAAUGUUUGUUUCGAUUAAAGACUUGAACCGUUUUCAUUUAACCUGAUUGUGAUGCUUUAUGUUAUGUAUGUUCCUCUCAAUCAAGAAAAGUUGAGGUUCAUGAUUUUAUAUUUCUAUCUUGUAACUUGCAAUAAUAACUGGUCUUCUUGUUUUUGUAGCUUGAUAACAUGAAUUUUCCUUCUCAAGUUAAUUUGAUCAAUAAAGUAAUUCUUCAAAGAAAAUAUGCCCAUUCUAUAAUCAUUUUCUUAGCUAAUAUGUUUUUUUUUUGUUUACUCUUCAGAGUGUGUCGAAACUAAUUGAUUGCUCGGCAGAGACUUUGGGUGACAAGUCAAAAUUUCAUGGUAAAUCCUCUGAAAAGGUAUGCAUAAUUCCUGAAUAUUAAAUAACCAAUGGUCAUAGUUUUUGUACACGACUCUUUUUGUGGAGAUCGUUAAAAGUGGUUGAUGAUCCAUUUGUAAUUUCAUAGAGGGAUCAUCAAUUCCUUUUCUUUUCUGUGGCUAGGCAUCACUUUCGUGCCAAAGUAAGGAAAUCUAUUUUAGGUAAUGUAAAAAACAAUGGUAGGAUGUAAUAGCUUAUUAUGCACUGACAAUAACUUUUUGUAUAAUUGUCAGUUUAAGGAAUACAAGAGGAACUCUGUUGACAAAUUCAUCCAAGAUAGAUGCUAAAAUUAUUUAUGCAUGCCAGUUGCCUUAACUAAUUUUUCUUAACACUUGUAUUGAACAGGAAAUGAGUAUGCAAUUUGUGUACGUGCCAUUGUGGAGAAUUUGGAUAUUCUUAUUUAAGUAAGAAGAAGAGUAUUUGCCUCAUCUUUAAACAAUGAAUCUUUGAGAAAUGAGGAGUGGGUGAUUGGAAGUGUCUUCAUGUAAAUGUUCAUUUACUUGUAUUUUGAACUAUUAUGAGAAUCUUUUAUAUGCCAAAUUAGUAAUACAAAUGUUCAGAUGAUUUUUCCUGUUGAUCACGCGUUUGUGUCUGCAGACAACCAUUGUAUAUCACUUUAUUCUGAUGUGCAAUUAUGUAUAGAUUAGAAGAAAAGAAAUAAUAGUCUUAUAUUAUUGUUUGGUUCAUGAUUAUUAAACGAUUAUGGCUUCAAAAAAUCUACAAAUUCCUUCUGUUCAUAUAUGAAUGUGCCAAGUUUGCUAUAUCUUAGAUUGCCUUCUUCCAAGAUAACAAGUUCAUAUGUUUUUUAAUCCUCUUCAAUCACAGUUGAAUUUUAAGUGUUAAGAUUUGUUAUUAAUACCUGGUUCCCUGUUAUUAUGAUUUUUAUUAUGAUUUCAUAAACAGUGUACGGACAUGUGCUCUACUUUUAAAGGGCCUCCACGUGAAAGAAAAUUGCAACAAUUGAAUUCUUCCGGAGGGUAUGGCAUUUAAUUUAUUUUCUCAACUUCUUGUAAGACUAAUAUAUUUCCUUCAGUAGGCAGGGCAUGUUGGGAAGGGCUUUUAUUGAAAGAAUUCUGAUAUUUCUUAGACUUUGUUUUGGAAGGGAGGUGGAGGGAUUUCUCAUCCAUAUAUGGUUACUUGAUUAGCUUUUGACUGUAUUGCCUCAGUCGUGCAAAGGAAGAUCCAAAUACUAAUGAAUGAGAAUUGGUUAGAGACCCAAAAGACAGAAAUGAACUACAGAAGGAAGUUUUUGCUGCUUUAUUUAGUGUUCCUGAGAACUCUGAUGAAGAUGGAGUGGAGGUCCAAAGCAUUAAGAAAGGUGGUGAGUGAACCGCCAGAGGAAUUGGUACCAGAAUACAAAGCUAAUGUGGUGCAUUUGCAGCAAGAUAACCAGACUAGUAUGUGCUCUUGUAUUAACUAUAUUGACUGGAUUUGUGAGCAUGUUCAUUUUUGUGUGUAUAAUCACUUUUGUAUUUAUGCAUAUUAAUGUUAGUAGGAUUCUUGAUUUCCUCCACUUACUGGAGAACUAGUGGAAAGCUUUAUAGUGAAAUAUCUGCAAUAACUAAUGGAAACCAUGAUUUGAAUAUUUUCUCUCACCUGGAGAGCUUUGUAACAGAUGUACUUUGUGGCUAUGGAAUACUAGAGAUUCUGCAAUAACUAAUGGAAACUCUGAUAUGAAUAUUUUCUCUCACCUGCAGAACUUUGUAACAGAUACACUUUGUGGCUCUGGAAUGUCUAAAGAUUUUGUCUGCUUCAGUUAGAUCAAAUAUCUUUUAGUUACCUACAUUAUGGAAAAGAUAGAGUUCUCUGAAUCUGAAAGACUGAAACAUUUUGCAUAUUUCGUGAAAGGAAAAUAUCUGUAGAUACUAGUUCAUGCAUUGAGGUAACAUCAAUGUUAAAGAAAAACAGCAAUAACUUAUUAUAUAGAAUUAGGUUCACUUGCUUUAAAUGCUGGUCUGGUCAACCAUAUGAACCUGUAAGUGUAUCUGCAGAAAUAUAUAUGGGGGGACAAACUAGCUAAAUUUUCCUCUCAUUUCUGGCUUUGGUCAUUUUUUCCCCUUAUUUUUCAGCUUUCCUUCUCCUGAAGUAUGUUAACAAUUGCAGAUAAUGACGAAGAGGACAGCUUGCAGGCUCUUCGUGGAGCUGUGAUGGAAUAUAGGGGCACAAUGAAAGAACAUUUUAAAGCUGUAGGUUCUUUUUCUCCUGUCAUUUAUAUUUGCUCACACAUUUUUCAUAUGCUCCAAGCAUGCAAGUUUGUAUGUGUCUUUGCCUUUUAAGUUUUAAAAACCAUAAGGUAAGAAUACAGUUCCUCGUCAGGUUAUUGAUGCAUUCACUCCGGAGGAUCAUGUUCGAGCAGGAAAACUUCUAGAACAGGCAAGGUUUUCCAUCUACAGCCAUCUAUUGACAACAGAUACAUUUUCAUUCAGCAGACACUGUUAGCAUUCAAGAUGCUGGCAGAUUCACUUGAUUCUUAUUAGUUUGUUUAGUGGUAAAGCAUAUAACCUGUUUUUCAAAGCCAAGUUGUGCUAUUGAUUAUGUUAACUUUAUUGUUCACAUAAAGUGAUAUGGAGGAAAUAAUCAUUGUAGGAAAAUUAGGUGAAGAGGUGAUGUCAAAUCUUGAACCUGUUACAAAACUCCAAGUUCUUUACUUGAAGAAGCUACCAAAUUUGAACAGGGUCCACUGGAAGGCCUUGCCAUUCCCUGAUGCCUGCAGAAUUUUUGUAUUUAAAUGCCCAGAGCUUAAGAAGCUGCCACCGGAUCUUGAAAGGGCAGGCCAAGGUAAAAUUCUUAUCAAGGGAAAGGAAGAUUGGUGGAAACAACUUCAAUCGGAGGAUCAAGUAACUCAGAAUGCAUUGCUUCUAUUUUUAAAAUCAACUGACAAGUGAUUGAAGGGGGCAUCAUCAACAUCAUCAACAUGGAUGGAGAGAUUCAGGAGCAGAUCCGCAGGGUUUAUUACGACCUGUGGUGGUUGCUUUUUUGUGACUUGUUCCCUUUCAUUUUUUCACUUCCUGUCAUAUUAUCAUUUCUUUGUCUCUGUUUCUAUUGCUGAUGUUGCUGCAUGCUUGCAGCCCUUGACAAAGUUAGCAAUGCAAUAUAGAUUUUGAAAUUAAAUUUUGUAUGUUCGGGACAGUCACAAAGUACUACUUGUUCUAUAUGGGGGUGAUGUGAAUCAACUUUUCAAUUAUAUAUUCUGUGGUAAUUGUGAAUUCAAUUUCAUUUGUCUCCUGCAAAUUAUGAAGAAAGUGCAGAGUUAGAAUAUCGAAAAGUUCACUGGCAAAUACUUUGUAAAAGCUUCGGAGUGAAACAGGGAAUGCACUUGCAACUAAGGACAAAUUGGUGGCCAGCUAAUGCAUUCAUUUUAUGUACAUUCAUCUUUUUAAUUAUUGAAGAUAAGUGGUUCGUUGCUUUUGUUGUAGAAAAAAUUCAGACGACCUCAAUUGUGAGAUGAAAAUAUUUAAAAUAUCUCUUAAAUUAUUAUAAACUUUAAUUUAUCUUAAUUUUAUUUAAAAGAUAAAAGAAAAAUGUGGUAUAUGGGUAAAAAUUUUUUUAUCUUGUUAAUAAAAUGAAAUAAAUUAAAAUUUACAAUAAUUUAAAGUAUUUUAAAAUUAUUAUUUCAUAAGAGAUUAAUAUGAAAUUAAUCCUUUUUACUUUUUGAAUGUGAAAGGACAAGAAAAGAGAAAGCUAGUGUCACUGCUUUUUAUUUUAUUUGAAAUCGGAGUUAUCCCAUAUACUUUACUACUUUAGCUCUAACAUUACAAUGUUUUUAGGCUACACUUUUAUUUUUCUUUUUCCCCCUUUUUUUAUACAUGCAUGUGGAUUACUUUUCUCUAAGCUCCUUAAUAUUUAAGACAAAUCAUAAAAGCAAUUGAAGCAUAACAAGAUGAUCAAAACAUUUAACCGAAAAAAAAAGAAAUAAAACAUUGAAAAUGGAGAUGUUGAUUAAUUUAGAAGAGAUGCAAGCAAAAAAUAUUCCCAAAAAAAAAAAAAAAAAAAGCAACGUUAGUUCAUCCAUGUCUGUCAAUGCGUUUUUUAUGGUUUUUUUUUUCCAGUUGUUUGUUGUAAUAGAUUAAUUGUAAAUUGAUAUAAACUUGAUGUUGUAAUAUGUUCGCUUUUGUGGAAAUAAAUUUCAAUAUUCAAGAUUAUUCAAGUCUUAUCUAGUAUGUGUUCGGUUGUGUUGUCGAUAAUUUUACAUUCUAAUAAGUUUUCACCUAAAAUAUUAGCAUGAGUAGUAGUCCUUAAACCUUUGGUCAAAAUUAUUGUUAUUGUUUCUUUUAGAGGAAAUUUUUUUAUUAAAGCCUCGUUAACACUAUUCCUUAUUAAGAUUAUAAGUUAGUGUCGGUGCAGGAUUUGCAGCGACAAAUCUUGUCUAGCCACGUGUCAAAAUACAAAUAAAUCAAGGGAAAGCACAUGACAUGGAUUAGGAUCCAAUAAAAUUUAAAUCCCAAGGAAAAGGACAACUGUAUCCUAAAGUUUCAAUAAGAGAUACUGGGAUAUCUUUUGACUAAUGUUAUUUUUUGGCUUUAUUAAUAAAAAGAUCCAAUAGUUUAUAACAAAUAAAAAUAUAGUAUUAAGCUAAAUGUGAUAAUUUACACAUUUUACAUAAUUUCAAUAAAAAUUUUUUUAAUGUUUUACAAUCUAUCAGACAUAUUUUAUUAAAUUAAUAAGAAUUUUCUUAUAAAUAGCAACAUAAUAUUAAAAUAAAUUUAUAAAAAUUUAAAUGUAAAAUAAUUUUAGUAUAAUUAAUACGCGGGAUAUAUUUUGUAAAUUAUAAAAUUACUUAACCCAAUGAUUUUUAAAAAUCUUUAAAAUAAAUAAAAAUAAAUUAUUCACAUUUUGAUGUAAAUAUUUAAAACAUUUUUAUACAUUAGUCCACAAUUAUUUAUGUUAUAUUUGUAUUUAUUAGAAAUUUUGAAAGUCAAAUGUUUUUUACCUCUAUGUUAUUAGAAUUAUUGCACACAGAGAAAGAGCCAUAUAUGCUUUAUAACUUUAAAAUCGAUUUGUUUUAUAGCUGGGAAUAGAGAUGAUCAUUAUUAUAAGGAUUUUUUAAAAAAAGAUAAAGAAUAUUAAUGAUUAGCGAAAUCUCUAUGGAAAUUGAAUUUAGUAAGAAAAAAUUGAGCUGAUUUUAGUGGUAUAGUAAUAUUUUAUAUAGAGAAAAGUAAAAGCUGCACCCAAGGUUAAGGGAAAUGGUCAAAAUUCUUUUUUAAUCAUAAUACCCUUUUUCCUAGAUAAUUUAAAAAUUUUACUCUAAUAGUUUAUAAUAAAUAAAAACAUAUAAUCCUAAAAUAAAUAAAAUGAUAUAUAUUUUAAAAUAAUCUCAAUAUUUAAAAUAUAUUUUAACAUUUUAUAAUCUAUUAGAUAUAUUUUAUUAUAUUAAAGUAAAUUUUAUAAUAAAUACAAAACAUACUAUUAAAAUAGAUAUAAAAAUUUUAAAGUAUUUUGAAUAUUAUAUAAAAUAACUUUAAUAUUGUUAAUGCAUGAGAUGCAUUUUAUUAAUUAAAAAUUCUAUGUAACCCAAAGAUUUAUUUAUAAUAAAUUAAUAAUCAUAUUUUUGAAAUUAUUUUAAAUAUUAAAAAAUAUUUUAAUAUUACUAACUAUUAGAUAGACUAAACUAUUUAUUUUAUUUUCUAUUUAUUAUAAAAUUUCAAAGUUAAUCUUUUUAACUACUAUUCAAAAGAUGUUAUGAUAAAAACAGAAUUUUUGUGUUUUUAUUGAAAAUUUGGAGUUUACAUCUAUUUUUUCAAAUAUUCAGGGUGUAACUGUUUUUUCCCUUUUAUAUAUACGAACGGUGGUGAGAAAGUUUGAUUUAACGUUAUUUAUUUAAAUAAAAUCUCAGUUAAAAAUGUACAGAGAAGAAAUUUCGGUUGGUAUUUUAGUCUUGGUAAUCUCUAUAUUAUAUGCAUAUAAGAUACAUCAUUCUCACAUGAAUAGUAUAUGUGUGAGAUCCAUAUAUUAUUCAUGUGAGGGAGAUGUAUCUUAAUAAGAUAGAGGGAUCCGUUAGUCUUUUACCAAUCAUCACGAUUAGGCCUUGGCCUUGAAACAUUAAUUGUUUCACUUUUAGCGCUAGUGGCGUUGAAAGUUGUCAAGAAAAAGCAAGACCAUAUUCCACAAAAGCAAAAGUAACGUAGGCUCUUUUAUUAAAGGCAAAGUAUAAAGUAGUCAAGAAUCGAAUAUCCUGUCGUCUACUCUUUUUUAAAUUCUUCUUUUAUUAUCGUUUAGAAUAGUUUUUGGUAAUUACAAUCAUUAUUCAGAGUUAUUGUUAUCUUCCGGGGCAGUCUCUGUUCAUCGAAGUCGUUACCUUUUUUUUAAUGGAUCAGUUCCAGUGGUAAGCAGUAAUUUUCUUAGAACUCGGAUCUUUAAUUCGAGUUUCUGUGUGAAUUAAUAAUAAAAAAUUUUCAUUACACGCAAUUUAAGCUACGAAUUACUUUUUGCAAAGUUGAAUAUGGAAUUGGAGAAAUUAAGUAAUUUAGAAUGUUGGUAAAAAUUGACGAACAUAUCUCCAAUUACAGUAAAACCUCUCUACAGUCAUAACAUUAUAACAAAAUUAAUUUUAUUACUAUGUUGAGGUAAUAUAGGUUUAGUUACAAAAUUAUUGUUUUAAUAUGGUUAGUGUCAAGUGAUAUAAAGGUUAAGUAUGCAGUACAUUAAUAAUUAAAUAAUGAAGUGUCAAAUCUAAUGUAUAUAUAUUAAUGAUAUAGAUAGACAUAGUUUUAAAAAACUAAUUAAUGUAUAUUUAUGUAGUGUUAUGAAUAUGGAAAGUCAAGCCUACACUUUACAUUAUCCUUAAUUUUUUCUCUCAGUUAAAUUCUACAAAUAUUGUACAAUGGUUGGGCAAGAACUCUAAAUUAAGAAUAAAUUAUUGUCACAAAUAAUUUUAGAAAAUAUUUUAUUUCGUCUUAAACCUUUAAUAUAAAUAAACAUAUAUAUAUAUAUAUAUAUAUAUAUAUAUAUAUAUAUGUGUGUGUGUGUGUGUGUGUGUGUGUGUGUGUGUGUGUGUGUGUGUGUGUGUGUGCAUAUUUUGCAACGUAUAGAUAAUUGUUAGUAUAUGGAGACAAGUCUUUUAAGGUAGGACCUAGGAAAAUUUAUAACUUACUACACUGUGGAGUUUUUAUUCCUUUUUAUAAUUGGCUCAUAUUGAUACAUUCUUACACAAAAUAUUACCAUUGACAUAUUUUACUACAAUUAGUUUAGAACAUUUGUUAGGAAAAAAAAGAAAAGAAAAGAAAACAUCCCUUGGAUGUAGCUCUCCUGACUAUUUAAAUCUUUUAAGGAAAAAAAGAAAAAAGAAAAACUGGCACAUUCAAAUCUUGAAGCAAUUACAUUAAAAUCUCUCCAUAAUGAUAGGAAUAAUCUCCAUUUAGUAAUAAAAAAUUUUGUUCGCAAUUUAGGCAGAGUUAUAAAUAAGAAUAAAAUCCUCAUUGUAAUAAGUUAUAUUUAUUAUGGAUCCCAUCCUAAGGAAUUCGUCUCUAUAUAGUAAUAAUUAUUUGCAUAUUAUAAAUAUAUAUGUUGCAUUAGAUUAAAUGAACUUGUCUCCACAUACUACUUAGACAACGAGAGAAAAUUAUUAAAGAGAACACAAAUAUUUAGAUAUUUUUAAGAUUACUUUGCAUAUUUAUAACAAUAAUACAUUGAUAUAUGUAUUAGUUUUUUGAUAUAUUAGAUUUAACAUGCUCUAUUAAUAAAUUAUUAAUACGAUGCAUAUUCAUCUCUAUAUCCUUGCAAUAAAAGUAACUAAGUUAUAACAAUAAUUAUUAAUAAAUUAUUAAUACGUUGCGUACUUCAUCUCUAUAUCCUUACAAUAAAAAUAACUAAGUUAUAAUGAUAAUUUUUGUAACUACAUACUUAUUAGGUUUUAACUACUUCAUAAUAAUAAAUUAGUUUCGUCCUAAUAUUAUAAUUAUGUAGAGUUGUAGUGUAUAGACACACCCAAUUUAAAUAGUAUAUCAAAUAAAAUUGUCCCCACGAAAAAGAAAAAAGGGGUAAAGGAUUCUCAUUUCUUCAAACAUUAGGAUCACGUUUGUACAAGUGCGAUGCCUUUCUUUUGAAGGCAACGUCAGUGGGUACCCAAUAGGACGUGUGUAAAUCUUUCCAAAAUUUCUCUGGUAUAACGGACAGAGAUCAUUACUUUUCUCUUCCAUAUACCACAGCAGCUUCAGUUAAUCAGACUCAAUCAAUUUUCUUGGUUUCUUCGCUUAUCAAAAUUCCAAAAUAUGGGUAGCAUAUUUCAAAUCACAUGCGAUGGUGCUUUUUUCAAUCGUUGCUUGGAUUGCUUUCUUGGAAAAGUAGCAAACACAAGUAAGCUCCAAGAUAACCUUGUUGCCUUGGAGACUGAAUUGGGAAAACUAAUCGCAGCAAAGAACGAUGUGAUGAUGAGGGUUGUCAAUGCUGAACGGCAACACCUGAGAACGCUGGACCAAGUGCAAGUGUGGCUUUCGAGGGUGGAAGCUGUUGAAACUGAAGCUGAUGAAUUGAAAAGACACGGCUCUCAAGAAAUUGACAAAUUAUGUGUUGGAGGCUACUGUUCCAAGAACUGCGCGUCAAGCUACAAGUUCGGGAAACAAGUGGCUAAAAAGCUACGGGAUGUGCAGACUUUAAUCGACGAAGGAGUUUUUGCGGCGGUGGCUACCGAGGUGGUGCCUGAGAGAGCUCCAGAACCUGUAGCAGAUGAAAGACCCACUGAGCCAACAAUAGUAGGCUUGCAAUCACAACUUGAACAAGUUUGGAGAUGUCUUGUAGAAGAAUCAGUGGGAAUCAUUGGCCUAUAUGGUAUGGGCGGUGUUGGUAAAACUACACUAUUGACCCAUAUCAACAAUAAAUUUCUUGAGAGUCCAACCAGUUUUGAUUGUGUGAUUUGGGCCGUAGUUUCAAAGGACUUGCGACUCGAAAAAAUUCAAGAAGAUAUUGGGAAAAAGAUCGGUUUGGUUGAUGAUUCAUGGAAGAGUAAAAGUGUAGAGGAGAAAGCUCUCGACAUCUUCCGGAGUUUAAGAGAGAAGAGAAUUGUAUUGCUGUUAGAUGAUAUAUGGGAGCGGGUUGAUUUAACAAAAGUGGGCAUUCCACUUUCCGGACCAAAAAAUACUACAUCAAAAGUCGUAUUCACAACCCGUUUCGUCGAUGUUUGUGGUAGCAUGGAAGCUGACAAGAAGUUCCAGGUGGCAUGCUUAUCAGAAGAGCAUGCUUGGGAACUGUUUCGAAAAAAAGUUGGGGAAGAAACUCUUGAGAGUGAUCAUGAUAUCGUUGAGCUAGCCCAAACUGUGGCCAAAGAGUGUGGUGGUUUGCCACUCGCACUUAUUACUAUUGGUCGAGCUAUGGCCUUCAAAAAGACAGCCGAGGAGUGGAGUCAUGCAAUUGAUGUGCUAAGAACAUCAGCUUCUGAGUUUGCAGGUUUGGGAGAAAAGGUUUAUCGUCUUUUAAAGUUUAGCUAUGAUAGUUUGCAGAAUGAGACGAUUAGAUCUUGUUUCUUAUAUUGUUGUUUAUAUCCCGAGGAUUAUAGCAUUCUUAAAUGGGACUUGAUUGAUUGUUGGAUUGGUGAGGGAUUCUUAGAGGAAUCUGACAGGUUCAGUGCAGAAAACCAAGGAUACUACAUUGUGGGCACUCUUGUUCAUGCAUGUUUAUUGGAAGAGUUAGAAGAUGAUAAAGUAAAAAUGCAUGACGUUGUUCGUGAUAUGGCUCGAUGGAUAGCUUGUGAAAUUGAGAAGGAGAAGAGAAAAUUUUUGGUUUGUGCAGGUGCUGGAGUAGGAGCGGUGUCAGAUGUUGAAGGAUGGGAAAAUGUGGGAAGAUUGUCAUUGAUGCAAAACCAAAUUGAAAUUCUGUCAGAGGUUCCCACAUGCCCUCAUCUCCUCACUUUAUUUCUUGACUUUAAUUAUAAAUUGGAGAUGAUCACCGAUGGCUUCUUCCAAUGUAUGCCUUCUCUCAAAGUUUUGAAGAUGUCAAACUGUGGGCAUGUCAAAGUUUUGAAAUUACCUUUUGGGAUGUCAAAGCUGGGUUCACUACAACUUCUUGAUAUUUCACAUACCGGCAUAAGAGAGUUACCAGAAGAGUUAAAGUUGUUGGUAAAUCUGAAAUGUUUGAAUUUGAGGUGGACACAUAUGUUAAAUAAAAUUCCACGGCAGCUAAUAUCAAAUUCUUCAUGGUUACGUGUGUUGAGAAUGUUCGCUAUUGGCUUUGAAAAUUCUAAAGAACCAUCAGAAGACAGCGUUUUAAUUGGUGGGGGUGAAGUUUUAGUACAUGAAUUGCUCGGUUUGAAAUAUUUAGAGGUAUUGGAGUUGACCUUGCGAAGUUAUGAUGCUCUCCAAUUUUUUUUGAGCUCAAAUAAGUUAAAAAGUUGUAUUCGAUCUCUUUUCCUCAAUAAGCUGGGAGAUACAAAGUCGAUUCAUGCUACGGCUUUCGCAGAUCUAAAGCAUCUCAAUGAACUAUGCAUUCGUUCGGCAGUGGAGUUGGAAGAAUUGAAGGUUGAUUAUACAGAGAUUGCGCCAAAAAGGUCGGAACCUUUUGUUUUCCGCAGCCUUCACCGUGUUACUAUGGAGCGGUGCCAUAAAUUGAAAGAUUUGACAUUCCUCGUUUUUGCUCCAAGCCUCAAGUCUCUUUCGCUAUACGGUUGCAAUGCUAUAGAAGAAAUAAUCAGCGUUGGAAAAUUUGCUGAGACUCCUGAGGUGAUGGGACAUAUAAGCCCUUUUGGAAAUCUCCAAACGCUUUAUUUAACUGAUUUGCCAGAGUUGAAAAGCAUCUACUGGAAGCCAUUGCCUUUCACUCAUCUCAAAGAAAUGACGGUACAUGGGUGUAAUCAGCUUAAAAAGCUUCCAUUCGAUUCCAACAGUGCAACAGAGCGUAAAUUUGUUAUUCGUGGAUACACACUCUGGUGGAACCGUCUUCAAUGGGAGGAUGAAGCCACUCAAAUUGCUUUUCGUUCCUGUUUCCAAUCUCAUGAAAUAUAAAUUCCUGAGCGGUGGUUGCAAAAUUUGAUUUCUAGUGAGUGCUUUUUUCUUAAACUCUUACAUAUAUUCUCGUCGUUUGCUUCGUGCAACGGACUAGGUUUUUAUUUCAGAUUCGUUUUUUGUCUCCUGCAAAUCACAAUUAAAUGUUGAAUUAUAUGGAGUCAAUGCUUUAUAAAAUUUUCAAGGCACUGCCAUUUCCUUUUUCUUUUUCUUUUUUUUUUUGGGUCGAAUUGAUGCUCUGGCUUUUUACUUUUUGUUGUCACAUUUUGCUCUGUUUUUUCAAGUUGAUGCUUGAAUAGUUGAAUUCAAUUGAUGCUCACAUAAAUUUGUUUAGUUGCCGCAAAAGGAUAUAAUUAGACUGAAGUACACACUUCUAGAAUGAAUACAAAAUGUUAAGUAUACUAGCCCUCUUUACAGAAAAUCAAAUGAAAAUCAAUUUUUUGGGGCUUUGAUUUUCUAUGGUCUAUUAUAUACUCUUUUUAAUAUCUUCUGUUCUAACUAUAACCAAAUCCUUUGUUCAAGGAUUUUUAUUUGGGGUAUUGAUAACUGUCCACCAAAAGAGUGAACACUUGGAUGCUGCUCAAGGAUCUCUAAUCAAUAGCUGGAAGCAACUGAGAAGGCGGUCGCUACUGUUUACAAAGCGAUGCAGUAUUUGCCAUUCAUCUUAAUAAUUAUGAAGCUUUGGUAAAAUUUUCAAACAAAGUUGAACACAUGUUGUUUUGAGAUUUGGUUCAUGAUUUUGGAUGAAUAUCGUUGUUCCGUUUGAGUUGGAUGUGAAUUCAAAAUCUAUAUAUUCUUUGGUUUUCAAUUCUGAACUCAAUUUCUUUUUCUCAAGCAUGUUAUGCAGAAAUGAUUUUUUACUAAAUCAUUUUUGAUGAAUUGUUUAAAUUAAACAAUUGGAAUAAGAAUUGAAAAGGUUUAUCAUAAGCAUGCUAAUAUGAUAAGUUGUUUUAUGAACGAUUAAUUAAUUAAUCAAUUAAUAUUAAAUUAUCUAUUAGUCAAUUAGAUAUGCGUUACAUGUCAUGUUUAAAAAUUAUUUAUUUAUAUUUCAAACAAAUUUGACUGGAUGUUGUGUAGGUAAUACUACAUAAUUUCAAAACAAAAAAAGUAAUAAAAACACGUUAAAUUUUGUUUUUAUGAAGAAAAAUUUAAAAUUUUAUUAAAUAGGUGAAAAUAAUAAAUGGAUUCGUGUAUGGUUUGAGAUUCUUGACAUAAUUAUGAAAUAAGCCGGAUUCGACUUAGUUCAAUUUUGACGCGAUAAGAAGACGACACCACACAAACACACGAUAAGAACCGUUACCUGAGAAGAUUGCCAUCAGGAAUUUUGAAAUUGAUUUCACUACAAUACCUUAAUCUUUCAGAUACUACCAUCACUGAGCUGCCAGAAGAGCUAAAAGCCUUGGUAAAUCUUAAGUGUUUGAACUGUACACAAAUUAUCUCUCUACAAUUCAAAAACAACUAAUUUGUUACUUUUUCAAUGCUACAUGUUCUGCGAAUAUUGAGUUGUGGUUAUCUUGUUGAAAUAUCAGACAAUAGAGUUCUAUUUGGUGGUAGUGAAUUGUUGGUUGGGGAGUUGCCUAGUUUAAAACGUUUAAAUGUAUUAAGCAUCACCUUACAAGGUUUUUCUGCUGUCCAAAAACUUAUGAGCUCUCAAAAGUUUCAAAGCUGUACAAAAUGUUUGGAGCUUAUAGACUGUGAUGAUUCAAAGUCUUUUGCCUUGGCAGAGUUGAAGCAUCUCGAAAAACUAGUUUUUUGAAUUGUGGAAGAGUUUAAGUUCUGCUUUGUUGAAGUUGGAAAAGCUCAAGAAUGUUUUCGUUUGAACAGUUUUCACCGAGUUAAUAUAAAGGCUUGUCAUAAAUUGAGGGACGUGACAUGGCUUGUAUUUGCUCCAAAUCUUACAGUUAUUCAAAUAGAAAAAUGUAUGCAGAUGGAAGUAAUAGUCAGUGCAAGGAAAUUGGGUGAAGUUCCAGAGAUGAUGGCAGAUCUAAACCCUUUUGCAAAUAUCUUUGCCAGCGAGUUCUACCAAAAUUAAAAAGCGUCUAUUGGAAUGAGUCACCCUUUCCACAUGUCAGGGAAAUUAUUGUAUCUGAAUGCCCAAUUCUCAAGAAGCUUUCACUCGGUUUUAACAAUGCAAAGGAAUCUAAAAUUGUCAUUAGGGGAGAGGAACACUGGUGGAGUGAGCUGCAAAGGGAGGAUGAAGCGACCGUUAAUGCUUUUCUUCCUUGUUUCGGUUCCAUUUGAUAGGCAUCAACAUGGAUUUAUAUUUUGCGGUGGACAACUUGUGGUAAGUGCUUUUCCAUUUAUUACAUGUUUAUAUCUAACUUUUGUUUUCCUUUAUGGUUAAAUUUUACUGUAUAUAUGUUGUUAUACGGUGACAUUCUCGCAUCAAUUAUUAGCUUUUUAAUUCUCUUCUGGCAUUAAUUGCCCUUCUGAUCAUGUAGGAUAUGCCGAUGUCAAAGAGUAGUAAAUUGGGAUACAAAUGUAAGAAUUAGCCAGAUGACAUGUUGUUUUGAAGCUCUCUCGAAGGACUAGUUAUGUCAUUCAAAGCAUCCAAUUUCGCUACUUUUUUUUUCAUUUGUUGCUUUUUAUAUUUCUAGAUAGCUUGAUAUUCGGCCAAGACAUCGAUAGGAGGGCACAUUGUGCAUGCACACUAGUGGAUGAUUUGGGCAUGCCGAAUCCAAUUAGCGUGGAUGACCCUUUAUAAGCAUCAGGCUUCUCUCAUACCAGAGCAAUGUAGAAUAUGUUUAUAAACUGUGGAUUACCCUUUAUAAGUUUAGACUUCUUCUAUACUCGAGCGAUGUGGAAUACCUGUAUAAGCAUUAAGCUUCUCUCAUACACUUUAUGUUAAAAAUAAUAAUAAUAAUAAUAAAAUAAAUCCAUUUUAAAAUAGGCUCUUUUUUUCUUUUUUUAUAUAAACAAAAUGCAUUCUUCAAAUCAAUAGUGGGUGGAAGAAGUGAGUAGAGAAGGACUAGGCCCCUUCAUUCCGCCUAAAACCUCACCGAAACCUCUCUUGUGAACUUCUCAGAUUCUCUCUCAAUAUUUCUUAUGAUCUCGUUUUUGAUAGAAUCACUUCUAUUGCAUGCUGCAUUUUGUGCGUCGUUUUUGGGUAAUAUCUUAUCUGGAAUGCUGUUAUGAUCAAUAGAACAAGUAAUCAAUUUUUGGUUUGACGGAAGUCGAUUUAUUUAUUUACUAUUGUUUUUUAUUUGAAAUUUUGACAGUUGUGUUUCAUUCAUUUCUUUCCUUCUUUUUUUAUUUUAUAUUUAUUAUGUAUAAUUGUGUUUCAUUUGAUAUUGAUCAUACUGUAGAUAACUAUGUGAUUGUAGCUGGGGAUUUUAAGUUUUGUGAAUUCAAGAAACUGUCAAAAUGCUAGUGAAAUUGGGACCUUUAUUCAUAAGCUUGUGGUUUUCAAAAGUAGCCGGGUUCAACUGAUGAAGUUCCUUUUUGGGAUUCUUUUUUUUCUAGGCUGCAAUUCGGAUAUGUACCUGAUAGACAAUCUUUUGUGAGUUUAGCAUAUCUUCUCCGAUUUUGUCUUUUAUUCCCCAACUUUACAGCUACACACCAUGAAUGCUGGGUGAUUGUACAGAAAAUUUGUGUUAGAACAAAAGCAUUGUGAAGGAGUUUCUGUGCUAUAAGUUAUUGGCUUCAGCUUUAUUGGCAUUAAUUGGGUAGAUUAUGUGUUACAGUGAUUCAAUUUGUGAUCCACACUUUAAUUUUCUCUUUUCCCCAAUUAUUUAUGUCAAAUUCAAAUCCAGAAGCAUGCGCUGAUUUUUUUUUUUUUUUGUGAUAAUCUGUGAAGUUUAUUUGGAAAGGACGUAUCUGGGUUUAAUGGAUUAAAUUAUGACAUUGAGGGAAAGGCACUAAAGGUUUUGCUUGACACAUUUGGUCUGUGUUUACUCUGCAAUAAAUAGCUUCGCUUAUCAGAAAUCCCUAUUUGGCUGGUGAAUUUCUCUGUGACAGACAGGCAAACACCUAAACCGCUUCUAUCCAUUUUUCUGCUGGUGAGGUAAGGGGUAAAAAGUCUUCAAAAUCAUCAAAUAGUAACAUCUCUGAGAAUUGGUUUUAGAAAAAUGGAAAAUCUAGACCUACUAGGACAAAAUGGCGUCCGGUAUCAGGAGGUACCGUUUCAAGUUUUCUUGGUAAAGAAUAUAUUAAACCUGCGCAACCAGCUAAUGGCACUUUUCUGGCAUCAAAGCCAUUGAAGUUGGAUCUAAAGGAGUUUUCCCAUGCCUGCAUUGUGCAGAGAAGAAACUAAACAAAAACAAUCAAAGAAUGACCAUUUGCAGAAGGAUACGGAAGAUUUUCUAUUUAAAUUGUUAGGAGAAGGGUCCCAGCUGAACAGGGAUGUGAUUCAGGAGGUUCUCGGUAAUGUCUUAAAUAUACUGAUGCCAAUUUAAUACAUAUUGUCCUUUUCAAUGUUCUUUCUUUCUUUCUUUUUUUUUUCCUUCUUCUUCUUUUUCUUUUCGUGUGCAUGUGAUCACUGAUUUGGUAUUAUGCUUAAGUUGCAGAUAGCUGUGGAUUUGAUAUGCAAAAGGUAAGGACUAUAUCUUCCUGAUGUAGGCCUCUGCUUUUUCCCCUUCUAUGUAAUUUAGUAAUUCACAUCUUCCUUUGUGAUUGUUAUAUCAUAUCGAAGUCAAGUCUUAAAUACUGCUGUCAUAUGUGAAGGUUCAACUUGCAUUUUGAUUAAGAUCCAUUUGCUGCUGCUUCCAAAAGUGAGAAUGAGAUACUUUGGUUAAUUUCAGUGGUUGAACCCAAUAGAGAACUUUAUUUAGAUCUUCAUGGUUCAAAGGCCUGAAAAAACUUGCCCGUAAUUGUAAAAUGACAUUCUGUGCUUUUUAUGCAAUAGGGAACAGGGAAGUAGAGCUUUGGAAAAGCCUGGAUUGAUAACUAUGGAGAGACUUAUUAUUUAAGUGAUGAAAAAUUCCCAUCGCCCGCAGUCAAGAAAAUUUCAGAUAGUUAAAGACUCCAUUUUGCUUCAGCCAAAAAUGUUUGUUUCAAUUAAAGACUUGAACCAUUUUCAUUGAACCUGAUUGUGAUCCUUUACGUUAUGCAUGUUCCUCUCAAUCAAGAAAAGUUGAGGUCAUGAUUCUAUAUUUCUAUAUUGUAACUUGAAAUAAUAAUUGGUCUACUUGUUUCUGUAUCUUGAUAAUAUGAAUUUUCCUUCUCAAGUUAAUUUGUUCAAUAAAGUAAUUCUUCAAAGAAAAUAUGCCCAUUCUAUAAUCAUUUUCUUAGCUCAGAUGUUUUUUCUUCACUCUUCAGAGCAUGUCAAAACUAAUUGAUCGCUUGGCAGAUACUUUGGGUAAGAAGACAAAAUUUCUUGGUAAAUCCUCGGAAAAGGUAUGCAUAAUUCCCGAGUAUUAAAUAACCAAUAGUCAUAAUUUUUGUACAUGACUCUUUUUUCUCUUUUUUGUGGAGAUCAUUAAAAUUGGUUGAUGAUCCAUUUUGUAACAUCAUAGAGGGAUCAUCAAUUCCUUCUCUUUUCUGUGGCUAGGCAACACUUUCAGGCCAAAGUAAGAAAAUCUAUUUUAGGUAAUGUGAAAACCAACGGUAGGAUGUAAUAGUUUAUUAUGCACUGACAAUAACUUUUUGUAUGGUUGGCAGUUUAAUGAAUACAAGAGGAACUUUGUUGACAAAUUCAUCCAAGAUAGAUGCUAAAAUUAUUUAUGCAUGCCAGUUGCCUUAACUAAUUUUUCUUAACACUUGUAUUGAACAGGAAAAUGAAUAAGCAAUCUGUAUAUUGUGCCAUUGUGGAGUAUUUGGAUAUUCUGAUUUAAAUAACAAGGAGAAUACUUGCCUCAUCUUUAAAUGAGGAGUGGGGGAUUGGAAGUGUCUUCAUGUAAAUGUUCAUUUAUUUGUAUUUUGAACUAUUAUGAGAAUCUUAUAUGCCAAAUCAGUAAUACAAAUCUUCAGAUGAUUUUUGCUGUUGAUCAUGGGUUUGUGUCUGCACACAACCAUUGUAUAUCACUUUAUUCUGAUGUGCAGGUAUGUGUAGCUUAGAAGAAAUGGAAUAAUAAUCAUCUAUUAUUGCUUGGUUCAUGAUUAUUAAACGAUUAUGGCUUUAAAAAGUCUACAAAUUCCUUCUGUUCAUAUAUGAAUGUGCCAAGUUUGCUAUAUCUUAGAUUAUCUUCUUCCAAGAUAACAAGUUCAUAUUCUUUUUAAUCUUUUUCCCUCACAGUUGACUUUUAGGUGUUAAGAUUUGUUAUUAGUCCCCUGUUAUUAUGAUUUCAUAAACAGUGUACGGAUAUGUGCUCUAACUUUGGAGGACCUCCACAUGAAAGAAAAUUGCAACAAUUGAAUUCUUCCGGAGGGUAUGGUCUUUAAUUUAUUUUCUCAACUUCUCGUAAGAUUAAUAUAUUUCAUUCAGUAGGCACAGCAUGGGGGGAAGGGUUUUUAUUGAAAGAAUUCUGAUAUUUCUUAGACUUUGUUUUGGAAGGGGGGUGGAGGGAUUUCUCAUCCAUGUAUGGUUACUUGAUUAGCUUUUGACUGUAUUUCCUCAGUCAUGUAAAGGAAGAUCCAAAUACCAACGAAGGAAUAUUGCCUAGACACCCGAAAGACAGAAAUGAGCUACAGAAGCAAGUUUUACUACUUUAUUUAGUGCUCCUGAGAAAUCUGAUGGAGACCGAAUGGAGGUCCAAAGCAUUGGAAAAGGUAGUGAGUGAACCGCCGGAGGAGUUGGCACCAGAAUGCAAGGCUAAUGUGGUGCACUUGCAGCAAGAUAACCAAACCGGUAUGUGCUCUUAUAUUAACUAGACUGACUGGAUUUGUGAGUGUGUGCAUUUUUUUGUGUAUACUCUUGUAUUUAUGCAUAUUAAUGUGUGUAGGAAUUUCUGCCACUUACUGGAGAACUAGUGGAAAGCUUUAUAUCGAUAUAUCUGCAAUAACUAAUUGGAAACUAUGAUAUUAAUAUUUUCUCUCACCUGAGGAACUGUGUAACAGAUAUACUUUGUGGCUCUGGAGUACUAGAAAUUCUGCAAUAACUAAUGGAAACUAUGAUAUGAAUAUUUUAUCUCAACUGGAGAACUUUGUAACUUGUAGCUCUGGAAUGUCUAAGGAAUUUUGUCUGCUUCAGUUAGAUCAAAUAUCUUUUAGUUGCAUACAUUAUAGAAAAAGAUAAAGUUCUCUGAAUCUGAAAGACUGAAACAUUUUGUAUAUUUUGUGAAAGGGAAAUAUCUGUAGAUACUAGUUCAUGCAUUGAGGUAACAUCAAUGUUAAAGAAAAACAGCAAUAAGUUAUUAUGUGGAACUAGGUUCACUUGCUUUAAAUGCUGGUCUGGUCAACCAUAUGAACCUGUAAGUUCUGCAGAAAUAUAUAUACGGGGAGAAACUAGCUAAAUUUUCCGUUCAUUGAUGGCUUUGGUCAUUUUUUUCCCCUUAUUUUUCAGCUGUCCUUCUCCUGAAGUAUGUUAACAACUGCAGAUAAUGAUGAAGAGGACAGCUUGCAGGCUCUUCUUAGAGCCAUGAUGGAAUAUAGGGGCACAAUGAAGGAACAUUGCAAAGCUGUAGGUUCUUUUUCUCCUGUCAUUUAUGUUUUCUCACACAUUUUUUAUAUGCUCCAAGCAUGCAAUUUUGUAUGUGUCAACUGCUUUCUAAGUUUUAAAAACCAUAAUGUAAGAAUACAGUUUCUUGUCAGGCUAUUGAUGCAUUUGCUCAGGGGGAUCAUGUUCGAGCAGGAAAACUUCUAGAACAGACAAGGUUUUCCAUCUACAGCCAUCUAUUGACAACAGAUAUAUUUUCAUUCAGCAAACACUGUUAGCAUUCAAGAUACUGGCAGAUUCACUUGAUUCUUAUUAGUAAUGUUUAGUAGCAAAGGAUAUAACCUGUAUUUCAAAGCCAAGUUGUGCUAUUGAUUAUGUUAGCUUUAUUGUUCACAUAAAGUGAUAUGGAGGAAAUAAUGUGAAGUGAUAUGGAGGAAAUAAUCAAUGUAGGAAAAUUAGGUGAAGAAAUGAUGUCAAAUCUUGAACCUCUUACAAAACUCCAAGCUCUUUACUUGAAUAAGCUACUAAAUUUGAACAGGGUCCACUGGAAGGCCUUGCCAUUCUCUGAUGCAUGCAGAAUUUUUGCAUUUAAAUGCCCAGAGCUUAAGAAGCUGCCACUGGAUCUUGAAAGGGCAGGCCAAGGUAAAAUUCUUAUCAAGGGAAAGGAAGAUUGGUGGAAACAACUUCAAUGGGAGGAUCAAGUAACUCAGAAUGCAUUGCUUCCAUUUUUAAAACAACCAGCAAGUGAUUGAAGGGGGCAUCAUCAACGUCAUCAACAUGGAUGGAGAGAUUCAGGAGCAGAUCAGCAGGAUUUAGUACGACCUGUGGUGGUUUCUUUUUUGUGACUUUUUUCCCUUUCAUUUUUUCACUUCCUGUCAUAUUAUCAUUUCUUUGUCUCUGUUUCUAUUGCUGGUGUUGCUGCAUGCUUGCUGUCCUUGACAAAGUUAGCUAGUUUUUUUUUUUUUAAUUAAAUUUUGUAUGUUCGGUCGGGACAGUCACAAAGUACUACUUGUUCUAUAUGGGGGUGAUGUGAAUCAACUUUUCAAUUAUAUAUUCUGUGGUAAUUGCGAAUUCAAUUUCAUUUGUCUCCAGCAAAUUAUGAAGAAAGUGCAGAGUUACAAUAUGGAGAAGUUCACUGGCAAAUACUUUGUAAAAGCUUCGGAGUGAAACAGGAAAUGCACUUGCAGCUAAGGACAAAUUGGUGGCCAGCUAAUGCCUUCAUUUUAUGUACAUUCAUCUUUUUAAUUAUUGAAGAUAAGUGGUUCGUUGCUUUUGUUAAGAUUAUAAGUUAGCGUCGGUGCAGGAUUUGCAGCAACAAAUCUUGACUAGCCACGUGUCAAAAGCACAAAUAAAUCAAGGGAAAGCACAUGACAUGGAUUAGGAUCUAAUAAAAUUUAAAUCCCAAGGAAAAUGACAACUGCAUUAUGAAGUUUCAAUAAGGGAUACUGACUAAUGAUAUUUUUUGGCUUUAUUAAUAAAAAAAGAAUAUUUUAUAACAAAUUAAAACAUAAUAUUAAGCUAAAUGUGAUAAUUAUAUACAUUUUAAAUAAUUUCAAUAAAAAAACAUUUUAAUGUUUUACGAUCUAUCAUACAUAUUUUAUUAAAUUAAUAUGAAUUUUUUUUUAUAAAUAGCAACAUAAUAUUACAACAAAUUUAUAAGGAUUUAAAUGUAAAAUAAUUUUAGUAUAAAUAAUACGUGGGAUAUAUUUUGUAAAUUAUAAAAUUAUUUAACACAAAGUUUUUUAAAAAAUAUUUAAAAUAAAUAAAAAUAAAUUAUUCACAUCUUGAUUUAAAUAUUUAAAAUAUUUUUAUAUAUUAGUCUACAAUUAUUUAUGUUAUAUUUUUAUUUAUUAGAAAUUUUGAAAGUCAAAUGUUUUCACCUCUAAGAGAAAGACACAUAUGCUUUAUAGCUUUAAAAUCGGUCUGUUUUAUAUCUGGAAACAAAUAUAUCAUUAUUGGUAAGGAUUAAAAAAAGGGAUAAAGAAUAUUAAUGAUUAAUGAAAUCUCUAUGGAAAUUGAAUUUAGUAGGAAAAAAUUGAGCUAAAUGAUUUAGACAUUUAGUGGUAUAGUAAUAUUUUAUAUAUAGAAAUGUAAAAGCUGCACCCGAGGUUAAGGGAAAUGUUCAAAACUCUUUUUUACUCAUAAUACCCUUUGUCCUAACUAACUUACAAAUUCGACUCUAAUAUUUUAUAAUAAAUAAAAAUGUAAUCCUAAAAUAAAUAAAAUAAGAUAUAUUUUAAAAUAAUCUCAAUAUUUAAAAUAUACUUUAAUAUUUUAUAGUCUAUCAGACAUAUUUAAUUAUAUUAAAGUAAAUUUUGUAAUAAAUACAAACAUACUAUUAAAAUAGAUAUAUAAAAAAUUUAAAGUAUUUUGGAUAUUAUAUAAAAGAACUUUAAUAUUGUUAAUACGUGAGAUAUAUUUUAUUAAUUAAAAAUUCUAUUUAACCCAAAGAUUUAUUUAAGAUAAAUUAACAAUCAUAUUUGUGAAAUUAUUUCAAAUAUUAAAAAAUAUUUUAAUAUUACUAACUAUUAGAUAGACUAAACUAUUUAUAUUAUUUUCUAUUUAUUAUAAAAUUUCAAAAUUAAUCUUUUUAACUACUAUUCAAAAGAUAUUAUGAUAAAAAUAAUUUUUUUGUGUUUUUAUUAAAAAUUUGGAAUUUGCAUAACUCUUUUUUUAAAUAUUGGGGUAUAGCUGUCUUUUCCCUUUUAUAUAUACAAACCACAGUGGUGAAAAAGCUUGAUUUAAUGUUAUUUAUUUAAACAACACCGAUAUUCACACCACAUUGAGCACCAUAGUUUUUUUUUUUUUUUUGAAAAGAAAGUACACCUUUCAUUGAAUUAAGAGAAAAGAAACAAAACAUCCUCUGGAAAUUCAUCCAGCCAAAUACAAGGGUCUGACUUUUUGAAAGCCAACUUUGCCAAAUCAUGCGCUAAAAAGUUACACAUCCUAAGGACGUGCUGAGCUUUAAAAUUCUGAAAGAUUUUCUUAGCUUCUAUAAUAUCAAAAAUCACCCAAAAGGUGUCUGUCAAAGUGCUUCUCUUGUUAUUGAUUAGCUCUAUCACCCCUUUAGAAUCAGACUCUAAGAUAACUGAAGUUGCCCCUGCCUUGGCAGCUGCCUGCAUUCCCCACAAAACAGCUUUUGCCUCACUCAACUCCACAUCUCCUGAGCUCUUAAAAGUGCUAACAGCUGCAGCAACUGUUUCUCCCUUAUGGUUUUUAACUACUGCUCCCAGCCCAGCAAGAUAAUUCACCCUAUCCAUAGCAUCAUCAACAUUUACCUUAAGCCAUCCUUCUUCGGGUGGACUCCAUUGGCUUUGCUGAACAUUGUUUUGUUCUGCUAAGAAAUCCUCUUCUGACAUUGAGCACCAUAGUUAAGUACAAAACGGUGCGUUUUGUUCACGCAUGUUAGUAAACACCCACGCAACUUACACACAUACGCGCGGCUCACAACACGCGCUCUCCUCGCCCUAAAUCUCACCUGAUUGAAGCCACAAAUUUGGCCACGUUCUCCCACAGCUCUCUCCGUUCUGACCGUUUACUCUUCCUCUAGCCCCAUCGAUUACAUCUCUCAUAGCACCUCAUUCAACCGACGUAAUUGCCAGAAAACAACCUACCUGGUAAUAAAAGUCGAUUCUCUUACAAUUUUGGCCCAAAAAAAAAAAUUGCACAACUGAAAAAUCAAAAUGCCACUCUUUAAAACCAAAAAUCAAUUUUGGGCCCCCUUCAUCACCGCCUUCACUCUAGAUUUUUUCAAUCCACUUUGUCGUCAAAACCGUGGUGUUCUUAAACCAUUAUUAUAUUCACCAUCCCCUUAAUCACAUCCAACCAUCCCCAUUAUUCGUUUGUCAAACACGCUGUUCUCUUCCCAAAUUAAUUAAUUAAUUAAUGACAGACAGGAACAAAAGUACUUUAAAUCUCUGCCAAAUCGUAUUGUUAUUACUUCUUCCGAGUCGAGGCCACGUCGUUCUCGAUGGAAACCAUUGCUUUUUAUUACCACUCUUGAGGAGUUCGAAGCAUUCUCGACGGAGACCCGCGCAAGCUGUGGAAAGAGAGAGAGUCAACGGUGAAAAGAGAGCAUGGUGAGAUGUGUGAGCGACGGGGGGAGAGAGAGAGAGAAAGAAAGCCGACGGAGAGAGCACAUAGAGCUGAGAUGCGUGAGUUGGGUGAAGAUUUGGUGAGCGUUGUGUCAGUUGCCCGUGUGUUGUGUGAGCUCUGUGCCAUGUGAUAUGCGUGCUACUUUGAGAAUUUAUAGAUAGCACAAAACUCAAUCUAUAUCCAAUUCAUACCUAGAUAGAUGCGGAUUUGACUCAAUUUAUAUCCAAUUCGUCAUUUGCGAACUAAAAAUUUUUAAUUCUCUCAAAUUCACAAACUAACUAAAUAAAUAAAAAUUUAAUAUAAAAAUAACUGUACUACCGAUCAAAUUUAAAAUUAAAUAAUAUUUAAAUAAAUUAAUUGUUUAAAUAAAGUUAGAAAAUACAUUCAAAAUUUUAAAAUAUAACACAGUAAAAAGAAAAAAUCUCAUUUGUUUAGACCUAUGUAUGAAAAUUAAUUGUUUAGGAAUCUAUAUUUAUUUAUUUUUAUAUUAUUAUCGGAUAAGAUAUAAUAUGGUGUUAAUGUAACUAUAUUUUAACUUAUUUAUUUAUAAGACCAAUGCUAUAUGUACAAGUUUAAUUUUUUAAUUAAAUAAAUAUUUUUUUUUGCGGAAUUGUGGAUUUUUGCGGAUUUACAAAAGUAAAUCUAUAUCCAAUCCACCGACUAUGGAUUUUCAAAUUUUCAAAAUUUCAAAUUUUCAAAUUUUCAAAAUUUCAAAUUUUCAAAUUUUCAAUCCAAUCCAAUCCACCAAUUCACAAAUUCGGAUUUUUACGGAUUAGAUUUCUACAGAUUAAACGAAUUGAGCAGACCAUAUUUGAUUUUGAACAUUGCUAAUUUGUAUGUUAAGUAUAACAUAAUCAAUUAUUUGGAUAAUCCCUUGUGUUUUAUCUCUAAUUAGAGCAUCAAUCUUCACAAUAUCUACAAAGCUACAAUGGCUACAAAACAAACCUGCUUGCAAAUUGUCAAGGAUACUUAUCCUUUCUCUUGACAAGUCAUUUGGAAAAAUACUGUCCCUUGGCGGCUCCAUGACUUCUCUGCUCCUCCUUUUGGUCUUAAUGUACGGUUGCAUAAUGAUAGUUUAGGCCCUUUAGGGACUACUUUCCCUGGGGUUGUUAAGUCUUAGCUUGUGCUAGGCUCGUUUUUCUUACCAAAAAAAAAGGGAAUACUUCUCCUAUAAGAAAUAAUCUCUAUAUAUAGGGUGGUUGGAUUCACUUGUUUACAUAACAGAUCAAUUAGUUCUCUGUAAAUAGAGAGUUUCUAGUAUAAGAGAAACGGUAGAUCUAUUGAGAGAUUAUGUGUUAUUAAAAUUUUAGUUGCGAAGAAAAGUACUAGAGUGAUUGUAUUAAUUUUUUACAUAGUAGAUUUUUCUAUCGUCAUCUUUAUGGCUGUGAUUUUUCUUCCAUAUAGAAGUUUCUCACGUAAAUUUUUAUGUUGUGUGAUUAGUUUUAUUCUCUAUCUAUUUUUUGUUUAAUAUUUUAUUUGUAAGAUGCUGGAUGGGAUUAAAAUUUCUUAACAAAUAACGGAUUAAAAAUCAUGAAGAAAAAGCUCAAGAGAUCUUCAAGAUUUGAAGUGUGCAAAAGUUCAUAUUACUGCUAGAUGAUAUAUGGGAGCGGGUUGAUUUAGUAAAAAUGGGUGUCCCUCUUCCUAGAUCAGAAAACAGCACAUCCAAAGUGAUAUUUACAAACCCGUUCUGAGGAAGUUUGCGGCUUAAUGGAAGUUCGUAGGAGUUUUAAAGUGGCGUGCUUAUCAAAUAAAAAUGCUUGGGAAUUGUUUCUAUACAAAGUUGGGGAAGUGAAAGAAAACAGAGAUGUACUGUUUGGUUGAAUAGAAAAUUACAGAGAAAAUUCUCAAUACUUGUAUUUGAUAAGAUUCAAUUCUUAAGAGCUUUUACAAAUCAGUACAAGUAUUUAUAUUAUUCCUUACACGUGAGAAUUGCUAGUAACUCACUAACUAACUAACUUUCUUUGAGCUGGAUCACUAACACUUGACUAAUCACACUGAGCUGUUAUUCUUCACUAACAACCUUCUGCUGACGUGGCUUCACCAAGCUACUUGAAUAAUGAGCAGCCUUGACAGCCCCCCUCAAACUCAAGGGACAAGACAUGACGUUGAGUUUGGCCCUAAGAUAGUUAAAAUGGAUGAAUGAGAGUGGCUUGGUCAUGAUGUCAGCUACCUGCUCCUCACUUGGUAUAUAUUGAAUGUUUAGUUCUCCAGCAAGAACUUUGUUUCUAACAUAAUGAAUAUCAAUCUCAAUAUGCUUUGUUCUUGAGUGGAAAACUGGAUUGUGAGCUAACUCUGUUGCACUGAGAUUGUCACACCAAAUAACAGGUUUCUCUAUGCAUUGUAAUUUCAACUCAGAAAACAGUGAUUGCAGCCAGCUUAUCUCGGCACUUGCUGAGGCUAGGGACCUAUACUCACUCUCUGCACUGGACCUAGCAAUAACAGGCUGCUUCUUAGACGACCAAGAUAUCAGAUUAUGACCAAGAUAGAUGCAAUAGGCUCCAAUCGAUUUUCUGUCAUCCAGAUCCCCUGCCCAGUCUGCAUCUGUGAAUCCUGUUAGUUUCAGAUCACCAUCCUUAAUAAUUUUGAGUCCAUAGUUCUGUGUAGCCUUUAGAUAUCUGAGCACUCUUUUGCAAGCCAUAAGGUGCUGCAGUGUUGGUGCAGAAACGUAUUGACUCAGCUUGUGAACACUAAAGGCAAUUUCUGGUCUUGUUAAUACCAAAUAUUGCAUCCCACCAACAAUGCUUCUGUAAUGUGUUACAUCUUCAACAUAACAACCAAGAUUACCUUGAGCUUCCUUCUGUAGCUUCAUUCCUGUACUCAUAGGAGUAUCAAUAUCUUUGCAAUUUAUCAUCUCAACUCUUGACAGCAGAUCCCUUAUGUAUUUCCUUUGAGAUAAGAAAAUACAAUCUUUAUCAUACAGUACUUCAAUGCCUAAGAAAUAAGAGAGAACUCCAAGAUCCUUCAAAGCAAACUUUGUACUGAAUUCUGUAAUGAAUUUUUCCAGCUCAAAGCUAUUUGGUCCUGUUAUUAAAAUGUCAUCAACAUAUAUAAGAACUAGAAUCAUAGAUGACUUAUUUAUUUUCAAGAAUAAGGAGGUAUCUGAGCUGGAAUUUGUGAAUCCCCACUGCAACAAACAGCCUUUCAACUUAUCAUACCAAGCUCUUGGAGCUUGUUUAAGUCCAUAAAGAGACUUGUGAAGCUUGCAUACAAAGUCUGGUUUCUCAAAGCUGAUAAAUCCCUCUGGUUGAUCCAUGAACACUUCCUCUGUUAAGUCUCCAUUAAGAAAGGCAUUAUUCACAUCAACUUGCCUUAUCUUCCACUGAUUCAUCACAGCUAAACUCAAGACUACUCUUACAGUUGCUGGUUUUAUGACAGGACUGAAAGUUUCAAAAUAAUUCACUCCUAUAAUUUGUUGAAAUCCCUUUGCAACUAACCUAGCUUUGUAUUUAGCUACACUUCCAUCAGUGUUGUAUUUAACCCUAUACACUCAUUUGUUUCCAACAACUCUUUGAUCAUUUGUUUUUGGCACUAAGGACCAUGUACCACUCUGCAUCAAAGCUGCAUAUUCUUCUUUCAUGGCUGUAAACCAUUUUGGGUUUUGCAUAGCCUCAUAUACAGAAUCAGGUUAUUUGUGAACAAGGGUUGCUGUAUAAAGCUUUGGUUUGAAGAUACCAGUUUUGCUUCUGGUAGUCAUUGGAUGUGUAUUAGGUUGGACUGGAAAAGAUAUAUCAGGUGUAGGUUGAGCUAAUAAGGAUAUGUCAGGUGCAGGUUGUGGUGAAUUUUGAGGCUCUGUAGAUGGUUCAAUAAAUGUGGUAUGUGUUUGUGAAUAGGAAUGUUGAUUGUCAGUAUGAAAUGGAUUAUCUGAAUGUUGUGAACUGCUGCUGGUAGAAAUUGCAGAUAGAGGAUUGCAUGAGCUAUUUCCAUCUGAUACUGGUGUUGUAGAUAAUAUGGUCAGAUGAAACACUGGUUGGGGUGUAAGGGAUUGACUCGAAUAAGAUGAUGAUUCAUUAGAAUGAAAAACUGAGUCUGUAGAAUAAGGAAAUGUUGACUCAUAAAAAACAACAUGUCUGGCUAUGUACAUCUUGCCUGAUGAAUGCAAGCAUUUGUAACCUUUGUGAACUGGACUGUAGCCAAGGAAAAUGCAUUUGCUUGAGUGAUAAUCAAAUUUGUGUUUGUUGUAAUCCCUUAGAUAAGGAUAACAUGUGCAACCGAAACACUUGAGCAUGCUGUAAUCAGGUUUAAGUUUAAAAAUUGUCUCAUAUGGGGUAAGAAGUUUCAGAGCUGUUGAGGGUAAUCUGUUUAUAUGGUAAACAGCUGUAAGAAAAGCAUCCCACCAAAAUUUAAAUGGUAGCUUAGCUUGUGCUAAUAGGGUUAGUCCUAGCUCAACAAUGUGUCUAUGUUUUCUUUCUACCACCCCAUUUUGGUGAUGUGUAUAAGGACAAGAAUGUCUGAAAAUGAUUCCACAUUGGUUUAAGAAUUGAGUAAAUGAUCUGUAUUCUCCCCCCCAAUCAGAUUGCAGGUUUUUAAUGGGGCUGUCAAAUUGGUUUUCAACCUGCAAUUUGAAUAGUUUGAAUACAUCUAAUGCCUCAGAUUUCAACUUAAGAGGAUAAAUCCAAGUGUAUCGGCUAAAAUCAUCAACAAAACUUAUGUAAUAGACAUAGCUAUCUCUAGAAGGUGUAGGUGAGGGUCCCCAUAGGUCUGUAUGUAUAAGCUCAAGGGGUUUUGUUGUUUUGGUUUCUGUGCUGGGAAAAUGCAGCCUAUGGGAUUUGCCCAUUUGACAUGCUUCACAGAUAUGCUCAAGUGUUUGUUUUAUGUUAUUUCUUGAGAGAUUAACUGAAGUAAUUCCUUUUAGCAAAUGCAUUAGAAUUUGAGAAUUAGGAUGGCCAAAACGUUUGUGAAGAAGAAGAAUUUUAUUAUUCAAUGCAUCACAAGAUGAAAUGUAGCUGGAAAAUUUAUUUAUUGAUGCAUUACAAACUGUGACACAACUGGAAUCAUUAUUCUGAGUGUUUUUAAGAACACUUGAAUCAAAAGAACAUGCAGAUAACAUUGACAAAGGUUGAGUGGAUGAAGGUUGACCCAUGUAAGAACAAGGAAGAGACUCAGAUGGUCUUAGAAGUAGCUUAUACAAUCCUUUCUCAGCAAUUCCUGUCAGAAGCACUUGCCUCUUCAGAGAAUCCUUCACAUAGCAAACAUUAUCAACAAAUUCAAUAGAGAUAUUGUUAUCAGCAGUUAAUUUUGAUAUGCUGAGCAGGUUCUUUGUGAUAUCAGGUACUAAUAACAUGUCAUUCAGUAAGAUAUGUGUUGGUUUAUAUGCAGCAUUUGAUCCUUUAUAAGUAAAACAUGGAUUACCAACAUGAGUUAUAGGCAAACCUUGGCCAUUGCCGAUGACAAGUUGAUUAGAUCCUCUGAAUUCCUCUCUGACAUUCAUGUUGGCCAUACUGUUAGUCAAGUGAUGUGUGGCACCAUUGUCAAGGUGCCAUCCUUCAUCAGCAGGCCCUUCAUAGUUGGUAAGAUAGGCUUCAGGAAUUACUGUGUCUGUUGAUGGAUAAGAGGAGAAGGAUAAAGGAUUGUAGCUUGAGUAGGGUGCAGCAUACUGUUCUUCAGUUGAAGGAGCAGCAUAGGUUAGAGAUGGAUCAAAGUUAGCUGUGUAUGCAGCCUUAGAUUCAAAAGAUCUGCCCCUUCCAAAAUGCCUAGGUAAUGGUUGAGGAUUGUCAUCAUAUCUAUGCCAGCAUUCAUCUGCUGCAUGUCCUGUUUUGUGGCAUAUCUGACAUAUGGUUGGUAAUUCAUCAGCAUGCAUGUUAGCUGAAGGAUGAAAGUUUGGCUUCAUAGGUGGCCUAAAAGGUUGCAUCAUCUGGCCCCUGCCAUAACCCCCAACAUUACCAACACCAGGUGAAAAACCUCUGGGAUGUGGAUUGUGAAACAUGCCUCUUCCAACAUUAAAUCCUCUAGUCAUAGGUCGACCAUAAUUUCCAUUUCCAACAACACCUCUUCUAAAAUUUCCUCUCAUAUAAGGAUGAUUCACAUUCAUUGUGCUAUAGUUUGCAUUAAACACAGUUUUGGCACUUUGAUUUUGUUCAAGUCUAGCUUCAUGAGUCAGUAAUAAUGCAUAAGCAUCAUCAUAGCUCAUCUUAUUAGCUGUGAUUAUGGAAGCUAGAUCUAGAUAACCUGAACCUAAGCCAUUCAAAACUCUCAUUAACAGAUCCUUUUCAGUGAUUACAUCACCAGCACAAGCAAGUUUGUUGGCGAGUAAUUUCAUUUUAGCACAAUAUUCCUCAACAUUCAUUGAAUCUUUUCUUAAGAUAUUCAUUUCAUAUCUGAGUUGCAUAAUCUUAGCCUCAGAUUGAACUCCAAACUGUUUUUCAAUAGAUCUCCACACAUCAAAUGAAGUGUCAUAGCUAAGAACAGAACUAAGAAUACCUUCACUUAUAGUUGAGAGCAGCCAGCCAAGGAGUAUUUGAUCUUGUGCUCUCCAGUUGCUGUAGGCUGGAUUUUCAAUGCUCUCACCAGAUCCUUCGAUCAUUGAAUCAACUAGAUACUGUUCUGGAAUAAUUUGCGGCUCUAGAAUGAAUCUUUCAAGGCGAUUUCCUCUGAUUGAAGUUACCACUUGUUUGCGCCAAAGCAAGAAAUUUGAUCGAUCAAGUUUCACAGUUGCAGCAAAAGUAAAUGAUGUUUGUGUAUGUUGAUUUGAGUUUAUGAUUGUUUGAUUUGAGAUUGUAUUGCUUGAGCUGGCCAUUUGUGGCUCUGAUACCAUGAAAGAAAACAGAGAUGUACUAUUUGGUUGAAUAGAAAAUUACAGAGAAAAUUCUCAAUACUUGUAUUUGAUAAGAUUCAAUUCUUAAGAGCUUUUACAAAUCAGUACAAGUAUUUAUAUUAUUCCUUACACGUGAGAAUUACUAGUAACUCACUAACUAACUAACUAACUUUCUUUGAGCUGGAUCACUAACACUUGACUAAUCACGCUGAGCUGUUAUUCUUCACUAACAACCUUCUGCUGACGUGGCUUCACCAAACUGCUUGAAUAAUGAGCAGCCUUGACAGGAAGAAACUUUGAACAAUCAUCCUGAUAUCCUUCAGAAAGCACAAUAGUUGUUAAGGAGUGUGGUGGUUUGCCACUUGCACAUUUUACCAUCGGUCGAUUUAUGGCAUGCAAGAAGACACAGCCGAAGAAUGGAGAUAUGCUAUUCAAGUGUUCAAUUCGUCCGCUUCCCGUUUCCAGGUCUGGAAGAAUGGAUAUAUACUCUUGUAAAAUUCAGUUAUGAUAGUUUACCCAAUGACACAAUUACACCUUGUCUGUUAUAUUGUAGUUUAUAUCCAGAAGAUUGUUGCAUUUCUAAAGAGAAUUUGGUAGAUUGUUAGAUCAGUGAAGGAUUUUUUAAUGAGAGUGAUUGGUUUGGAGAAAAAAUCAAGGAUACUUCAUUUUGGGCAUUCUUCUUCACGUUUUUUUUUGGAAAAGGGAGGAGAUUGUGAAAUGAAAAAUGCAUGCAUGACGUUAUUCGUGAUAUGGCUUUGUGGAUCGCAUGCGACUAUGAGAAGGAGAAGGAGAACUUUUUGGUUUACGCUGGUGUUGGUUUAACUAAGGUACCGGAUAUUAGAGAUUGGGAAAAGGUAAGGAGAUUGUCAUUGAUGAAAAAUAAAAUUGAGAAUCUAUCCGAGGCUCAUACAUGCCCUCAUCUCCUCACUUUCUUUCUUGACGAUAAUGAGUUUCGGAAGAUCCCCGGUGAUUUCUUCCAGUUUAUGCCUUCUCUCACUGUUUUAAACUUGUCAUGUAUUAAACUAAAGUCAGUUCCUUUAGGGACUUCAAGGUUGGUUCCACUACAACAACUCGAUCAUUCAUAUUCAAGCAUAAAAGAGUUGCAAGAAGAGUUAAAUGCCCUGAUUAAAGUUAAAUGCUUGAAUAUAGAUCAUGUAGAGGAGCUAAUUACAGUUCCACAACAACGGAUAUUUAAUUUUUAAGGUUAUAUGUGUUGAGAAUGUUCGAUACUAUUAGUUUAAAUUUUCAAGAAGCAUUAAAUAAAGACAGCAUUUUAUUUGGUGGGGAGGAAGUUUAAGCAGAGGAGUUGCUCGGUUUGGAAUAUUUGGAGGUAUUGAGCUUCACUUGAGAGGUGUUCGUGCUCUCCAAUUUAUUUUGAGCUCACAUAAGCUACGAAGUUGUACUCAAGCGCUGUUCCUCCAAUCCUUCAAUAAUUCGAUAUGGCUUGAUAUUUCACUUUUGGCAGAGUUAAAAGCACCACUGCAGAUUUAAGUAUUUUUGGCUGUAGAAAAUUGGAGGACUUGAAGAUGGAAUAUACAGGGGGAGCGAAAAACAAGCGGCAACCUUGUGUUUUCUAAGGCCUACAUACAGUUCACAUAGAGGUUUGUUCUAAAUUGAAGGACUUAACAUUCCUUGUUUCUGCUCCAAAUCUCAAGAACUUGGAAAUACAAAAUUGCCCUGCUGUGGAAGCAAUCAUCAGUGUGGGAGAAUUUGCGGAAGCUCUAGAGGUGGUGGAAAAUCUAAACCCAUUUGCAAAACUCCAGUAUCUUGGACUAGAAAAUCUGCCAAAUGUGGAGAGCAUCUAUUGCAAGCCUCUGCCCUUUCCAUGUUUGAAAAGAAAUGACUGUGGAUAGUUGCGGUUGUCUUAAAAAGCUUCCACUCUACUCCAACAGUGUAAAAGAGUGUACAAUUGUUAUUUCAUCAUUCGGAGAGUUAAUGGUGCAAUGAGAUUUGGCAGUUAACUCUCGUGGGAAGAGCUUGAAUGGGAAGACGAAGCCACUCGAAUUGCUUUUCAUUCAUGUUUCAAAUCUCUGAUUGGAUUGGAGAUUGCAUUUCGCCUCAGGUUCGUACUUUUCUUGAAUUUUUCUUGUUAACUUCAUUUGUUCAUUUAUCCAUUUUUUUUUAAAGGAAUCAGAAGGGUUAAUAAUUUUGGUUGUGUUAGGUCGACUUCUAAUCACGAGGCAGAAGGAGUUGAGAUGAAGUUUAAUUUUGGUGGAGAAAUUGUUUGAUUUAAAAAAUUUAAAUGAGUUGACCAUCAUUCUUUAGCAUAUUUGUAUGAACAGGAGUGUGUAAAUAUGCAAACUGUCCAGCUGUAUGUGUAUAGCGUAAUAAUUUUGAGGAGUUAAAACAUUGAAGAAUAUUGAUGUUUCCAUUGUCAAACCAAAUAUACUUAAUUACUUGAGGAUAAUGAUUACUGCUAAUACAUUUGCUAAUACAUUUGCAAAGAAAAAAACAUGCCUAUUGAAAAACUCAUCUUAUUAGCAACAGCAUUAUAAGUAGUAUCCAAUCAUAGUUUCAUGCAAGAUUUUGAGAUUUUUCAAAUGCUGAUUCCGGGAAUGGAGAUUAAUAGAUAAUGGAGACAGGUUGACUGCAAUGGCUAAUUGCAAGAGGGAAUUUUAGUCGUAAAAACAGACCAACUAGCAAAGCAAAUUCCAAAUCUUGGAAUGAAGUGGCAAAAAAACGAAACAAACAAAUGGCAAGAGGAAGUGACUAUACAAUAAUAACAUCGACUUGCAAUUCAACAUUUAUACAGUUUUACUCACCAAGAAAAGAGAAAAUUACAAUAGCAAUUUGGCUACUAGAAGAUGUUCAUUCAUGCUUAUGCCUGUCAUAUGGAUUUGAAACAAGGAGUAAAAGCAUUUAGAGUGGCUUCAUCCUUCCACUGCAGCUCAUUCCACCAGUGUUGCUCUCCCCUAAUAACAAGUUUGCGUUCCUUGGCGCUGUUGUAAUCGAGUGGAAGCUUCUUGAGGUUCGGGCAUCCAGAUACAAACAAUUCUAAGAGAUUUGGAAAGUGCACUUAAAUUCUUAUGAAUUGCUUAAGUAUGCAAGCAGCAGAGCAGAAAACAAACAACCUUUUCAUAUAUUAUAAUAACAUGAAUAAUCAGAUAUACACAUCCUUCACAUAUUUAUACUAAACGUGAAAAAUGGUAGCUUGCUCAAAGGGAAAACAGAAAUGAAUAAAACAAAAGAUUACAGCUGCACUAGCCAAUCAUUGGAAACAUUCUAGAAACUCCAGCUUGCAGUAUUCACGUGUAAAUAUUCUCCUGCAUAACAGUUUUGCCAGCUCAUUGAAUACACCUCAACUUCUUCAUCAGCUGGUUGCUGGAUAUGGCUGCUCAGGUGGCAUGCCAGCAUGGCCUUUGGGUCAAUUGUUGACUCAUCUUCAUAAUCUGAAUUCUCAACACCCUCUCUCAAACUUAAGGUCUUGUCGAAGACAUUAAGUUUGCUUCUAAAUUGACUGAACUUGUAAUAAGGCAAUGGCUUGGUUAAUAUGUCUGCAACUUGAUCUCUGCUGGCUACAAAACUGAUUUCCAGCUCUCCUUGAGUGACUUUGUCUCUAAUGAAAUGAAGGUCUAUCUCAAAAUGCUUUGUCUUUGAGUGAUACACUGGAUUUGUGGCUAUUGCUGCUGCACUUGUGCUAUCACUUAAGAUCAUUGGAACUCUUUGCAUCUUGAUUUCCAAUUCACCAAACAGAGAAUUUAUCCAAGUGAUUUCAGUAGUACACAAAGCUAUGGCCCUGUACUCGGACUCAGCUGUCGAUCUUGCUACCAUGCCUUGCUUUAUUGAGCUCCAAGCUACUAAAUUGUCUCCCAAAAACACACAAUAUCCACUUACUGAUCUUCUGUCAUCUGGAUCACUAGCCCAGUCAGCAUCAAUAUAGGCUAUCAAAUCUAGAUGUUCUGACUUCUGGAACUUUAAGCACAUGUUUGCAGUGCUCUUUAGGUACCUCAACACUCGUUUGCAAGCUGUCCAGUGAGAUUGUCUUGGGUCAGACAGGUAUUGGCUAAGCUUGUUCACAGAAUAUGCAAGCUCUGGUCUUGUUAGAACAGCAUAAUGUAGACUUCCUACAACACUCCUAUAAAAUGAAGGAUUGUCAAGUUUGGUGCCUUCACCCUUCUUUAGUUUCUCUGCUGUGCUGAAAGGUGACUCUAUUCCCUUGCAAUUCUCCAUCUCUGUUUUAGCUAAUAGGUCUUGAACAUAUUUAGCUUGAGAGAGCAAAAUGGAGUUCUGAUUUCUUAUAACAUGUAUCCCAAGGAAGUAGCUUAAAUUUCCAAGAUCUUUCCACUUAACUUUCCUAUCACUUCCUCAAUACCCUUGCUGUUAUUUCCAGUCACAAUUAUGUCAUCUACAUACACAAGCACAAUGAUUAUUUCAGCACUGCUUCUUUUGAAGAAUAGAGAAAUAUCACACUUGGAGUUGUUGAAUCCCCAAGAGCACAGAGCAUUCUUUAAUUUGUCAAACCAUGCUCUGGGUGCUUGUCUCAGUCCAUAAAGAGCUUUCUUGAGCUUGCAUAUGUGGUUUGGUCUUCUCCUAUCCUCAAAUCCCUCAGGUUGUGGCAUGUACACUGUCUCUGUCAAAUCUCCAUUCAGAAAUGCAUUAUUUAUGUCAACCUGCCUCAACAGCCAAUCAUUACUUACAGCCAAAGUUAAAAUGAUUCUGAUUGUUGCAGCUUUGACCACAGGGCUGAAAGUCUCAUUAAAGUCAAGUCCUGGUGUCUGCAGAAACCCCUUCAAGACAAGUCUAGCUUUGUAUCUAUUUAUGGUGCCAUCUGGAUUUUCCUUUACUUUGUACACCCAUUUGUUGCCAAUGAGUUUGUAGUUCUGGUCAUGUGGAAUUAAGGUCCAGGUUUGGUUUUUGACAAGAGCAUUAUAUUCAUCCUCCAUUGCUCUUCUCCAUUUAGGAUCUUUCAGUGCCACAGUGGAGUCAGGGGGUAAGGAAGUUUGAGAUUGAGUGGAUAUUUGAUAAACCUUUGGCUUGCAAAUCCCUGCUUUUGACCUUGUGAUCAUGGGAUGUAAGGAGGCUUGAGUGUUUGGUUAUGUUAUGAGAGGCAAGGUGCAAUUUUCUACUGAGGUGUUUGGUGAGAGUUCAACAGGUGAGUGGUUGUCUGAUAUAGAGUUGAAGCUCAAAUUCUAACAAGCUCCAUCUUAACUAAAACUUGGGAGCUGUUCUGAGUUUCCAGCAGUGGCCUGAGAUUAACUAUGAGCUGCAUUUUGCUGUGUUGACUCAGGGGGAACAGUAGUGGAGAAAGAUACAACUUGAAAUUUUUCUAGAACUGUGGGGGAAUCAUUUUGGUCAGUGAGCCUUUGCUUGCAGAAAUUUGAGUCAUUUUGAAAAGGGAAUGAAUGAUCAUUAAAUUGACACUGGCUGAAAUGUAGAUCCUCCCAGAAUGAUGCAUGCAAAUGUAACCUUUGUGACUGAUGCUAAUGCCUAGUAGUGUGCACUUGAAAGUGUGAAAAUCAAACUUAUGCUUGUUGUAGGGUCUUAAGUAUGGAUAGCAUUCACAACCGAAAACUUUAAUUUGGGAAUAAUCUGGUUUGGUGAGAUAUAACAGCUCAAAUGGAGUUUUAUUUUCAAGAAUAGGUGAGGUUAAUCUGUUUAUGAUGUAGGUGGCAUAGCUGAAAGCUUCUUGCCAAUAUCUCAAAGGCAUUUUUGCUUGGGCUAGUAAUGUUAGGCCAGUUUCCACAAUGUGUCUGUGCUUUCUCUCCACCUUUCCAUUUUGUUCAUGUAAAUAAGGGCAUGAGUGUCUUAAGGCUAUUCCUUCUUUCUUGAGAAAGGGUUCGAAAGUUUUAAACUCCCCACCCAUGUCUGUUUGUAAAGCCUUGAUUCUUAAAUUUAGCUGAUUUUCUACUUGGUUUUUAAACACAAUGAAUGUGUCAAGGGCCUGUGAUUUUGUUGUUAAGGGAAACAACCAUGUGUAUCUUGUCUUGUCAUCCACAAAUGAUAUGUAAUAUCUGUGUCCAUGGGUAGAUGGAAUAGGUGCUGGUCCCCAGAGAUCACUAUGUAUUUGUUCUAAGGCUGUGCUGGUCUUGGUUUCAAUGCUUUUAAAGUUUAGUUUUGAUUGCUUUCCAUACUGACAAGCAUUACAGAAUGAGGGAAAUAUAUUUUUAUUUAAGUUGAGCUGAUUACAAGAUAAUAGAGUAUUUUUCAGAACUGACUCAUUUGGAUGCCUCAGCCUAUGGUGCCAGAGAUCUAUUUCAUUUGUUCUAAGAUCCCUACUGCUUGUAUCAGCUCUACUGGACUCGACAACACUGGCACCAACACUGGCACCUAAAGACUCAUUACUACUGAAAUUGAAACAUGCCAUUGACAUUGGAUUGCUAAUGCAACUUAUUGACUUGGGUAUUGGAAAUGAAGAUAACUCAGCAGCAUAAGUAACCUUGUUGCCACUCAAAUGAGUUGGCAUGCAUAGCAGCUCAUAUAGUCCAUCUCUAGCCACUCCUUUCACCAGAAUUCUCCCUUGGCUCUUGUCCUUGAUGAAGCAAACAGAUUUUUGAAACUCAACAUCAAUAUCAUUAUCAUGAAGCAAUUUGGAAACACUAAUGAGAUUUUUGGUAAUAUCAGGUACAAACAAAAUAUGAUUUAAUUUGAUGUGUUUGUGUGGACUGUAAGUGGGCAAUAUAGAAUAACCAAUGUGAGAGAUAUGAAGUUUGUUACCAUUACCAACAGUGAGCUUGUCAUUACCUUGGUACUCUGAGUUCAGGUUCAUGUUUCCAAUAGCAUUGGUCACAUGAUUUGUGGCACCACUGUCAAGGUACCAGGCAUUGCUGUUUUGUCCUUCUGUUGUGGCCAUGUAGGCUCCUCUCCUCCUAUUUAGCUGUGGCACAUAAUUUUUCUUAAACCUAUGCCAGCAUUCAACAGCUGUGUGCCCCAUUUUGAAGCAGAUUUGGCAUGGACCCUUUGAUUCAGAACCUUCACCUUCUGCAGCAGCUUUGCCUUUGCCUUUGUCUUGAAUAUUUUGAUUUCCCUGACCAUGACCACCAUUGCCACCAUUUCCAGUGCCACCACCAGGAUUUCUGAAGACUAUCCCAGGUUGUUGCUGACUGCCAAAUCUUUCACCAUUGCCCCAGUUCCUCCUGCCAUUUCUCAUCUGUGUGAAGUUAGCCUCAAGAAUCCCUGGGCUGAGAUUUUGCUCAGUCCUGGUUUCUUGGCUGAGGAGCAUGCUGUAGACCUCUGACAAUGAAGGAGUUUCUGGCAUAGAGUUAAUGUUAGUGACAACAGAGUCAUAUUCAGAUCAUACUCCAGCUAAGACACACAUAAUAAAGUCCUCAUCACUCAUGUUAUUUCCAGCUGCUCUGAGUGUAUUUAGGAUAGUUUUCAUCAUGGAGUAAUAAUCAUGGAUUGUAAGAGAGCCCUUUUUAGUGGUUUGAAUCUGUGUCCUCAAAUAUAGGAUUCUAGCUCUUGUUCUUGCACCAUACUGAUUGGUAAGAGUUGUCCAAACUUCAUGUGAAGUAGAACAAUCCACCACAGUGCCGAGGACACCCUCACUGAGAGAUGAGAGCAACCAGCUCAAAAGAAUGUGGUCCUGUUUCUUCCAGAUUUGAUAUUCUGGAUUUUGGUGGGUAACGGUAGCUUGGUUAGGUCCAGGACUGGUGAAAUAUCUGGGGGGACAGGUAUAGCUUCCAUUUAUGAAGCCUUCAAGCUCAUUUGCUCGUAUGCUGGAGACCACUUGUGAUCUCCAGAGCAUGAAAUUGUUCUGUGUUAACUUGAUGGGAGUGGUGAACACAUAUGUGUUGCUGGUGAUAUGUUGGGUAGGAGAUGGGUUCAUUAUGGUCACAUUUCUUGUGUUAUUAUCUGGAUUCUGAUUGUCGAUAUUUUCAGGUUGGUUUUGAUUCAAAUCAUUUGGUUGAUCAUCUGGAUUUUCCAGAGUUUGAUUCAUGUUUGUUUGUGAAUUUCUGCUGCUUUCCAUAGCUCAAAAGUUGCUCUGAUACCAACUUAAAUUCUUAUGAAUUGCUUAAGUAUGCAAGCAGAAGAGCAGAAAAAAAAUAACCUUUUCAUAUAUUAUAAUAACAUGAAUAAUCAGAUAUACACAUCCUUCACAUAUUUAUACUAAACGUGAAAAAUGGUAGCUUGCUCAAAGGGAAAACAGAAAUGAAUAAAACAAAAGAUUACAGCUGCACUAGCCAAUCAUUGGAAACAUUCUAGAAACUCCAGCUUGCAGUAUUCACGUGUAAAUAUUCUCCUGCAUAACAGUUUUGCCAGCUCAUUGAAUACACCUCAACUUCUUCAUCAGCUGGCUGCUGGAUAUGGCUGCUCAGGUGGCAUGCCAACAUGGCCUUGGGGUCAAUUGUUGACUCAUCUUCAUAAUCUGAAUUCUCAACAAUGCAUUCAAACAGAUCUUCUUCAAAUUUCUUAGAACUUGCAACCGAAGAUAUUGGAGUUUCGCAAAAGGUUUUAGCCCUGUAACUUCUUCCACUUUCCAAACACUGAUUAUUUCUUCCAUCUCAUAACAACGUUCUACAUGGACCAUCUUCAGAUUUGGGGCAAAAACAAGCCAUGUCAUCUCCCUCAAUUUACUGCAAUAGUCUAUGGUAACACUUUGAAGGCUGUUGAAACCAUAAGUUCUCUUGUUGUUUGAACUUCUGCAUAGUCAACCUUUAGCUCUUCCAAACUUGUACAAUACACAAAAUCUAGUUUGUCAAGAUACUUGAGAUCUGCUAUGGACAAAAUAUUCCAUGACCUUGAAUCCUCACAGCGUCGAAGCUCUAAAGCAUAUUUACAACUCUUGUACUGUUGGCAGCUCAAAAGUCUUCGUAGAGCAUAAAAACUUCUUAACGUGACGCUUAAUACAUUUAAAUGUUCCAAAGUAAUCAACUCCUCUACCAAAAUUUCACUACCACCAAAUAGAACGCUAUCUUCUGGUACUGUAUUAGCAGAGCCACAAUCUAGCAUCCUCAACACCUUUAACCCAGAAAAAUUACAAAGCAGUUGCCGUGGAAUCGUAUGGAGAUAACGCAUGUACUCCAAGUUCAAACACUUUAGAUUUUUCAAGGCUUUUAAUUCAUGUGGUAACUCUUUGAUGAAAGUUUCUGAAAGAUUAAGAUAUUGUAGUGAAACCAAUUUUGAAAUUCCUGAAGGCAAUUGACUCAAGGAGCGAUUCUUUGAUAGGUUUAAAACUUUAAGAGAAGGCAUAAAAUCGAAGAAAUCACUAGGGAUAGUAUCUAACAUAUUAAUGCCGAGGAACAAAGUUAUAAGAUGAGGGCAUAUUGGAGUUAUUGGUAAAAUCACAAUUUUAUUUCUCAUCAACGAUAUCCUUCUCUUAUCUUCCCAUUGUUUAACCUCGGGUGGUUCAGUUAAUUCAAUACCGGCAGAAACCAAAAAGUUUUCAUUCUCCACUUCACAGGCUAUCCACAAGGUCAUAUCACGAAUCACAUCAUGCAAUUUUACAUAAUCUGAUCCUGCUUCUUCCAAUAGGCAUGCAUGAACAAGAACACCAAUAAUGUAGUAUCCUUGGUUAUGUACUCCAUUAAUUCCUUCAUAUUCCUUCAGAAAACCCUCACCAAUCCAACACCCUAUCAAUUCAAUUUUGCUAAUUUGAUAAUCCUCAGGAAAUAAACUACAGUAUAACAGACAAGAUCUAAGGACGUCACUAGACAAACUAUCAUAACUGAAUUUUAAAAGACGAAACACCUCUUUCUCCAUACCUGGAAAUUCAUAAGCUGAUCUCCUUAACAUCUGAAUUGCAUAGCUCCAUUCUUCGGGUGUCUUCUUGCUGCUCAUGGCACGACCGGUGGUAAUAAGUGCAAGUGGCAAACCACUACACUCCUUUGCCACAGUUUUGGCUAACUCCGGAAUAUCGGGAUGACUUUCAAGAGUCUCUUCUCCGACCUUCUUUAGGAACAAUUCCCAAGCAUCUUGAUCUGCCAAACACUCCACCUUGAACUUUUUUUGAGCUUCCAUGAGGCCACAGACGUCCACAAGACGAGUCGUAAAUGUUGAAAGUCAUGGCUGGCGCCGGCCAUCUAGAUGGCCGGUGCCAACCAUUCAACAUUCAACACGGCCCGCCAUUAUUGGUGGUGCCGUGUUGAAUGACUCCAUAAAAAAAAAAAAAAAAAAAAAGAGCCAAAAUUUUGGCUAUAUAAAGAGGGCUUCCCACCCUCAUUUAUAAUCCAAUCUUGAGAGAGCAAUUUAGGGAGUUGAGAGAGAGUUUAAGAGCUUGCAUUUAUAAGCUCUUAUUUUAGUGAUUUGAGAGUUUGGGUGUAUUGGGGUUUUGGGUAGUGAGCUAAAAUACUACAAUACUUGUAACUCCUUUUCACUAGUAAAAUAUUUCCUUCUGUCUUUGCCCAUGGACGUAGGCUAAAAGCCGAACCACGUAAUUUCUGGUGUCCUCUAUUGUGCUUGUUCUUUAUUUUAUUUCCAAUUUCAUUUUAGCUGCGGUCCUGCUUCACCCACCAAUUUCCUAACAGUGGUAUCAGAGCUAUUGGUUGUAUUUUUGGAGUCGGGAACUGUUCACGUAAGGGGUACUAUUCACGUAUACGACACUAUUCACGUAUACUGUACUGUUCACGUAUACGGGUUUGUUCACAUAUACGGUACUGUUCACGUAUACGAUACUAUUCACGUAUACGGUACUAUUCACGUGAAACGGGGAAGCGAUCCAAGAAUUUUCCGGUGCAAAGCAGGGAAUAGUAGUGUGAGAAAAGCAACUGUGGUUUUGUACAUGUCUAGGAAAGUUCUGUCACAAAGGCGAUAAGAGCUUAAGGAGUCUGGGUUUUAAGUGGGACCAUUGUGACCCCUCCAGUCUUUCCUGGGAACUUUCCUGGUGUGCAUUCUCACACAUACUCACAACUAUUCAAGGUGGUAUACUAGCUUGUGUGCAGUAUUUAUCAACAAAAUGGCGGCAAAGUAUGAAAUUGAGAAGUUGAACGGAAAUAAUUUUUCGUUGUGGAAAAUGAAGAUGAAAGCUGUAUUGAGGAAAAAUAAUUGUUUGGCAGCAAUUGGAGAAAGGCCCAUGGAGAUAACUGAUGACAAGUGGAACGAGGUAGACGGUAACGCCAUUUCUGAUCUACACUUGGCACUUGCGGAUGGUGUAUUAUCUAGUGUGGCAGAGAAAAAUACGGCGAAGGAAAUAUGGGAUACUCUCACAAAAUUGUACGAGGCCAAGUCACUACACAACAAAAUCUUCUUGAAGAGAAAACUAUAUACUCUUCGAAUGGCGGAAUCUACAAUGGUGACCGACCACAUCAACACUUUGAAGACUCUAUUUUCACAACUCACAACGUUGGGUCAUAAUAUAGAGGAGAAUGAACGUGCAGAGCUUCUACUUCAAAGUCUACCAGAUUCGUAUGAUCAACUCAUCAUCAACCUGAUGAACAACAAUCCAGUGGAAAGUCUAGUUUUCGACAAUGUUGCAGCCUCCGUAUUAAAUGAGGAGAGCAGACGGAAAAAUAAGGAAAACAGACAAGCAAGUUCGCAGCAAGCAGAGGCGCUAUCGGUGACGAGAGGGAGAUCAACGGAACGUGGCCCCAGUGGGAGUCAAAGUUAUGGUAGAUCAAAAUCCAGAAGUAAGAAAAAUGUUAAAUGCUACAACUGUGGCAAGAAAGGGCACGUCAAGAAAGAGUGUUGGAGUAACCAGAAGAGAAGAGAGGGUAAAGAACCUGAGUCAUCAAAUGCUCAGGGGUGUGUAGCAAGUACCUCGGAUGAUGGCGAAAUUCUCUACAGUGAGGCAACAACUGUUUCAGAAGGCAGAAAACGACUUUCUGAUGUCUGGCUUAUAGACUCAGGAGCUACCUGGCACAUGACCUCUAGGAGAGAAUGGUUCUACACAUAUGAACCUAUCUCAGGAGGAUCUGUAUAUAUGGGUAACGAUCAUGCCUUGGAGAUCGCUGGUAUUGGUACUAUCAAAAUAAAAAUGUUUGAUGGUACAAUUCGCACAAUUGGGGAGGUACGACAUGUCAACGGCCUAAAGAAAAAUCUAUUGUCUUUAGGACAAAUGGAUAGUCAUGGGUACAAAACUCAUGUGGAGAAUGGAAUUAUGAAGAUCGUUAAAGGCGCGCUUGUAUUAAUGAAGGCAGAAAAGAUCAGUGCUAAUCUAUUCAUGCUUAAAGGAGAAACACUACAGGAGGCUGAUGCGUGUGUCGCGUCAAAUGGAGAAGAAUCAACGAUGAUGUGGCAUCUCAAACUCGGCCACAUGUCAGAACAAGGCUUGAAGAUUCUCUCUGAGCGAAAAUUGCUUCCGGGGCUCAAAUCAGUAAGUUUACCAUUUUGCGAGCAUUGUGUUAUAAGUAAGCAGUAUAGAUUAAAAUUCAGUAGAUCUAUUGCUAGAAGUAAAUGCAUUCUAGACUUGAUUCAUUCUGAUGUUUGGGAAUCACCGGAUAUAUCCAUGGGAGGUGCAAAGUACAUGGUGACUUUCAUUGAUGAUUAUUCCAGAAGAUGUUGGGUGUAUCCAAUUAAGAAAAAGUCAGAUGUAUUUCCUGUGUUUAAAGAAUACAAAGCGCGGGUGGAACUUGAAUCUGGUAAAAAGAUCAAGUGCUUAAGGACAGAUAAUGGUGGAGAAUAUACAUACGACGAGUUUCUUGCUUUCUGUAAGCAAGAAGGUAUUCAGAGGCAAUUCACGGUGGCAUACACUCCUCAACAAAACGGAGUAGCAGAGCGGAUGAACAGAACUCUUACAGAAAGAAUAAGAGCUAUGUUGAGGACUGCUGGUUUACCCAAUUCAUUCUGGGCAGAAGCAGCCAAAACCGCCUGUUAUAUAGUAAAUCGGUCGCCAUCUACAGCUAUUGGGUUGAAGACAGCGAUGGAGAUGUGGACUGGAAAGCCAGCUGAUUAUUCCUACCUACAUGCAUUUGGAUGUCCUGUGUACGUGAUGUACAAUGCCCAAGAAAGAACAAAGCUGGAUGCAAAAUCUAGAAGAUGUAUCUUCUUGGGGUAUGCUGAUGGAGUAAAGGGGUAUCGUCUGUGGGACCCCACUGCCCAUAAGAUCGUCAUCAGCAGAGAUGUUAUCUUUGUAGAAGAUCAACUACAAAGAAAAGAUGGAGAUGAUGGCACUGUAAAAGAAAAGUCAGAGACUGUACCAGUAUAUGUCGAAAAUAAUCUAGAAGAUUCAGAUUCUUCUGAAGCAGCACCAGAGCACGAGGAACAAGAACCAGUCGAGUCUGAGGCUCCAGAAGUUCGUCGGUCAACUCGUGAGAGACGACCACCGGCGUGGCACUCGGAGUAUGUCACAGAGAUCAACGUUGCAUACUGUCUUCUAACAGAGGAUGGAGAGCCUUCAACUUUCCAUGAAGCUUUAAACAACUUAGAUGUUGCUUUGUGGAUGACAGCAAUGCAGGAAGAAAUUGAAGCUCUACACAAGAACAAGACAUGGGAACUUGUACCACUACCACACGGAAGAAAAGCCAUUGGAAACAAAUGGGUCUACAAGAUCAAACGUGAUGGCAAUGACCAAGUGGACCGGUAUCGUGCAAGAUUGGUGGUGAAAGGAUAUGCUCAGAAAGAAGGUAUUGACUUCAACGAGAUAUUUUCUCCGGUGGUUCGACUCACAACAGUCAGAAUAGUCUUGGAGAUGUGUGCUACAUUUGAUCUACAUCUUGAGCAGUUAGAUGUUAAAACUGCAUUUCUUCAUGGAGAACUUGAAGAAGAAAUAUAUAUGCUCCAACCAGAAGGUUUUGCAGAAACAGGAAAGGAGAACUUGGUUUGCAGGUUGAACAAAUCUCUAUACGGUCUCAAACAGGCGCCGAGGUGUUGGUAUAAGAGAUUUGAUUCCUUCAUCAUGAGCCUUGGAUACAACAGACUCAGUUCAGACCAUUGUGCAUAUUACAAGAGGUUUGAAGAUAAUGAUUUCAUCAUUUUACUGUUGUACGUGGAUGACAUGUUGGUAGCAGGCCCCAACAAAGAUCAAGUCCAAGAAUUGAAGGCACAAUUGGCUAAGGAGUUUGAAAUGAAGGACUUGGGACCAGCAAACAAGAUUCUAGGGAUGCAAAUUCACCGAGACAAAAAUAACAGGAAGAUUUGGCUUUCACAGAAGAAUUACUUGAAGAAAAUCUUGCGGCGCUUCAACAUGUAAGAUUGUAAGUCAAUUUCUACCCCACUUCCUGUUAAUUUCAAAUUAUCCUCAAGUAUGUGUCCUAGCAAUGAAGUGGAGAGGAAGGAGAUGUCUCGAGUACCGUAUGCAUCAGCAGUGGGAAGUUUAAUGUUCGCUAUGAUAUGUACUAGACCAGACAUUGCACAAGCAGUGGGAGCAGUCAGUCGAUACAUGGCGAAUCCUGGUGGAGAGCAUUGGAUAGCUGUAAAGAGGAUUCUGAGAUACAUCAGAGGAACCUCAGAUGUUGCAUUAUGUUACGGAGGAUCAGAGUUUACUAUCAGGGGCUAUGUGGAUUCAGAUUUUGCAGGAGAUCUUGAUAAAAGAAAAUCCACUACUGGUUAUGUGUUUACACUUGCAGGAGCAGCUGUAAGCUGGGUUUCGAAACUGCAGAUCGUUGUGGCUUUANNNNNNNNNNNNNNNNNNNNNNNNNNNNNNNNNNNNNNNNNNNNNNNNNNNNNNNNNNNNNNNNNNNNNNNNNNNNNNNNNNNNNNNNNNNNNNNNNNNNAUAUUCUUGAUUAAUCCAUUUUCUGAAAUUUUUUAUUUUGUAUGGUCAAUUAUACCUUCAUACUAAAAAUUUCUGAUGUUAUGGGGUUGUUGGAUGUGUUUUGGAUAUUUGCAGCUAAGUUUGAGUUUAUAUCUCAACUUAAAAUUUGUAGUUUUCACUUGAAAAAAUUCAGUUAAAAAUUGAUUGGUAGAAUUGUGAAGAAGUUUAAAUUUUUAGUUCAACCCGAUUGCAUAUUUAAGAACAUCUCAAAUGAAUUGCUUACUGCUAUCAUCAUCAUAAUUGUCAGAGAUGGUUAAUUGAUAGACUAUGUGCCUGGGUCGAGCACUGGAAGCCUGCAAUGCAGACUGAUUGAUUUAUCAGUUUAACGUGUGCCAGGAAUGAAGAACUGGAAUAUCACCGUCAAGCAAGCACCCUGUGGAGCAAUACCAAAGAAUGCACAAUCCGGCUUUGCAAGGUGACACUGGAGGCUUUUUGAAAAGUGCUUCACGCUCACUUGCACAGAUUGAGCAUCCCCUCUGGAUAUUGCCCUCUCUGAUCGAGUCUGAGCACUCAAAUUUUGGUCCUCAGAGGGAGCUACAGUUUUCUCUCCAAUAACCAACAAUUUUCUAAACUCAGCACCUAGUGUGAUCAGAGUUGUUGAUAUUUAUAAAUGGAGAUCCCCAUAUUUGCAAGUGGAGACAUUUAACAAUUCACCAACAUGCUUCAUCCGGUGUACAAAAUUCUGCAGCUGAUUCAAAUCCGGAACCUGAACCAGAGUCGGAGGUAUAUCUUGAGCCAUAUCUAAAGUAGUUUGAAGUUCAAGACCUUGAGCCCUUGACAAUGGUUUUGAAAUUGGAACAUCUUGGAUUACUGCAGACUUGUACCCCUUGGUUUCAAAGGUAAGGAAAGGCAUUGCUUGAGUACAAUUUGGAGGCAGCUUCUUCACCAAUUUUAUUUGGAGGCGAUUGGCAGCGGAUCCAGCAGCACCAAUUUCAGAGCAAAUACUGACACUACUUCGAACAGCACACUGAAGAAGUGAUAUGUCUACGGCAAAGGCAAUGCAGUCCUCAUUUUGGCUUGAGAUGCAGUAAUCAUCGAAGAGAGUUUCCUUGUGAAACUGGGCAACACAUUGAAUCCCUUCGCCACUGAGAAGGUUGUGGAGGAAGUAAGCUUUCUCUCUAGUGAGGCAGAGGUGGCAUACCUUCCCCAUUUUGUCGAGGGCAGGUAGGAAUCUUUUUUCUAAGAGAUUUACUUCAUUCUCUGUGAGAAAUGCUUUGAACUUCAUCCCUCUGUCUCUAUCCUCACUUAUCAGGAAAUAAGUUGAAAGCACUACGAAGAGAGAGAGAGAGAGAGAGAGAGAAUUAAGAUAUAUAGACAAGAAAAAUAUUAGACGUUGAUCUUACAAACUAAUACUUCAAGCAGUAUCCUGGAAAGCUAAAAACUGCAAGAUGGCUUGAAAUUUGAAAAGAGCACGUGCUUUUCCUCCUUAACUUGAGAAAAUGUUUAAUAUAGUGCACCUUAUGGAAGCAUUUAAGCAAUUAGAACUUUGCACAAAAACAUCAAGAAGACUAAACAAGUCAGAUGCAGUGUAUUUGUCCAAGCACAAAUUGCAUUUUGUCCUCAACUUUAAUAUUUAUUGAUGAGAAUCAAUACAGGUCCCUCAUUUGUUAUAGAAAGCUUUCUUUCUUGUAGUCUCACCAGUUAAUUCACAGGUCUAUAAUCAUCUUGCAAAGUUAAGGGCAUUUCUUUUGAUCUAAAGUCUUUGCAUCACCACCUCAUCACACGCCAAGCCAAUAUUCCAUUUACCUCUACAACAAAAAGUUUUAAUUAAACAAUCCUAAUGCACGCAGCCAAAUAAAAUGCAGUAAGAAUAUUCAACUUAAAAAUCUGAAAGCCAACUUGGUGAAUUGCCUCCUUAGGUGAAGUUCCAUGCUUUACUAUAGUUGACAGAACUCAGCAAAAGCUUCCAUACAACAGAUUUUGAAAAUGAUGAUGCCAACAGAUACUCAUUCAAUCCAUUGAAACUCCAAAGGUUCAUUGUUCAUAGAAGUUUACAAAGUUUUGGUCAUCAAAUAGCUCAGACCUAAUCCCAAACAAAAAAAGAGUGAAAAUUAGAUCACGAGCAGCUAAUUGUAAAUUCUAACUUAACUCUUCAUCUCCUUUGUAAACAAGAAACAAAAUGGAGACACGCAAAAUGAAUAUGGAGAAAAUUUGAACUCAAAUGAAAUGAGGGCACGAAAGCAAACAAAUGGCAUGCACAAAAAAACCAAGCCUCAAUCAAAAACUAAUUAACCAUUAAGAAAAAAAUUGGUCAGACAAUGAACUCCAAAUUCAGGAGUCAAGCAAGAAGCUUUCAUUAUUUCAGAAGCUCCUGUACAAAUUAAUAAGUUAUGCUCUUUGGAAGCAAAACCAAAUUCCAAGAGAAACAGAACCCAAAAAAUUUGCAAUUAUUCGCAAAGGAAGUGAAGCACAGGAUUCUAUCACACAUAGGAAUUUUAUAACAAGAGAUCGAUAUAUCGAAUUAGAAAACUCAAUUCGAAUUUGUGUGAAAAAUCAAAAUUAGAAGAUUUCACAUUUCGAGAGGAACAAGCAACAGAUGAGUUUAAUUUCAGCCAUAACAUGCUAAAAAUGCUACACUUAACGGUUCCUUGUCAGCUAUUGAUGCGUUCGCUCANNNNNNNNNNNNNNNNNNNNNNNNNNNNNNNNNNNNNNNNNNNNNNNNNNNNNNNNNNNNNNNNNNNNNNNNNNNNNNNNNNNNNNNNNNNNNNNNNNNNAAGGGUCAUGUUCAAGCAGGAAAACUUCUAGAACAGGUAAGGAUUCCAUCUACAGACAUCCAUUGACAGCAGAUAUAUUUCAUUAAGCAGACACUGUUAGCAUUCAAGAUGCUGGCAGAUUCACUUGAUUCUUAUUAGUUUGUUUAGUGGCAAGGCAUAUAACCUGUAUUUCAAAGCCAAGUUGUGCUAUUGAUUAUGUUAACUUUAUUGUUAACAUUAAGUGAUUUGGAGGACAUAAUCAAUGUAGGAAAAUUAGGUGAAGAGAUGAUGUCAAAUCUUGAACCUCUUACAAAGCUCCAAGUUCUUUACUUGAAGAAGCUGCCAAAUUUGAAGAGCGUCUACUGGAAGGCAUUUCCAUUCCCAGAUGUAUGCAGAAUUUUUGUAUUAAUGCCCAGUUCUUAAGAAGCUGCCACUGGAUUUUCAUGGGGCGGGCCAAGGUAAAAUUCUUAUCAAGGGAAAGGAAGAUUGGUGGAAAGAACUUCAAUGGGAGGAUCAAGCAACUCAGAAUGCAUUGCUUCCAUUUUUCAAAUCAACUGACAAGUGAUUGAAGGGGGCAUCAUCAACAGAGAUGGAGAGAUUCUGGAGCAGAUCAGCAGGGUUUGUAUAUGAUCUUUGGUGGUUGCUUUCUUUUGUGAUUUUUUUUUUCUCAUUUUUUUACCUUCCUGUCAUUUUAUCAUUUCUUUGUCUCUUUUUCUAUUGCUGAUGUUAGUGUAUGCUUACUGUUGCUUGACAAAGUUUGCUUGCUUCUUGUUUAUUAAAUUUUUUAUGGUCACAAAAUAUUACUUGUUCUAUUUGAGAGUGAUGUGAAUCAAUUUUCAAUUAUAUAUUUUUUGGUCAAUGUGAAUUCAAUUUCAUUUGUCUCCUGCAAUUAUUAAAAAAAUGCAGUCUCAUAAUAUGGAAAAGUCGACCGGCAAAAAUUUUGUGAAAGCUUCGGAGUGAAACAGGGAAUUCACUUACUACUAAGGACAAUUGGUGGCGAGCUAUUCCAUUCAUUUUAUGUCCCUACAUCUAUUUAAUUAUUAAAGAUAAGUGGUCCAUUUGUAAAUUUCAGAUUGUGUCUCUCUGAAAAUAACAAUAUUUAAAAUGUCUCUUAAAUUAUUAUAAAUUUUAAUUCACUCUCGAUUUAAAAUGGAACAUGCUGAUGAAAAUUUUUUUCUUCUCAAUAUUCAAUAAAAUUGAAAUAAAUUGUGUUUGCAGUAUUUUGAAAUAUUUUAAAGAUUAUUAUUUUAUAAGAGAGUAAUAUGAAAUGAAAUUUACUCUUCAUGCGUGAAAUGUUGAAAAGGACAAAGGAAAGUGUCACUGCUUUUAUUUUAUUUCAAAGUGGAGUCAUCUCACAUACUUUACCUCUAUCAUUACAAUUUUUCACGUUACAUUUUGAUUUAUUUAUUUCUUUUAACACAUGCAUGUGGGUUACUUUUCCGUAAGCUCCUUAAUAUAUGUUUAACACAAAUCAUGGAAGAGAUGGGAGUAUAUCAAGAUGAUCAAAGCAUGAGACAAAAAUAUUUAAGAAGUAAAACACUGAAAAUAGAGGAGAGAUGCAAGCAAAAGAUAUUCCAAAGAAAAGCAAUCUAUCCCCUUUCGAGGGCAAACUUAAUCAGGUUUAAGAAAAGUACAUGUUUUGGAUUGGUAGUUGCAGCCUUGCAGGAUAAUUGUUUUUGCCAUUAUAUUAGUUGGAGGAGUUGAACCCAGCGAAGAAUGUUAUGGAAGAGCAAAUUAAUGAUAUUUCUGAUAGAGUCUAUUUGAUUAUGUAGCCUGAAUGGAUGUCUUGUUGAAAGAUAUCUCAGUGCAUUAGUUCAUCCUUGUCUGUCAAUGUGUUUUUAAUGGUUUUUCCAAUUGUUUAUUAUUAUAGAUUGAUUGUAAAUUUAUAUGAAAAUUUGAUAUGAAUUUAAUGUUGAAAUGUUUUCUCUUUAGUGGAAUGAAUUUAAAUUGAUUGAUUGUAAAUUGAUAUGAAUUUAAUGUUGCAAUGUUUUCUCUUUAGUGAAAUGAACUUAAAAGUGUAAAAGAUUAUUGCACACAUAGAAAUAAACAUAUAUGCUUUAUAGUAUAACUUUAGCAAUCGAUUCUUUUACGGCUGGAAACAGAGAUGAUGAUUAUCAUAGGGGUGAAGAAAAGGACAAAAAAUAUUAAUAAAUGAUCUUAAUGUUCCACAAAAGCAAAUCGUAAUAUUCCACAAGAAAAAGCAAGAUCUUAAUGUUCCACAAAAGCGUUAUUUAUUUUUUUUGGUGAGCCACGUGGAGCUCAAUUAUCAUUGUCUUUACUUUAAAAACGUUAUUUUAUUUUAUUUUCUUACAAAUUAAUGCUAACAAGAAAAAGCAAGAUAUAAUAUUCCACAAAAGCAAAUCGUAAUAUUCCACAGAGGAAUAAGAUCCACAAAAGCAAACAACUAGCUGGAUUCUUUUAUUAAACUACAAAUUAAAGUGGAAUCGUUUACUAAACAACAAAUUAAAGUUCAAAUAUUUAAAUAGUAGUGCGUUAGACGAUUAGGCUCUUUUAUUAAAGUCAAGUAUAAAGUAGUCCAGAAUCGAACAUCUCUAUUGUCUAGUCUUUUUUUUUUUUAAUUCUUCUUUUAUUAUUUUUCAGAAUAUGUUUUGGUGAUUACUAUUGGGUUAUUAUUCAGAGUUAUUGUUAUCUUCCGGGGCAGUUUCUGUUCAUCGAAAUCGUUAAUUAAAAUUUUAAAACUCUUAUCGGAAGAAUGUUUUUCCGUUAUUUUUUUAUAUUCUAAUUUCAAUUGUAAGAAGUAGUCAUUUUAGAAUUUGGGUCUUGAAUCGAAUUUCAAUGCAUGAAUUAAUAUUUUAAAAAAAUUUACUACAUGCAGUUUAGGUUACAAACUAUUUUUUGCAAAGUUGACUAUGAAAUUGGAGAAAUUAAGUAAUUUAUAAUGUUUGCAAAGAAAGAGACCAACAUACUUCCAAUUACACUAUAUCUCAAUUAUCAUAAUGUUAAGAUUAAACUAACUUAAAAUAAAAUUUAUUUAAAAAGUUUAUCAAACGCAGUCUAAUUUUAUUAACUUGAAGAGAUAAUAGUUAUAGAAAUUAUUAUUCUAACUUAAUUAGUAAAAGUGGUAUAAAGGUUAAGUGUGCACUAAAUCUAUUUAAAUUUUUUUCCAGUAUAACUAACAGAGGUCAUUACUAGAAUUAUAUUACUAGUCUAUUAGAUAGAAAAAAUUAUUUAUAUUGUUUUAUAUUUAUUAAAAAAAUUUAAAGUCAAUCUUUUUAAUUACUAUUUAAAGGAUAUUAUAAUUAAAAAAAUUUUAAUGUCUUCAUUAAAAAUUUAAAAUUUUAUAUGACCGUUAUCUAAAUAUUUAAAGUGUAACUGUCAUUUUCUCAUAUAUAUAUAUAAUUUCAUCAACCCCUUAUACUUUAUGUUAUUUAUAUUUUAUUCAUGAAUAUUAUAAAUUUUUUGAAAUAUAAAAUUUCGUUUAACCCUUUAUACUCAAUUUUAUUUUAUUAAAACCCUAGAGUAUGAAUUCGUCCCUAUAAUAUUAAAUUCUCAAAAUAACUUCCAUUUAAUUAAAAAAUAUAAUUAUUAUUAAAUGAAUUAUAAUUAUUAUUAUUAUGUUAUUAUAAUCAUAAAAAGCGAGAUCAUAUUCCACAAAAGCAUAAGUGACAAAACAACCAACUGGAUUCUUUUAUUAAUCAACAAAUUGUAUAGUCUUUUUCAAAUUGUUAUAAAUUGGUGGCCCCUACAAUCCUCAAUAAUUGUACCGAAAUUCACAAGUUGGUGGGCCCUACAAUUCUGUUCCGAUAAUUUAACUGUGCAAGUGCUCAUUCACAAUCUUCCAGGUCAUGCUCUUAACAAUUGUUUUUUCUUUUCUGCACGCCCUUUCAUGCUCUUAAUAAUUGAAGAGCAUACUUUUCAAAUGUGAAGCCGCAUCUAAUGUCGCUAAUUUAAUUUGGGAUUAAAUUACGGGACUAUUAUAUUGCAGUGUGCACUAAUUUUUAUGUUUAUCUAAACUCUUCAAAUUUAAAACAUAUUAUGGCAUAAAUAAGAAUGUAACAAUAACAAAAGAGUAAGAAAGUGUAGAGAAAAUCUUGCAGAAAUAUAAAUAAUAUUUAUUUUUAAAAUAAUAUUAAUAUUUAAAAUAAUUUUUAAUAUUUUAUGGUCCAUUAGAUAUAUUUUAUUAUAUUAAAAUAAAUUUUAUAAUAAAUAAAAACAUACUAUUAAAAUGAAUAUAUAUAGAAAAUUUAGAGUAUUUUAAGUAUUAUAUAAAAUAAUUUUAAUAAAAUAUGUGAGAUAUUCAUAUUUUAUUAAUUUAAGAUACCAUUUAACCUAAAGAUUUAUUUAUGAUAAAUUAAUAAUUAUAUUUUUGAAAUUACUUCAAAUAUUAAAAAAAUUAAUAUUACUAAUAUAUUAGAUAGAUUAAAUUAUAUAUAUUAUUUUUACUUAUUAAAAAAAUUUUAAAAUUAUUUUUAAUUACUAUUCAAAAAACGUAUUCAAAAAACAUAAUGAUAAAAAAAUCUUAACAUCUUUAUUAAAAAAUUAAAAACUUAUAUGAUAAAUUCUCUAAAUAUUUACGGUAUAUGUGAACCACGGUGGAUAAGCUUUAUUUAAUAUUAUUGAUUUAAAUAAUAUGUCAAUUAAAAAUGUACAGAGAAGAAAUUUCGGUGGGUAUUUUAGUCUUUUAAGCAAUUAUCAUGAUCAGAUCAGCCUUUAGCCUUCAAACGUCGGUCAGAAAAGUUUUAAAAUUAAUGCUAAAUUGUUUUUCACUUUUAACGUUGGUGGCCUUGAAAUUGCUUGUAUUUUAUUAAAAAUUAAUGCUAACAAGAAAAAGCUAGGUCAUAUUCCACAAAAUCAAAAGUGACAAAACAACCAGCUGGUUUCUUUUACUAAACUACAAAUUAAAAUAAAUUUUUUCGAUAAAUUACAAAUUAAAGUGGAUUCUUUUGAAUACAAAUGGGACAGACGAUUAGGCUCUUUUUAUUAGAGGCAAGUAAAAACUAGUCAAGAAUCGAACAGUCUUUUUCCAAUUCUUGUUUUAUUAUUUUUCAAAACUAGUUUUUGGUAAUUACAACCGGGUCAUUAAUCAUUAUUCAGAGUUACUGUUAUCUUCGGGGGCAGUGGGUAAAAGAUAAUUACUAACUGUUUUUCCUUCAAAAGUUAGCGGCUCAUGUUUGCAAGUGUGAAUGUGCGAUGCUCUUUUCUUAAAGGCCAUUACAGUGGGGCCCGAAUCAGACGUGCCUAAAUCUUUUUAAAAUUUUUGCCGUAUAACGAACAGAGGUCAUUACUAAAAUUUCUCUUCCACAGCCUACAGCAGCUUCAGUUUAUCAAACUCCAUCAAUUUUCUUUCUUAACAAAAUUCCAAAGAUGUGUAGCAUUUUUCAGAUCACAUGCGAUGGUGCUCUUUUCAAUCGUUGCUUGGAUUGCUUUCUUGGAAAAGCAGCAUACAUACGUAACCUCCAAGAUAAUCUUGAUGCCUUGGACACUGAACUGGGAAGACUAAUCGCUAAAAAGAACGAUGUGAUGAGGAGGGUUGUCGACGCUGAACGACAACAAAUGAGAAGGCUGGACGGAGUGCAAGUGUGGGUUUCGAGGGUGGAUGCUGUUAAAACUGGAGCCGAUGAACUUAUCACAGACGGCUCUGAAGAAAUUGGCAAAUUAUGUGUUGGAGGCUACUGUUCCAAGAACUGCAGGUCAAGCUACAAGUUCGGAAAACAAGUGGCUAAAAAGCUACAAGAUGUGAAGACUUUAAUCGCCGAGGGAGUUUUUGAGGCGGUGGCUACUGAGGUGGUGCCCGAGAGAGCUCCGGAACCUGUAGCAGAUAAAAGACCCAUUGAGCCAACAAUAGUAGGCUUGCAAUCACAGCUUGAACAAGUUUGGAGAUGUCUUGUAGAAGAAUCAGUGGGAAUCAUUGGCCUAUAUGGUAUGGGCGGUGUUGGUAAAACCACACUAUUGACCCGUAUCAACAAUAAAUUUCUUGAGAGUCAAAACAACUUUGAUUGUGUGAUUUGGGUCGUAGUUUCAAAAGACCUGCGGCUUGAAAAAAUUCAAGACGAUAUUGGGAAGAAGAUAGGUCUGUCUGAUGAUUCAUGGAAGAAUAAAAGUUUUGAAGAGAAAGCUGUGGACAUCCUGCGGAGAUUAGGAGAGAAGAGAUUUGUAUUGUUGUUAGAUGAUUUAUGGGAGCGGGUUGAUUUAACAAAAGUGGGCGUUCCACUUCCCAGCGCACAAAAUACUACCUCAAAAGUCGUAUUCACAACCCGUUCCAUUGGUGUUUGUGGCAGCAUGAGAGCUAGGCCGGUUAAAGUGGCAUGCCUAUCAGAAAAGCAAGCUUGGGAACUGUUCCGCGAAAAUGUUGGGGAAGAAACUCUUGAGAGUGAUCAUGAGAUCGUUGAGCUAGCCCAAACUGUGGCCAAAGAGUGUGGUGGUUUGCCACUCGCACUUAUUACUAUUGGUCGAGCUAUGGCCUUCAAAAAGACAGCCGAGGAGUGGAGUCAUGCAAUUGAUGUGCUAAGAACAUCAGCUUCUGAGUUUGCAGGUUUGGGAGAGAAGGUGUAUCGUCUUUUAAAGUUUAGCUAUGAUAGUUUGCAGAAUGAGACCAUUAGAUCUUGUUUCUUAUAUUGUUGUUUAUAUCCCGAGGAUUAUGGCAUUCUUAAAUGGGACUUGAUUGAUUGUUGGAUUGGUGAGGGAUUCUUGGAGGAAUCUGACAGGUUUAGUGCAGAAAACCAAGGAUACUACAUUGUGGGCACUCUUGUUCAUGCGUGUUUGCUAGAAGAGAUGGAAGAUGAUAAAGUAAAAAUGCAUGACGUUGUUCGUGAUAUGGCUCUAUGGAUAGCUUGUGAAAUUGAGAAGGAGAAGAGAAACUUUUUGGUUUGUGCAGGUGCUGGAUUAAAAGAGGCACCGGAUGUUAAAGGAUGGGAAAAUGUGAGAAGAUUGUCAUUGAUGCAAAACCAAAUUAAAACUCUGUCAGAGGUUCCCACAUGCCCUCAUCUCCAUACUUUAUUUCUUGCCUCUAAUAUGGAGUUGGAGAUGAUCGCGGAUGGCUUCUUCCAAUUUAUGCCUUCUCUCAAAGUUUUGAAGAUGUCACGCUGCUGGAAUUUUCAAUUACCUGUUGGGAUGUCAGAUUUGGGUUCAUCACUAGAACUUCUUGAUAUUUCACAUACCACCAUAAGAGAGUUACCCGAAGAGUUAAAGUUGCUGGUAAAUCUGAAAUGUUUGAAUUUGAGGUGGACAGGUGCGUUAAUUAGAAUUCCACGGGGACUAAUAUCAAAAUUUUCAAGGUUACGUGUGUUGAGAAUGUUGGGUACUGGCGGGUUCAUUUUUUAUGAAGCACCAGAAGACAGCGUUUUAUUUGGUGGGGGUGAAGUUUUGAUACAGGAAUUGCUCGGUUUGAAAUAUUUAGAGGUAUUGGAGUUGACCUUGGGAAGUUAUCAUGCUCUCCAAAUUCUUUUGAGCUCAAAUAAGUUAAAAAGUUGUAUUCGAUCUCUUUACCUCUAUUUGACCGGAGAUAAAAAGUCGAUUAUUGAUGCUACGGCUUUCACAGACCUAAACCACCUCAAUGAAUUAUGGAUUGAUAAUGGAAUUGAGUUGGAAGAAUUGAAGAUUGAUUAUACGGAGAUAGUACGAAAAAGGCGGGAACCUUUUGUUUUCCACAGCCUUCACCUUGUUACGAUAUAUAGUUGCCAUAAAUUGAAAGAUUCGACAUUCCUCGCUUUUGCUCCAAACCUCAAGUCUCUUUCGCUAUUCAAAUGCCGUGCUAUGGAAGAAAUAAUCAGCGUCGGAAAAAUUGCUGAGAAUCCUGAGAUGAUGGGACAUANNNNNNNNNNNNNNNNNNNNNNNNNNNNNNNNNNNNNNNNNNNNNNNNNNNNNNNNNNNNNNNNNNNNNNNNNNNNNNNNNNNNNNNNNNNNNNNNNNNNNNNNNNNNNNNNNNNNNNNNNNNNNNNNNNNNNNNNNNNNNNNNNNNNNNNNNNNNNNNNNNNNNNNNNNNNNNNNNNNNNNNNNNNNNNNNNNNNNNNNNNNNNNNNNNNNNNNNNNNNNNNNNNNNNNNNNNNNNNNNNNNNNNNNNNNNNNNNNNNNNNNNNNNNNNNNNNNNNNNNNNNNNNNNNNNNNNNNNNNNNNNNNNNNNNNNNNNNNNNNNNNNNNNNNNNNNNNNNNNNNNNNNNNNNNNNCACUGUUUUUAUUUCAGUCUCUCUCUCUCUCUUUGUCUCUGCUAAUCACAAUUAAAUGUGAAUUAAUGGAAUUAAUGCUUCAUAAAUUUGCCGGCACUGCCAUUACUUUUUUUUUUUUAAUACAAAUUGAUACUUUAUUUAUAUCUUCUUAGCGAUUUAAUUUCCUGUCAAUUGACGAACGAGAAGAACAUAUGACUUGAACCAAUGCUCGCAUAAACUUGCUGUAAAAAGAUAUAAUCUCACUGAAAUGCACACGCCUAGAAUGAAUAGAAUUAAAACAGGGAAAAUAUUAAGUAUAUUAGCCCUCUUUACCGAAAAUCAAAUGACAAUAAAUUUUUUGAAGUUUUGAUUUUCUAUGGUCAAUUCCACCUUUUGCAAUUUCUUCUGUUCUAACAAAAACCAAUUUCUUUGUUCAAGUAUUUUCGUUUGGGUAUUAAUAAUUCUCCACCGAAAGAGUGAACUCUUGCUCAAGGGAUCUCUAAUCAAUAGCCGGAAGGGCGCCGAGACCUGAUCGGACCUAGGCCCAAGUUUGGUCUUAAAGCCUGGGCUUGAGCCUGGCAAUUAAAUUAAAACAGUAAUUGAUUUCUUGAAUGAAUUGUCGUGUAAUUGAUUUAUGGGGGAUGACACAUCAACAUACUUGAAAAUACACUAAUCUCAGCAUCAUCCGUUAAUAACUUUUAGAUUUAUGGGCAAUCAAUAGUUAAAUUAGUUGUCAUUAAUACUAAAUAAUUUUUACUUUUUUUGUCUCUUCUAGAGGAUCUUCUAGAAAAAUGCAUCCACAAUUAAAUUUAAUACUUUACAUAAUAAAGAAAGCAUAAAUGUUAAAUUUAAGAAACUGCAUUGUAUUUCAGCUGAAGUUGACUUUAAUAUUUAGGGUAGAAAAAAAUUAAAUCCUUAAUGUGUUUAAUUUAUAUCACUUGUGUCAUUAAAAUUUUCUAGUCACCCUAACCAAUUACAUCUCAACCCACUUUUUUUUGGAUGAUUUUAUUUUUAUACUAUUAUUUUCAACAUUUUUUUUUCCUUUUAACACCAACAUUAGUGUAUGUUACGUAACAUAAUCCAUAUUUGGAUAAUUUGAAAUUUGUUUGUGUUUUAUCUCAAAAUAGAGCUUCAAUCAAUUUGUACCUCAUAAAUUCACAAUAUCUGGCAGGGCUAAUAAGACCAAACUCUGGCAUAUUAUCAAAUGUGCUUAUCCUUUUGCUUGACAUGUCAUUUUAAAAUUGUCAUUCAAUGCCAAAAAAAUCACAUCAACUGAUGGCCGACUACUUUAAUUUGAAAGCAUGCAUGCGAUCGCCACCAAUAAUUAUAACUUAAUUGUUAUAUUGAAAUUUUUUUCUUUAUAAUUUUUAAGUUUAAUACUGCUACAUGUGCGGCACAUAAGUUGGAAAAUAUAACAUAAAAUUUGAAAAAUGUGUAGUUUUCGUUCCUUUUUUUUCUUAAAAAUGGGGAAAAAGAAUGUAAUUUUGUUUAAAUUACUGUUGUGAUAACAAUUAUUAUUUUAUUGAUUAAUUGGCAGAGAAUCGUUAUGGUUUCGCAUGGUUGUUAAAACAUUGGAAAAUCCACUACAUCAUCCGAUAAUAACUUUCAGAUUUAUGGUUAAUCAAUAGUUGAGAUUUGUUAUCAUUAAUGUUAAAUAUUUUUUUAAUAUUUUUUCUCUCUCCUAGAGGAUCAUCCACAGUUAAAAUUUAAUAUUAUAAAUAGUAAACAAAGUAUAAACGUUAAAUCGAAGAAACUGCAUUGCAUUUCAGCUGAAGCUAACUUUAAUAUUUAACAGAGAAAAGUAAUUAAGUCCUUAAUGUGCUUUAUUUACCCAUAUAUAUGGCUAAUUUUUUAAGAUAAAGGGGAAGGAUGAUGCUCAAAAAUAUAAAUUAUAGAAUUAAUUGAGCUCUCAAGUAAGUUUAAAGUUCAUUAUUUUUAAUUACAUGUUUAUAAUUUAUUUUUAUUUCGUAUUAAUCUAUAGAUCUAAAUCCACUUUGGAUUCAUAUACAUAUAUAGACAUAAUGUGUAUGUUAAUCUAUAGGUCUAAAUUCACUUUAGGUCUAUAUAGGUAUUUUGACAAAUGUACUCCAAUCAUAUUGGCAAGUUCUAACUACUAUAUUGGUAUGUCAAUAUUAUCUCUAAUUGCCCUAUACAUUCAGAAAUAAUCUAGAUAUACAAAUUAACAUAAAAUAAAAAUAAUUGGUAGAAAAUAUAAAUUAUAAACAUGUAAUUGAAAACGAUAAACUUUAAAUUUACUUAAGAGAGUAAUUAAUUUCAUAGUUAAAAUCUUUAAAUUUUACCCCUCAUCUUAACUUAAGAAAAUUAAUCACUUAUUUUAUUUAACAAAGAAGAGAUUUUUUUCCCCUAUAUUUCCCAAUUAUUUCUCUCCCUCUCGCUCCCGUAAGUUAUACAACUUGAAGUGAAAUAUGAGUGGUCUGAUUCUAGCUUAAAUAAUUUAUUGUGACAUGCUAUCUAAGGACAAUACAUUACCUAGCUCUACAUAUUUUAUUUAACCUCCGGCUCACCCUGUGCAAACUUGCCUUCCCCUACAAGACAAGAUUAAUCAAUCUAUCAAGUCUCAAAUUCAAUUUGGAAUAUGACCAUCGUACGUUCUUGUUCUUCCCUCUUUACGAGUGCAUUCCCCCCAACCUCAAGCUCCCUCUCUCGUCUUCAAUGUCACUGCCUAUAUCCUUGUGUUGUUCUAGUUUGAAAUAGUGGCUUCCACAAUUUCAGGGCCCCCAAAAAUCCAGAAACAUAGUAUUCAUCACGAUGACAAAUUUUUUGGCAGGCAGGUGCUUCCUGACUUUCACACGGUAAUUCUCAAAUUCUGAUUUCACCAUAUUUUAAUUACUGAUUAGCAUAUAUUCAAGUGCUCUCCAUUAUAAUAGAAGCCGCCGCCUCACUCGUGAUUCCAAACUUUAUCUUUUUUCCUUUUUUAAAUUAAUGCAAGUAGCCGCUGUCCUUUUUAUUAAUUAAUUAAUUAAUUCGGCCGCCCACAUUUCUUUUCCUAAUGUCUUCUACUGUCGAUUUUCUUUUAUUUUCUUUUUAUUCUUAAAAUAUGCUUAUAAUAAUAAAAUAUAAAAAUUAAAAUUAACAUAUCAAAAUAUAAUUUAACAGAAAAUUAAGAUAAAAAUAAAAAAAAUAAAUUAUGAGCAUAUCAAUCAAUAAAUGAAAAAUAAUAAUUUUUAUUUUUAUUAAAUAUAUAUUUUUCAGUAUUAAUCAAUUAUUUGAAUAAAUAAAAUCAUUUAAAAAUAAAUAAAUAAAUUAUUCUUAAAAAAAAAGAAACUUUUUAUAACACUCACUAUGCUGGUUGUAGGGUAGACGCUUUGGGAACUGAAGCCGGUAACUUCUACAAGUAGUCUGAAGUUGACUGGCAACAACUAUAUUGACAUUUAGACAUAAUGUACUCCAACCGUAUUGGUAUGUUUAAAUGUUCUUACUAUUGUAUUGGUGUGUCAAUAUUAUCUCUAACUGCCCUAUAGAUAAAAAAAUAAUCUAAAUUUAUAAUUUAACAUAAAAUAAAAUAAUUGGUAGAAAAAUAAUUAUGGUUCAUUUACUUAUCAGUAAUCAGAAUAGACUAAAAUCGAAAUGAGUUGUAUUACCGUUGAUGUGUUUAUGUUGUCCUGGAAUCGGAAUGAAUUAUUUUAAGUUACUAAAAUAUCCUUGGUUUGUUAUUCUAAUUAUUAUUUAAUAUUUAUUAUAAUAUUUGUCAUAUCAUUAAAAAGAAAUAAUAAUGAUGAUAAUAUUAUCAUUAUUGUUUGUUACAUUAUUAUUAUUCAAAAAAAUUAUUGUUAAUAAUAAUAAUUUUUUUAUUUCAAUAAUAAUAAUGAUAAAAUUAAUAAUAAAAAACAUGACAACAACAAUAAUUAUUUAUUAUGCCAAAAAAUAACAAUAAUAAUAAGAAUAAUAAUCAUCAUCAUUUUUUUGCCAAAGAAAUCAUCAAACCAGACAAGAAAUCAUCAAAAAUUGCUAUUUCAAUUUAGGAAGAAGUUCUUUCGGUGUGCUAGCGAUGGGAGAUGUUGUGGCUGCGAUUCGGGGAGCUAAUAGUUUAUUGCACUAAUAACGGCAGGUGCUGCUGCUUGAUGCGAGGUCCAUGGCCAGUUGUCAGCAGUUCGACUUUGGCAUGGGCGCUGCUGGUUCGAUUUUAGGUGUUGUCUAAUUUCAUUUUCAGGAUUUUAAUUUUAUUUUUUUCUUUUAUAUUUUCAUUAAUUAAUCAGGGCAAAGUUUGAUUUUAGAAUUUGGAAUGAAGGUAAUUUUGUUAAUCAUGGAAAUGAGAUUUUGAUUGUCGAGAAUGAACUUACACAAGCAACUGCAAAUUAAGUGAAAACAAAACGCUUUUUCUCUUUGUGUGAUUAAAACAUGAAAUAUACCAUAAAUAAAUAGGUAAAAAUUAAAUCAACACAAUCCAAAACAGUAAACCAAUUAUAAGAGGCACAAAUUUUUAUGUGAAAUACCGAAAACGGAAAAAACCACAACAUGUUAGUAUGAUAUAAUCUUCUACUAUAUUAAUGGGAUUAUAACACAAAUUCUUCCCUAUAUUACACUAGAGAUUAACAACAUCAAGAAUCUCAAUAAUCUUAACUUACAAUACAACCUAAUAUAUGUCUCUCUAAUAAAUAGAUAUCUAAAAUAACAAUCUCUAAUAAGUAAGUAUCUCAAAUAACAGUCUCUAAUAAGUAGGUAUCUCAAAUAAUAGUUAAUAAGAGGAUAAAACAAAAAUUAAGAUUAGUAGGAUGUGUAUAAGGCGAUGCUAUCAACUUAUCUUCUAAAUUUGAGAAAAAUAGUUAAAUUCACUUUUUUGAUUGUCCGACCAAAGAUGGAAACCUUGCCCCAAAACCAAAGGAGUCACCAUUGUGUUUCUCUCUCUCUCUCUCUCUCUCGUUCUUUUCUUCUACUUUUCUUAAUGUUAGCCGCCACUUGCUUUUAUUCUUUAUAGCAUUUAAAAAGUUACUUUUAAUGGUAAAUUUCAUCUAAGUCCAAAACUUAGUGAUAAUUGCACACUAAACAAUCCUUUUUGGACUAUAGACUUUUGGACCUCCAAAUGAGACGAAUACAACAAAUCUCCCCUUUUAGAUCAUGUAGGAGGCACCACAAGCCCACUCUCUGCAUAUAGCUUUUUAACUUCUCCUUGAAUAAUGACUUUGUCAUCAUACAUAACUCAUUCUCCGUUGUGUAAAUCUUCUCAAGCUAUAACCGUUCUUUCUCAAACACGUCUCGUAUCUAAUAAUACUUCACAUCAAUUUGCUUAGAUUUCGAAUGAUAUAUCAAAUUCUUUGAACGACACUCUGAUUUUCGCAGUACAUAAUAUAGUUGUCUCAUUUUAUACCUAGCUCUUGUAGGAAAUUCUUCGUCCACAGUAUUUUUUUGCAACCUUCAAUAAUUGUAAUAUCAUUUGCUUUAGUAGUAGAAAAGACAACUUAUUACUAAAGUUUAGAUUACGAUGAGACUGCUCCUCCUGCAAAAGUGAGCAAACAUUCUAGUAGGAAUUUUUCGGAAUCAACAUCUCCUACCAUAUCUAUACACUUGUAACACAGGUUUGUCACCACCAAAAUAUAAACAUGCUCUGGAAAUGCCUCUAAGAUAUCUGAGAAUUUUUCACUAUUGUCCAGUGCUCUUUACCGGGAUUGAAGAGAAACCACUAACUACACUAGUUGUAUAAGUAAUAUCUGGUCUUGUACAAAUUAUGGCGCACACCAAACUGCCAACUGCUGAAGCAUAAGGAACUCCUCUCAUGGAGAAAUGGGUUUUGCUCUUGAGAUUUUUGGGAACAUGAAGAAUAAAUAUGUAAUUUCUUGGACUGCCAUUGUUUCGAGGUAUAUAAACAGAGGACAAGUCUAUAUAGGUCGACAGUGGUUUGCUCAGAUGCCAGAACGAGAUUAUGUCUUAUGGACUGCCAUGAUUGAUGGGUACCUUCGAGUGAAUAGGUUCAAAGAGGCUUUGACGCUUUUUCAGGAGAUGCAAACUUCAAAUAUAAUGGGAGACGAGUUUACCAUUGUUAGCAUUCUUACAGCUCGUGCGAAUCUGGAAGCACUAGAUCUGGGAGAAUGGAUAAAGACUUAUGUUGAGUGUUAGAAAAUGCAUAUUUAUAAAGGAGAAAACCAUCAUUUUACAUUUCAAGUCUUACUAACAACCCUUACUUUUAUGUAUUUAACCUUCUUGUGAUUUAAUUACAUGUGUUUUAUUUUAAUUAAGUAUUUUAUGUAUUUUAGGGACAUUAUAGUCAUUUCACAAUAAAGGAGAGAUCAGACGGCAAAACAGACAUCACUUUUGAACUCAGGACGGUCAAAAACCUUAGGAGGAGCAUAAAAGGAAAAAUGGCACUAUUCACAUGUACGGUACUAUUCACGUGUACGGUACUGUCCACGUUACUGUUCACGAUACUGUUCACAUAGACAGAUCGAUGACGUGGCAUUGACUGAUGAGGUGUCACGAUCCUGUUGGGCUAAAAUUCUUAUGUACUGUUGAUGGUGACGUGGCAGCAUAUCAAUGGACGAAAAAUCUCGCAUACAGUACAUGCAUCACACAGGAUUAUUGUCAACCAAAUCGCGUUACUGUUCAUCCGGGUCAAACCGUGUUACUGUUCAUCCACGUAGUCAAACCGCGUACUGUUGACUGAUGACGUGGCGCAAUCCUGAGCGUCCAAACUGUUUUUAAUCCGAUGGCCAUGAUUUACUCCAUGUAUCUAUAAAAAGGGGGCCUCCCCCCCUAAUUUGACAACUCUGAAUCUAUUUUGGGAUCCAUUUUCUAUAAUUCCCUCUCCAUCUUGUAUUUUCUACGUAUUUUAAUAAAUUUCCAUUUUACCCUUAGUUCAAUUAUGAGUGGCUAAUUUCCUUUCAAGCUUGGGUUGAAGGUGAAGUCUCAACAUGUGUCAUGGGCUUUAUUUGGUAAAUUUAUUUUCUUUUCCCCUCUAGUUUUUGUGGAUGAUUUGACUUUUCGUCGACAAAUAAUAUUGAUCUUGUCUAGAUACCACCUUGGUUACACCGGCUCUCUAGUACAAGGUUAUUAUUAUUUGGCACGAUAAGCCCUUAGCACCAUAUUGAUUAGAGCGUGGUUCAUGAGGUGUGGAUUCCCCCCUCAUGAUUUAAUUGGCAUUAAUAAGGAUUAUAUAGCCCAUGAUGCAUGUUGAUACGGAUCUGGAUACCCAAGUGCUUCAUUUCAAUAGAUCUAUCUUCAAUUUCUUCUCGCCAUUUUAAUUUAAGUUUUAGAAUAUUCCAAAUCAUUUCCACCACAAAUCCAAUCCCCGAUUCACAAAAUUAAUUCUAUACACAAUUAAAAUCCACAUCCUCGUGGGAUCGACACUCGUCACCAUUAGUCUAUACUACAAUAGAUUCGUGCGCUUGCGAGUACAUUAAAAUUUACACAACAACUUAUAUUGACAAAAACAAAGUCAAGAAUGAUGUAUUUGCGGGGAAUGCUUUGAUAGACAUGUACUGUAAAUGCCGAGAUGUUGAGAAAGCUCAAAAGGUAUUCAGGAAGAUGCUUUGAAAGGACAAAUUCUCAUGGACGACCAUGAUUGUUGGCCUUGCCAUCAGUGGCAAUGGUGAUAAAGCUCUUGAUAUGUUUUCCCAAAUGCUUAGGGCUUCGAUCAAACCGGAUGAGGUAGCUUAUGUUGGUGUUCUGUCUGCCUGUACUAACAAUGGUAACGAAACUUUUGUGAUAAAUAGUUGCAACUUAAGGUGAGAAUUGGAGGAAAGGAAAUAGACUGAAGUUGUUCAAUCAUCGGUCGUCUCUAUUUGGUUUUCUCCGAUAUCUCAUCUUCAGUUUUGACUCAGAUUCUAUCUUACCACUUAGGGGUGGGCAAAAUCGGGUUCGGGUCAACCCGAUCGGGUUUCGGGUUGUUCGGGUUAGACAAGGAACAAUCCGAACAUAACCCGAAUUAAUGACCCGACCCGAACUUAGUUCGGGUCGGGUCAUUAAUUCGGGUUAUGUUCGGGUUGGAUUUAAAAUGGGUAGGAUUGAGUUCGGGUCAAUUUGGGUUAGUUCGGGUCAAUUCGGGUCAGUUCGGGUCAAUUCGGGUCAAUUCGGGUCGGUUGAAAUCGGGUCAGUUCGGGUCAAUUCAGGUCAGUUCGGGUCGGUUGAAAUCAGGUCAAUUCAAGUCAGUACGUUUUUUUUUUUUAAGAACCCGAUCGGGUAUUCGGGUCGGGUCGGGUUUGACCCGAACCGAUCACAACCCGAUCGGGUUUGUAAAUUUCAAACCGAUCGGGUUUCGAUCCCGACCCGAUCCGACCCGAACCCGAAAUUUAUCGGGUCGGGUCGGGUCGGGUAAAAUGCCCACCCCUAUUAAUACCACUAGUAAUUACAUAGACUUGCUGCCAAAGGUAAGAAUGAGAAUAAAUUAAAUAGAUUAUGUCGAAAACGAAAUAAAUUUACCAUUGUUCUGUUCAUUCUAUUUGUUUCCUACAGAAUAUUUCUCCAGCCUAAAAUUUUUUGAAUUAGUAAGUUUUUAUCUUAUGCAAGAAUUGUGCUGAGAGUAAUUCCAUUUCUCAGUCUCUUUAUGUUUCAAUGAAGACGUAAAACUUGUGUUCUAGUGCACCAAUGUUUAUGCUUCUUACAAUUUGACUUUAAUUUAGUUUGUAAAACUUUUGUCAAAAAGUACUAAAAAGUAGUGCACCAAACACAAACUUUAUUACAGAGAGGACUUCAGUUAAAUUUUAAGAAAACACUCAAAAGAACGAGUUAUAAAUUAUUAUCGAAAUAUUUCACAUAAAUAAAAGCCAUCCCAUGCUGCAAAGAUCUUGCUAUAAUCACCAAAAACUAUCGGGAGCUUUUAGGGUUUCCAUAAAAAUGUCAUUUCGUUCCAAAAGUCAAUGGUGGGUAGAAAGUGGUGCAAAUGAGACUCAUUGUUAAUGGUAUAAGUUUUUGCUUAAUUAUGUCUUCCCCAAAAUGAUGAUUUAAUUUCCAUUCUCAAUUAAUUUUCAAGUUUCAACACUUUUCUAUGUAGCAUGACAUUGGAAAGAUCUUGUACAGUUGUACUACUAAAAGCUAGCACCACACGUUAGUUAUUGUUAAGUUCUUUUUCAACGUGAAAUAAAGGAAGUAGUCCUUCGUUAAAACCAUUAUAGCCAAAUUUCACGUAAUUGGACAUUUACAGACUUUUAUUUCAAGUUGGAUUUUGGUCCAACAUUUCAAAGUUGGCCCAAUUAUUUUUGUCUGGUCAAGUCCUUCGCAGCUAAGCCCCUCAAUGAAUGAGGGUGAGAUUGCUAAAAAUUACGACAGGUGAUAUUUUAUUAUUAUUAUUUGUUUGAGGGAAAAAAUAGGAAAAGCAAUAGAGCGCCACGUGUCAACCAAUGGAAUGAUUCCUGCACAAUCUAAGGUACCCCACACAAUCCGAGGUACCCCAUAUAAUAUGAGGUACCCCACACAAAUAGGGGUACCCCGCGUAAUAGGAGGUACCCCAUGUAACUCGAGGUACUCGGCAAAGCGGAUGCAAGAGAAUCCUCCGAAAAUAUCCGCCAUGAGAAACGUCUCCGCCUCCUAAAAGAUAUUAUUCAAUUUUGUCAGAAUUAUGAAUAAAAAACGACGCCCUAAAAGGAGGGACAGUCGCCUGCGACCUCUGCCAAAAGUGAAGGACACUGUCCCAAGGACAGUGGUCCCCAACGCCUACCCGACAGCUACUGCAAAGGUACCCUGGACCACUCUCCAGCGCGCGCCACGUUUCCAAAAGAUGAGAUACGCCGCGAACGUGCAGAUAACUGCCCAAAAAUUAUAAAGAGGUAAAAGGACGUUAGUAAAAAAGGGUAUGCCAUGUGGCAGCUGAGGUACUCCAUAUAUAAAGGCGCCUAGGUUUCAUUCUCCAUCAUGUUCUCACUCACCAUUAACACUCGCACUCCAAAAAAUAGGUUUUCUUCAACCUUAAACCCUAAUUUACAGAGGGUUAGUCAGCUCUCUUUACCAUAAAAGCUUGAGUUUGCUAACUUGAGCGUCGAAGUGUGAACGCCGGGGUACCCCGGCUUCACCUCUAACCUCUAUUUCACUGUUUUGCAGGCGUGAAGCUCAUUUGGAAGGACACAUCUCUUAGUUCUAAACCUUUCACCAUUGUUACCACUCUCUCUCCCUUUCUCACCUCCCCUGGAUUUCAGAUACACCACACCGCACACAAUAAACUAGUGAGGUACCCCGUCUCCCAUAAAAAUACAAAUUCAUUGUUCUAGAUAGAUUUGGCUUUUUUUACCCCAAAAUCUGUUGAAAACACUAUUUUUAAUUUUGGGGGAUAAAUCCUCACCAAAGUGAGGAGAUUUUAUCAAAAUCAAAAUAAAAAUAUAACAAGAACUGAAAGUCGGGCAGCCUAAAAGCUAGAUGAACUAAAAGUCAGGCGCCUAAAAACAACCUUAUGCAAAAGAGAAGCAACAUGAGACCGAUCAAGUAAAAGAAUCCACCGCAACACCUAAAUUGGCCAAAUUAUCUGUUGGUAUUACAAGUUUCUUGUUAUAAAAGUGUAGAAUGAAGUAGGUGACAGUAGUUUUAAGUUACAGCUGCAUGCCUAAUCGCAAUAUCAAAUAAUGAUUAAAUAUCAAAUAAUGCUUAAAGUAGUUGCCUAGGCCCGCCACAAUUUAUAUUAACUCUUAAAUUUAUAAAUAAUUAAAUUUUUAAAAGUUUGGAUUUAUAUUAAAAAAUCUUCAUAUAAAUAAAUAAUAUAUGCACUUUUACAACACAGUCUUUAAAUUUAAAUUUUUCUAGAAAAAUCUUCUGUAUAUCUUUUCUAUUAAAAAAUUUCCAUAUAAAUAAAUAAUAUACCUAAUUUAAUUGGACCCAGCACAUCGCAUAUGCAUAGAACACAUUCCACAAAGCCAUGCUAUUCGGAAAUUGACGAAUGAAAAGUGAGGAGGCAGCAGUCAAUGCUAUUUGGGCUUGGCCCAAAAUUGAUUUAUCAGGUUGACGUUUGCCAGGAAUGAAGAACUGGAAUAUCACCGUCAAGCAAGCAACCUGUGGAGCAAUACCAUAGAAUGCACAAUCCAGCUUUGCAAGGUGACACUGGAGGCUUUUUGAAAAGUGCUUCACGCUCACUUGCACAGAUUGAGCAUCCCCUCUGGAUAUUGCCCUCUCUGAUCGAGUCUGAGCACUCAAAUUUCGGUCCUCAGAUGGAGCUACAGCUUUCUCUCCAAUAACCAACAAUUUUCUAAACUCAGCACCUAGUGUGAUCAGAGUUGUUGAUAUUUGUAAAUGGAGAUCCCUGUAUUUGCAAAUGGAGACAUUUACCAAAUCACCAACAUGCUUCAUCCAGUCUACGAAAUUCUGCAGCUGAUUCAAAUCCGGAACCUGAACCAGAGUCGGAGGUAAAUCUUGAGCCAUGUCUAAAGCAGUCUGAAGUUCAAGUACUUGAGCCCUUGACAAAGGUUUUGAAAUUGGAACAUCUUGGAUUACUGCAGACUUGUACCCCUUGGUUUCAAAGGUAAGGAAAGGCAUUGCUUGAGUACAAUUUGGAGGCAGCUUCUUCACCAAUUUUAUUUGGAGGCAAUUGGCAGCGGAUCCAGCUGCACCAAUUUCAGAGCAAAUACUGACACUACUUCAAACAGCACGCUGAAGAAGAGAUAUGUCUAUGGCAAAGGCAAUGCAGUCCUCAAUUUGACUUGAGAUGCGGUAAUCACCAAAGAGAGUUUCCUUAUGAAACUGGGCAACACAUUGAAUCCCUUCACCACUGAGAAGGUUGGGGAGGAAGUAAGCUUUCUCUCUCGUAAGGAAGAGGUGGCAUACCUUCCCCAUUUUGUCUAGGACAGGUAGGAAUCUUUUUUCUAAGAGAUUUACUCCAUUCUCUGUGAGAAAUGCUUUGAACUUCAUCCCUCUGUCUCUAGCCUCACUUAUCAGUAAAAUAGUUGAAAGCGCUACAAGGAGAGAAAAGAAGAGUAUUAAGAUAUAUAUAGACAAGAAAAACAUUAGAUGUCGAUCUUACAAGCUAAUACUUCAAACAGUAUCCUAGAAAGCUAAAAACUGCAAAAUGGCUUGAAAUUUGAAAAGAACACAUGCUUUUCCUCCUUAACUUGAGAAAAUGUUUAAUAUAGUGCACCUUACAGAAACAUUUAAACAAUUAGAACUUUGCACAAAAACAUUCAAGAAGACUAAACAAAUCAGAUGCAGUGUAUUUCUCCAAGCACAAAUGGCAUUGCAUUUUUUCCUCAACUGUAAUAUUUAUUGAUGAAAAUCAGUACAGGUCCCUCAUUUGUUAUGGAAAGCUUUCUUGUAGUCUGACCGGUUAAUUCACGGGUCUAUAAUCAUCUUGCAAAGUUACAGGCAUUUCUUUCGAUUUAAAGUCUUUGCAUCACCACCUCAUCACACACCAAGCCAAUAUUCCGUCUACCUCUACAACAAAAAGUUUUAAGUAAACGAUCCUAAUGCAUGCAGCCAAAUAAAAUGCAGUAAGAAUAUUCAACUUAAAACUCUGAAAGCCAUCUUGGUGAAUUGCCUCCUUAGGGGAAGUUCCAUGCUUUACUAUACUUGACAGGACUGAGCAAAAGCUUACAUACAACAGAUUUUGAAAAUGAUGAUGCCAAUAGAUACUCAUACAAUCCAUUGAAACUCCUAAGGUCCAUUGUUCACAGAGGUUUACAGAGUUUUGGUCAUCAAAUAGCUCAGACCUUAAUCCCAAACAAAAAACGAGUGAAAAUUAGAUCACCAGCAGCUAAUUGUAAAUUCUAACUUAACUCUUCAUCUCCUUUGUAAACAGGAGACAAAAUGGAGACACGCAAAAUGAAUAAGGAGAACAUUUGAACUCAAAUGAAAUGAGGGCACGAAAGCAAACAAAUGGCAUGCGCAAACAAACCAAGCCUCAAUCAAAAACUAAUUAACCAUUAAAAAAAAAAAAGUGGUCAGAGAAUGAACUCCAAAUUCGGGAGUGAAGCAAGAAGCUUUCAUUAUUUCAGAAGCUCCUGUACAAAUUAAUAAGUUAUGCUCUUUGGAAACAAACCUAAAUUCCAAGAGAAAGAGAACUCAAAAAAUUUGCAAUUAUACGCAAAGGAAGUGAAGCACAGCAUUCUAUCACACGUACAAAUUGUAUAACAAGAGAUCGACACAUCGAAUCAGAAGAACUCAAUUCAAAUUUGUCUCAAAAAUCAAAAUUAGAAGAUUUCACAUUUCGAGAGGAACAAGCGACAGGUCAGAUGCAAAAUUUUCAGCCACAACAUGCCACAAUUAACAGUUUAUUUCCAUGGAUUUAGAGAGCUGACUGACCUUUUGGCUUUUGGAAUUGAGAAGAUCGCGGGCCAAAAUGGAAGAGGGAAAGCGAAAGUGCGGGUUUUAAUAGGGUAUUGGAUUAGCAAAUUUAAUUAGUUUGCGAGGGUAAAAUAGGAAAGAGAUAUCACUAUUAACUUUUUUUUUUAUAAGAAAAAAGAAUAAUAAAGAAUAUUUUAUUGUCAUUUGCAGCCUGCAAAUGACAAUAAAUCAAAUACGUCAUACAGAAGCUUAAAGCUGAAUCUAAAAAAUCUAGAGCUCUCAACUACAAAAAUUACACUUGAUGAUCCUCUACAAGAUGAAGCUUGUUCAAUAUCUUAUCCAAAGUUUAUAAAGUAACCUUGUAACGAUCUUGAGAUUGCCUGCCUUCCUCGACGACCUGCACGAUGCGUUUGUACAAAUCAUCAUACCUGUGCACCGGAUUUUUAAUAUCAACGCCACUGCAGCUGUGAUCAAGAACAUAAGAGCGUUUAACAUCUUUUCUCCAUCGAGAAAGAAUGUAGUGAGAUGGGAUCUCCUGCAUGCCACUCUGGUUUAGAACACAAAGAAUGUGUCUGGAUAAAUAUCCUCUGAAAUUGAACAACCCACAAACACAAAGCACCUCCAAGUCGGAGGCAUUGUACAAAACAUCGAAAGCCCUUGAAUCUUUCUCGUUGCUACCAACCUCAAAUUCUUCCUUCACUAUGUAUGUUAUAGGUCCAUCAGCACUGACAUGUUUUGUGCUAUAGCAAGAGUACAUAGCCUCCACCUCCGUCUGAAACUUCCUUCACAUUUCAUUUGUGUACAGUUUUGAGAGUUGAAAUUCAUAGUCACAUCUUGGUUUCUGGAUACAACUUGAAUUUCUUGAAUCCAUAUCUGCCAAGGCUUCCGGUUGAUAAUUCGCCUGCAGUGCUUGAUCAUACUUGUGUAAGAAUUCUUUCAAAGGAGUACGCUUAUCAAGAUAUCCUUCAAAGUAUGAAGUAGAAACCUCAUUCUGCAGGAAUGAAAACACUCCUGAUAAAAAUGCUUCCUUCAAAUAAACAGGAGCCCACCUUUUACGAUCUUCAUAUAAAGUUUGAAUCCAUCCGUGAUCCUUUAUUCCAUGACGUUGAAUCAUGUCUUCCCAAGCUGCUUCAAAUUCCUCAGGCCUGAGAGAGUGAUAAAUUGCUCUAUGUAAUGCACCUCUAAUAGCUUCAUAUUCAAACAAUCCUUGGAGUUUCUCUGGAAUUUUUUGCAAGAUGCAUGACAAUGAAAAGCAAUGAUAAGCUCUUGGGAAAACAUCGCCAACAGCAAUUUGCAAGAUUCUACAUUGGUCAGUGAUGAUUGUUUGUGGAGAGCGUCCUAACAUACAUGUAAGCCACACCCUAAACAACCAUGUAUAUGAUUCUAUGGUCUCCCUGGCAAGUAAACCACAACCCAACAACACUGAUUGUCCAUGAUGAUUCACCCCAAUGAAUGAAACCAGUGGUACAUCAUAUCUUUCAGUCAAGCACGUAGUAUCAAUUAAGACUACAUCACCAAAGUACCUAUAUGCAACUCUUGACCUGGUAUCAGUCCAGAACAGGUUUCUCAAGCAUCCCUUUUCAUUUAGAUCCACUACAUUAAAAAAGUUUGGAUCUGUCAACUGCAAACGACAAAAGAAACUCUGGACAGCUUGUGCAUCUCCUGGUUUAAGCUUCAAUUGAUUUGAGCUAUUAACAUUAUUUCCAAAUACUCCAUUAACAUCUACAUUACCAUUUCCCUCGGUAUCGAUGAUAAGAGUUCGAAACAGUCUAAUUUUUUGAACGUCUUCAGCACUAUCUAAUUGCAAUGUUCUUUUGGUUCCAAUACCUAUGUGCUUAUGUGACUUGUAAAACUUUCCGCUUCUUGGGCUUAACAAGUGGUUAUGCUCAAGCUCGACUUCAAUGAUUCUCCACCUUUUGGUUUCCAUCAACCUAAACUUUAUCAUUGCUGGACAGCCAGUUCUUGUUUCUGGUCUUGGGCGGUUUGCCUCGCUUUUCUUCUUGAAGCCUGCACUACUACAGCUCAGCUUUCCUCUAUACUUUUCUCUACUCUUUCGGUACCAUGUAUUGCUAACUCUAACACCAAAACCCUGUUCCUUGGCAUAGCAAUUGUAAAAGUAAUAAACAUCAUCAUACGUCUCAAACUCCAUUCCAACAGCAGGAGCCAAUGGAUUUUGGAUUAUCCCAGUUUGUCCAACAUAUUCAGUCAUUGCACAAUCUCCUACGACCUCAAAAUCAUCAGCAUCAUCAUCACCUACUGGUUCAGUAUUCAGAGAAACUUCAUCCAUCUACAAUAGAUGUUUAAUGAAGUGAACUUUAAGGAGAAAAAGCAAAAUCAGUUCAAGGAAUGAUAAUAUAACCAUACAGUUACUUUCACAAAGCUGCGUAUUUCAUCAAUACCUUAACAACAUACAACUGCCUGAGAACGUAUAGACAUGUCAUAGACGCUUGAAUUAAGUAUUGGUACAAAUUCAUGUGGGACACAAUUUCAGUCACUAAACCCAAUGCCUUUUUUUUUCACAUCAUACCAAGGAACGGAUUAAACCCAAUACCUUCUUUUACGCCAUACCAAAGAACAGAUUAAAUCAUCAAUGAAAAAUUAAUCACAUAAUAAUUUAACUAGACAAAUAAAGAGCUCGAAACAGCACAAAACUUGAAUAUGAUUAUGAUAAUUGUUGAGUCAUUGUAUCUACAGCUUUCCUUCAACAAGAAGAUUAUGAACAUAAACUACACACAAAAAAUUUAUUUUAAACUGACAUAAAUUUAUUCAGUUACAUUGAAACCCAAAAAAGGAAGCAGGAGCUGGAGAAAAACAACAGCAGAGAAACUUAUUUCCAGAAGGUUUACGAAAUAAGGAAUUUAUUAAGACACAAAAUUUGAGGUCAACAAUAAGAAUUUGGUUCUCAUUCUCUUUUUCUUCAUUUUUCACUUAUUGAUGGAGUUACCAUACAAUCCUAAAUGAUAAAACCCCAUCUCCAUCUUUUUGAAAUAGAGUUAAAGCAAAGCUUUUUAAGAUGUUUUUCCCUAAAAGACUCAAUAGUACAAUGUUUUUCAAUAUUAAAUACACAACUCAAUCUUCCCCUAAUUUACUCUAAUAAUCUCUUAACUAAGGAAGAUUAAGCUCCACUUGUAAGCUAAAACAAGUUUCUUAAAUCAAGCCCCAAUGCUCUAUGCUAUUCAACAAGGCCUCAUAAAUGAUAAAACUACCUCUACAAAGAUACCCAUUUUAAUUUCGCAAACUAAAAUCGAACUCCUGAAACGUAACGAGCAUUAAAACAAACAAGUCCGAACAAGAACUGAAAAAUGAUACGUAAACCCGUUUCGACAAACAGUUUCCAAUCAAUGAGCAAAAAAGUUAAUGGAAAACAUGAAAUUCAAACGAAACAUACCUUAGGUUGAUAAAUUAGUAGCGCAAAAGAAAUUUUAGCGAGAUAUGGGAUCAGGGAUUUUGCCACGGUGAUGUUAAUUGCGACAUUCGGGUGACUCAGCAGCCUUCGAGGCUGAAACUUUGAUUGACCAAAAGCUUCCCGUUCGUUGAUUCUCUAAUUGCAGAAACGAAACUGGCAGUGUACAGAAGACGUACGCUGAUUUGAUAAUUCUGUGAAAAUCAUUGUUUUUUUUCAGAUUUUUAAUGUGUUCGAUAAAAUAUCAAAAUCUCAAAAACUUUUGUCUUUCAUUUUGGGGGGGAAAAACCCAUUGAGAUCCUUAUGUUUUUUCUUAUAUAAUCUGGCUUAAUAAUUUGCAAAGUCUAUUACUUAGCACCCAUGCAUGCUGCGUUCCAAUUUACAAAAUUGUACGUGAGUGCAUCCAGCUAAAAUUUGUAAAAAGAAAAUAGCAAUAACAUGUUAAAAAUGUGAUUAUUAUGAAGAAAUUUUAAUUUAGUUAAAUAGGUGACGAUGGAUAGGUAUAAAAUCUGAGAUCUUUUAUAAGGUUAAUAAAUAUGUUGAGUUUGGAUUAGUUCAAUUUUGAAAUAAUAAUAUUCAAAAUAUCUCUUAAAUCAUUAUAAACCUCAAAUCUAUUUUAAUUUUAUUUAAAAGAUAAAAGAAAAAUAGGUUAUGUUGGUGAUUUUUUAUUAUCUUUUUAAUAAAAAUGAAAUAAAUUGAUGUUUAUAAUUAUUUAAAGUAUUUUAAAGACUGCCAUUUUAUGAGAGAAAAAUAUUUCACUUUUUUUUAGUGUGAAAGGCCGAAAAAGGACAAAGCAAGUUUCCCUAGUUUUUAUUUAUUUGAAAUUGGUCAUCUCAUAUACUUCACCCUUCAACACUAUAAUUUUUUUGGUUAUAAUUUUAUUAUUUUUUCUCUUUUACACAUGCAUGUGAAUUACUUUUCUUUAAGCUCCUGAAUAUUUAAGAUAAAUCAUGGAAGAGAUGAGAGUAUAACAAGAUGACCAAAAUAUGUAACAAAAAAAUUUUAUAAGUGAAAAAUAUGUUAGAGACUUACAGUGGAAGUAAAACUCUGAGGUGAUGUUUGAUUUGAAGAAAAUGGAGGAAAUGAAAAGACUGGAAUGUAGAGGAAAAGAGAGAAAAGGAGAGGAGAGGAGAGUGAAAUUUUUUUCUAAUGUUUGGUUUGUCACAUAAUUAUACAAAGAAAGGAAAUCUCUAAUUUUUUAUUUAGACAAUUUUAACCUUAAUAAGUAUUAAGUUUUCAAUAUUUAUCAUGUGUAUAAUUAAAAAAAAAAGAAGUAAAUGGUAGAAAGCGGUUUCUGAUUCCGGCCACAUCGCCCGCAAUGGAAGGUACUUAUCAGAACAUCAAGAGCCAGCCAUCAUUCCCUAGCCAUCACUGCUGUCGGAACACUGCCGGAAAGCUGCCGAUUGAACCGCGAAAAGUCGUGGAAAUCGCUGCCUCAAAUCGGUGAGUUUCGCCCUUUUCUGGUCACGCCGUCGCCAUGGCUUUGUCCAUCAAGCCUGCCACUUCCAUUUUCAACCAUCCAUAGCCACUAUUAAUUGCCAAAUCACCGCCGAUCAGCGGGAUCUGUGGAAGUUAAAAAGUUUCUAAAUUUUUUUAACUGGAUUUGAACAACAUACGACCAUUUUUUUAUCUCGAUAACGACGUAGUAAUGUUGAUCGUUGGUCGGCAAGUCGUAUGGUAGUGGCAGUGAGUAACACGCGCCAAUCACAUCGGCGGCGGCGGCGGCACUAUCCGGCGACUGUUAAAAUAAUAUUUUAUAUUUUCAGAUUAAAUAAAUUUAUUUUAUUAAAAUUUUUAAAUCAUUAUUUAAAUUUAAUUAAUUUAAAAUUAUCUAUAAUGUUGAAUUGAUAAAAUAAAUUUAUAAAUAAUAAUUAUGUGAUUACAUUAAAUAAGUUAAAAAGUUGAAGGGUUAGUUUUGGAAGAUUUAGUUUCCAACACAAAGGGAAUUUGAAUUCUUCACUUCUUAGUGUGGAAUUCAAAUUCUAUAUUGUAAUAGAUAUUAAAUUUCAAUAAAAAUUAAAUUCUUAUAAGUUAUGUCAAACCAAACAACGAAAAUAAAAAAGAAAUUUAAAUUAUUUUUCUUUCCUCCACCCUCUCCUUCCAACUAAAUACAUCCUGAAAAUAGAGAUAUUGAUUAAUUUAGAAGAGAUUCAAGCAAAAAAUAUUCCAAAAAAAAAAGCAAUAUGUCCCUUUGGAGGGCAAACUUGUCAGUUUCAAAAAAGUACAUGCUUUGUAUUGAUAGUUGUAGGAUAUUUGUUUUGUCACUAUGUAUUAGUUGGAGAAGUCCAGCCUUGUGGAGAAUGUUAUGAAAGAGCAAAGGAUAUUCCUGAUAGCUGAUAGAGCUCUAUCUGAUUAUGUAUCCAGUGAAUGGAUGUGUUGUUGGAAGAUAUCUGAGUGCAUUAGUUCAUAUGUGUCUGUCAAUGUGCUUUUAAUGAUUUUUCCACCUGUUUGUUGUAAAAGAUUAUUGUAAAUUGAAAUGAACUUGAUGUUUUAAUAUUUUCUUCCGUAAAUUGAAAUGAACUUGAAUUAAAUCUCGUUGAAUUUAAUAUUAUCUCCUUAGUGGAAUUUCACCUAGUAUGUAUUCAGUUGUGUUGUCUAUAAUUUUGCAUUCGAGUAAGUUUCACCUAAAACAUUAGCAUGAGUAGUGGCCCUUGAACCUUUGGUCAAAAUUAUUGUUAUUAUUUCUGACUAGAUGUAAAUUUUGUAUUAAAUCUCGUUAACACAAUUCUUAAUUAAAAGUAUAGGUUAGUGUUGGUGCAAGAUUUGCCACACCAAAUUCUGCCUAGCUGUCAAAAGUGCAAAAUAAAUGAAGAGAAAGCACAAAUACACGACUUGAAUAAGGAUACAACGAAACUUAAAUUCAAGAGAAAAUGAUAGCUAUAUCCCAAGAUUUGAAAAAGUAGUCAUGUAGGUUUUUAAGAUUUCAAUAAGCGACUGAGAUUCAAAUAAUAUCCUUUAAUUCUAUUAAU